rnacentral:lncRNA from 1 species
AUAAUUGUCACAUUCUUUAUAUUGUGGUUGGGAGUAGACAUACCAUCUAGGCAGAAUAUAAUGACGUAGUCAGGUUCGCCACUACAGGUGAAUGUGCUGUUUUUAUCAUCAUAAGCGUAGCUAUAAGCUUGAGGGCACUGCUUCUCAAAGAUCUCAGAGUACUCAGUGGGAGGACAUGUCCUCGGCUGAUCAUUCGGCGGAGUGCAGCAGUACUUCGGCUCGCCGUAUGCCACACAAGCGCUUUUGCAACUGAUGACACUCUUAUCAGCCGCUUUCACUUGUAACUCAGUCGGGCAUGCCGCGUUAACAUUCGCAGGGCAAGUCGAGGCCAUGCACUCGCCGGUGCCGCCUUGUGGGGCGACAAAUAUGGGCAAGUUAAAACCGUCAACAAGGCUAACAUCGUAAAAAUCUUGACCCCCAUUUUCUGCGAUUGUGAUUUCUACUAAAGUUGCUGGUGGAACUGGGGUUGUGCCGUUGCAUGCAACCUGGCCAGAGCCACAGUCUGCAGUUUCACAACUGAAUUUUCCAGCGGCAUUUGUGGCGCAUCUGGUUCGGGCCCAGAAACGACCAGACCAAGAGGAUGGAACGUUCACUGACCGGCUAAUUUUGGAUGCUAGUUCGAACCCGGUGAGUGAUAAUUGAGGUUUUUGGUUACCGGUUACGGUUCCUGGCCAGACAGUGUUGGGGCAGUUGUUUGUGAAAGUGAUUUUCGCUGCAUGUGCACCUGCAUUUAUAUUCAACAUAAAACUAGAUGCUAAGAAUAUUGAAAUCUAAAUACAAUUGUAAAAUAUAUCAAAUUAAAAAUAAAUAAAGGGUAAUGGUAGGGAGACAAAAUUUAUAAACUAAAUGAUGUGUCACCAAUAUGAAUGAACACGUUUAUUAACGCUUAAGUAAUACACCAAUCAUCAACUUCCAUGUCCUUUAGUUUCCAAAAUUUUGUCUACAAAUUUAGUCUCCCCAGCAUUACCCAUAAAUAAAUAAACGAUUUGAAAUCAUAUUAAGAACUUUUUCAUAACUAAUCAGUAAUUUUAUUAUGGGAGACUUUGUAUGCGGUCCUUAGUUAUGAAUAUUCUUUGAUUGAAAUCUUGUUGGUUUUUAAUUUUUGAUCGAGGUCCUUGAAAAUAAUGUGAUAAUUUAUUUCAAUGUACGUUACUAUAUUUUUUAAAUUAAAAAUUAGAAAUUUUAGUUGUUUAUAUAAAUGAGAUUUUAAAUAAAAAAACAUAAUUUGUGGGAUUAAAAAUAUUAAAAUAUAAAUAUACUAUUGUGUGUGUGUAUAUAUAUACAUGGGUACAUUCAUCAAAAAAUAACCAAAAAAUUUAUUGUAUCAAAAUAUGGGUACAUUCUUCAAAAUCACAAAAAAAAGAAAAGAUAUUAGGCUUAAUAACAUUGGUAAAUUUCUUCGAUUAAACUUGACAUGGAUACAUUUUAAAAUUAAAGAAAAAAGAAUGUACCCAUAUAAGUUUAAAAAUAGAUUAUAAAAAAAAUUGAAUAGAUUUUAUAUAUAAAAAAAAGGGUACAUUUUGCAUAUAACAAAUUGAUAUAUUUAAGAAUGAGUACAUUUUAAGAUUAAAAAGUUUUACAUGAAUGGGUGCAUAUAAUUAGCAUGGGUACAUUUAGCAAAAUAAAAAGUACAGAUAAAAAAAAUAUAUGGGUACAAAUUAAAACUGAAAAGAAAAUUGGCACAAGUUAAAAAAGAAUUACAAAUUAAAAAUGGGUACAAACUAAAACUAAAAAUAUAUGAUAAAAAAUUUAGUCAUAAAUAUAAAUAUACUAAUUGUAACAUUUUUAACAUUAAAUGAAUAUAUUUAGAAAUAAAAAACUAUUUUAUUAUUGAAAUAAUUAAUGAUGUUAUUAAUACCCAAGGACCUUGAUCAAAAAUUAAAAAGUAAUAGGAUUUUAAUCAAUGGAGUAGCAAAAGGAAUGAUGAGAACUUAAUUUCUCUUUUUAUUAUAAAUAUAAUUUGAUGAUGAUUCAUCUAAUCUCAUGCCCUCAUCACCGCAUUGGCAGGGCUCACUUCCAUGUAUCCACAUUGCUCAUCAUCGAUCGUUAUUCUCUUUUAGACUCCCUACUGUUGCUUUUAACGUUGUUACAAUGUAAAGCGUAAUAAGGGUAAUAUUGUAAACAAAUCUACGCAGGACAGUUGAGAUUGUUAUAAGGCAGUUCUAACAGUUUUUGUAAUUAGUUAGUGAUUAGUUAGACAAGAUGUAAUUAGUUGUUAAUACAAGUGAGUUAGUCACUAGUAUAUAUACAACAUGUAAUCUUAUUCCUUAUGAAAUGAAAGCAUAAUUUUCCUAUUAUGGUAUCUCUCGCCCGUGCCUAACGACCUUUCUAUCCUCCUUUCUUCCGCUUCCCACUUGUCUUCCUCUUUGAAGCUCCAAACCUUAGAAAUCCAGCCAUGGCGACCUCUGGAUCUCCCUCCUUUGAAUCUGCUUCUCAAAUUCAUCAUGCUCCUAUGAAUUCUUGCCCUAAUACUCCUCAGGCAAUUUCUUCGAUUACGAUCCAGAAUAUUUGAUCUAUGGAUCUAAUUAAGCUCACCACAACGAACUAUCUCACACGAAGUGUAAAACGUGAGUCAAUAUUCACGGAAAGGAAAAAAAGGAAUGUAAAUAGGGUAAAUAUUGGGAGUCCUUUACUAGGUAGGAUAUUGUAUAUACCCUUUAUUAUUUGUUUCCUUAUAUAUCAAGGAUUGUAUAUGUAUAUAUUUCAAAAGAAGUAAUACAAGAAAUCAUUCCCGUAAGAUUCUUUUUGGCAUCUGAGCCUGGUUGUCGUAACCCUAAUCGUAAAAGGUUUUCCGCUGCUACUCUUUCUGCAAGAGUCGUAUCUGCUCUUGCCGUGGACAGUCGUGAAAGUUUCAGGGGCUGUUUUUUUGCCUCUCAUUGUGCUGUGCCAAAUUCUUUUGCUGCUGCCGUGACUUUCAUUCUUGUUUGUAAGUCAAGAUGGCGAAUAAAGGAGAUGAUUCAAUCUUAAAGUUGGAAGGUGGUUCCCACAAACCAACCAACAAUACGGUAUUGAGUCCUGUUGUUAUUCAGAACGAUGCAUCUGCUGUACCGAGCACUGUGAAGUUGAAUGGACAAAUUAUCUUCUUUGGUCCAAAGUAUUGGAGAUCCAUAUUGUUGGACGUGGUAGAAAUGGCUUUGUGACAGGGAAUACUAAGGAACCUGCUGAGGAUAAUGUUGAGUAUGAGAUGUGGGAGACAGGGAAUGCAAUAGUAAAAGGGUGGUUGAUUAAUUCCAUGGAACCUGCUAUCAUGGGAUUUUUUAUUCACCUGCGUACUGCUAAAGAAGUUUGGGAGGAGGUGGCUCGGACCUAUUAUGAUGGUUCAGAUAUCUCUCAAAUUUAUGAAUUGAAGGUUAAGUCGUUCAGGCUUCGUCAAGAGAGUAGGCCGGUUGGUGUGUAUUAUGCUGACCUCAAGUCCGUUUGGCAGGAGCUAGAUCAACGAAGACCAAUUAAGAUGGAUUGUGCUGCUGAUUUUAAGACACUUCGAGAAGAAAUUCAAAUUGAUCGUGUGUAUGCUUUUUUGGCGGGUUUGGAUGACAUCUUUGAUAAAGUACGCAGUGAUAUUCUACGUACUCAACUGUUACCAUCUGUCAAGGAAGUGUUUUCUAUUGUUAGGCGUGAAGCACAACGACAUGCCACUAUGAUGGGUGGGAGUAACAACCAAGGGGGGCUGCCAUCCAUGGCCAUGGUCUCUCGACCACUUGCAACUUCCCGUCCUAAUAAUUCUUCUAAUCAGUCUUUUAAUUCUCGUUCCUUUACCCGAGAAAACAAAGAUGAUUUGAAGUGUACUUUAUGUGGUCAAAACCGCCAUACUGAAGAUACAUGUUUUACCAAGCAUGGGGUACCUGAUUGGUUUCCAAAAUUUAAGAAAAAAUUGUGUGCCAAGGAACGUGGAGCAGCUGGGUCCAGUGGAGGCCGUGCCUCCCUUGCCGCAGCAAUACCAACAUCACAGGAGGCCGGGGCUAGCUCAGGUGAUCCUAGUCAAACUUUGUUGACUCGUGCUACUCCUGGUGAUUCGUCCUCCAACACAAGUACUAUAGGACGUGUCCUCUUAGUCUCCGAGAGUGAGCAACAUACAGGUUGGAUUCUUGAUUCUGGUGCAACCGAUCAUAUGACAUAUGAUAAAAAUAUGUUUCAAUAUAUGACAAUGUCUCACAGGAAAAGCAUAGCAACUGCCAAUGGGACUCUUUGUACCCGUGUAUGGCACCGGCACUGUGCAACUUUCCCCAUCUCUCCCAUUACAUUGUUGCUUAUUUGUUCCGUCUUUAUCCCAUCAUUUAUUAUCAAUACCACAAGUUACUGAACAAUUGGAUUGUGUUGUUCUAAUGUAUCCGUCCUUUUGUCUACUUCAGGAUAUUCAGACCAAGGAGAUAAUUGGGCGUGGCACUAAGAGAAAGGGGUUGUACUAUGUGGAUGACGUUGUUCCAGGCAGGGCUAAUGCGGUUCGAACAUCACAUACUAGUAAUUUGCAAGAAGUAUGGUUAUUACAUCGUCGGUUAGGGCAUGCAUCUUUUGGCUAUUUACGGCGUAUGUUGCCUAUUCUAUUUAGUAGAAUAAAUGAAUCAGACUUACAUUGUGAAGUAUGUAUUCUUGCUCAAAGCCAUCGUGCUUCGUUUCCUCCUAGUAUAAAUAAAAGGUCUUUGCCAUUUGAACUUGUGCACUCUGAUGUUUGGGGGCCUUCUCCAGUUGUUGUUUCUUCUGGAUUAAAAUGGUUUGUUGCAUUUGUUGAUGAUUGCACUCGAAUGACUUGGCUGUAUGUGUUGAAAAAUAAAAGUGAUGUUGGUAUGGUCUUUCGUUCUUUCUCUCAUCUGAUUCGGACACAAUAUUCAUCUGUGAUUAAAGUACUACGUUCUGACAAUGGUGGUGAGUACAUUAAUUUUGAGUUGUCAGAGUUUCUUCGUGAUCACGGCAUCGUCCAUGAAACGACUUGUCCUUAUACCCCACAACAAAAUGGGGUUGCUGAACGGAAAAACCGCCAAAUCUUAGAAACAACACGUGCUCUUAUGCUUGGAGCUUCUGUUCCUAAGGUUUUUUGGCCUGAAGCUGUCACUUAUGCUGUAUAUGUGAUUAACCGUAUGCCAUCUCGGGUUCUGGAAUUUCAAACACCUUUUCAAGUCCUCACUCAACAUGCUCCAGUAGUGUCGACUCAUACUCUCACUCCUCGAGUAUUUGGGUGUGUAGCUUAUGUGCAUAUUCAGAAAAUUCAUCGUACAAAGUUGGAUCCGUGUGCCCUAUGGUGUGUGUUUGUGGGUUUCUCCCCUAACCAAAAAGGCUAUAAAUGUUAUCACCCUGAGACUCGGCAUAUGUAUGUAACCAUGGAUGUGACUUUUUCAGAAUUGGAGUCUUUUUAUCCUUCCGUGCAUUUAUCUUCAGAUCACCAGGGGGAGAACACUAUUGGUGAUCUGGGGUGGUUAGACACUAUUUCAGAUAAUAUUAGCAUCGAAUCUGCUACUGAACUGGUUUCUGCUAAUAAACCAGAUUUUGCCGAGAGUACUGAUAUUGAAGUUGCAGCCGAGCAUCAGGUGGUGGUUCCUACCGAGGAAUCUAAUAUAUAGGAAUCUGCCGAACAGCCAAGACAGAGUUCUGCAGAUCACAGUAUACAAUUGCAACAGUCACAUGCCGAGUCUACUAAUGUACUUUCUCCUCUCUCUAGCUCCAAAGUGCCACCCAAUUCAUCUUCUUUGAAUAUACCUGAGGUAAGUAUUGUGAAUGAUUAUGAAAUUAAUUCAAGUGAUAAUGUAAAUGCUUAUAGGUUGCCACCAAGACAAAAUCGAGGUGUGCCACAUGAUAGAUUUUCUCUAGAAGGGAAGGUGAGGUAUCCAAUAGCCAACUAUGUCUCAUGUAGUGGCCUUGCACCGGAACGCCAAACCUUGGUGAACAAUAUGGAGUCAAUUCAAAUACCAACUCGAGUGGAGGAAGCUCUAAAGGAUCCAAAGUGGGCAAAAGCAAUGGAUGAGGAAAUGUUGGCAUUACAAAAAAAUGAUACUUGGGAGGUGAUGUGUUUACCCAAGGGAAAAAGGACUGUUGGAUGUCAGUGGGUGUUUACAAUCAAAUACAAAGCCGAUGGAUCGAUAGACAGGUACAAAGCAAGGUUGGUAGCUAAAGGGUACACUCAAACAUAUGGUGUAGAUUACCAAGAAACUUUCUCUCCGGUUGCCAAGAUGAAUACGGUAUGUGUUUUGAUUUCUUUAGUUGCAAAUAUGGACUGGCCAUUAAAACAGUUUGAUGUGAAAAAUGCUUUUCUCCAUGGAAAUUUGGAGGAAGAAGUAUAUAUGGAUUUUCCUCCUAGGUAUAGUGCUUAUGGGAAUACCAGAGUAUGUCGGUUGCGUAAGUCACUUUAUGGACUUAAGCAAUCACCUCGUGCGUGGUUUGACAGGUUUACCCAAGUUAUGAAAAAACAUGGGUAUCGUCAGAGUCAUUCUGAUCACACAUUGUUUGUUAAACGGAGACAAAGUAAAGUGACAGCCUUGAUUAUCUAUGUAGAUGACAUGAUUAUUACUGGAGAUGAUCAUGAUGAGAUUUUAAGGUUGUAGAAUAAUCUGGCAGCAGAGUUCGAAAUGAAAAACCUAGGAGACUUGAAGUAUUUCCUUGGGGUUGAAGUUGCUCGAUCUUCAAAAGGUAUUUUCUUGUCUCAACGUAAGUAUGUUCUGGAUUUAUUAAAAGAAAUUGGUAUGCUAGGGUGUAAGCCGGUAGACACUCCGAUUGUUGAAAAGCAUCAUCUAUGUUUGGAUCCAAAUCAGAAAUCAGUUGAUAAAGGGAGAUAUCGGAGACUUGUAGGGAGACUAAUUUAUUUGGCUCAUACACGUCCAGAUAUUGCCUAUGUUGUAAGUGUGGUAAGUCAAUUUAUGCAUUCACCGAGUGUGGAUCAUAUGACUGCUGUUAUGCGUAUCUUAGCAUAUUUGAAGUUUGCACCAGGUAAAGGAGUUCUGUAUAGGAAGCACGGGCAUUUGACAAUUGAGGGAUUCACGGAUGCUGAUUGGGCAGGGAAUGUCAGUGAUAAAAGGUCUACUUCUGGGUAUUUUACUUUCGUAGGAGGGAAUUUGGUUACAUGGCGAAGUAAGAAAUAGAAGGUAGUAUCACGAUCUUCAGCAGAGGCUGAGUAUAGGGGCAUGGCCCACGACAUUUGUGAAAUUCUUUGGCUUAGAAAACUUCUUUAGGGUCUUGGGUUCAAGCCAAAGGAGACCAUGAAGCUAUAUUGUGAUAACAAGUCAGCAAGAAAUAUAGCUGAUAAUCCAGUGCAGCAUGAUAGAACAAAACAUGUGGAGGUUGAUCGAUAUUUCAUUAAAGAGAAGCUCGAGAAGAAGAUUGUGUCUAUACCAUUUGUGAAUUCGGAGGAGCAACUUGCAGAUGUUCUUACUCAUGCCGUAUGUAGUCGUAAGUUUGAUGACUCACUUAUCAAGUUGGGCAUGUGUGACAUCUAUGCACCAACUUGAAGGGGAGUGUAAAACGUGAGUCAAUAUUCACGGAAAGGAAAAAAAGGAAUGUAAAUAGGGUAAAUAUUGGGAGUCCUUUACUAGGUAGGAUAUUGUAUAUACCCUUUAUUAUUUGUUUCCUUAUAGAUCAAAGAUUGUAUAUGUAUAUAUUUCAAAAGAAGUAAUACAAGAAAUCAUUCCCGUAAGAUUCUUUUUGAAGUGCAUUGUUUGCUUCUAUCUUCCGCCGAUACAAUCUCAUUGGAAUUAUUGACGGCACGAUGACUGCUCCGCCCAAAUCUCUUCUUGAUUCGUCUGGAAAUCGUACCUCUACUCUUAAUCCUCAGUAUGUGACAUGGUUCGAAAAUGAUCCUAACAUUUUGAUUUGGAUCAAUUCUACACUCUCAAAUUCUCACAUUCCAUACACUGUUGGAGUCAACACCUCUCUAAUAUUUGCAUCCGGCAGGCAUGCAUAUUAUAGACUAAUACGAAACAAAAUAGAAAAGAAAUUAAUAAGAAGUUUGUAUAAUAAUACCUGAGAAGAAGAGGAUGGCCAUGGUGAGGCCGAGAAGGGAAUCGACUUGGCUCUUCAUCAUCGUCGUUGAAUAUAUCUUAAUUGCCUGCUUGUUGCUAAUUAGUUUGAACUUAUGAUUUCAUGAUAAACUUAGGAGCCAAGGGGGGCUGUACAUAGGCUUAUAGCGUGGCCCAACCUGUUUGAUCUUUUGCAUGAGUGGUAAUUGCGGGUCUAAGUUCGACGCUGACUAUUAAUACGAACGCGCAAACUAAUAAAGUAAUAAUAAAUAGACAAGGAAUAGUAUUUGGUCUUGGACUGGUUUAGGUAUCAUCAUUGACCUACAAUGACUAACAAAUUCAGUUUUAAUCCGUAAAAAUUUUUAUUUUUUUAUUUUUGUGUUAAAAAUAGGAAAAAAAAAACACAUAGAAGAAUGAGGGAUAUAGAAAGAAGGGGAUGAUGAGAGACAUACUUUAUUUAAUGGGAGUAUAACGUAUUGUCACACAGUUUUAAAUUUAAUCACUGAUCCAAUACCUUGUAAAUGGUUUGCCGACACAUUUUCAUAUAAUGAUAAAGUGAAUGAACAAAAUAGAGUUAUAUUCGAAUGAUAUGGAUAAUGAGUUGAGUUGAUUGAUCAUACAGUCUGGUUAACUAACUAGUACUAAAGCUUAGUAAUAUUUUUCUUUAAUUGAGAGAUCUUAUAUUCGAAUGAUAUGAAUAACGAGGGCGCAUUGUAUUUAUUUGAGUCCAAUAUGUAAUUAGUGGCUGACCCGAUGUAUGGUCUAACCCAAUACCAAUUUCCAUUUUAAAGUAGAAUAUAUCGUAGUUACAGCUGUUUGAUGGCAGUGCAUGCCUACUAGUUAAUCAACAUGAUCCAUAAGUCACGCAUCCUAUAUGAGUGAUGGCGAAGCCAGAACAUGAGAAUUGAUAAAGUGCCAUGGGAGAUCAACUAGAAGGUUGACUAGUUGUCGCAGGAUUUUGAAUUUGGACAAACAAGCCACACAGAUAACUGAGGUUGUGCCAUGUGUGUAGACUUGUAGCGUGAUAGACUGGGCGGGCUGCCGUGAAGGACGGGAUAAAUAAAUUUUUUUACCACUUAUAUAAAAUCUCGUUACGUAUCACUCUUGUUUUGAUCAUGAUGAAUAAUUUCCCGUGAAGGAAAUGGAACAAGCACUAGAAGACUUAAGUUGUCAUCUUCGAUUUUCCUCAUCCCAUCCAUUUUUAAUAGUGAAACUUGGUAUUACGAUAUAAUGGUAUUCCUCUUAUCAGUGAGAGGUCUUAGAUUCGAUUUUCAUCAAAAGAGGAUUUCAACCUGUUGACCCUAGAAACUACAAAGCCUACGUGGCGCGCAGGCCGAGUAAUCUAUAAGCUAACUACGUUCUUCGGUGAUUGCAGGGUGUGCCAACUCGUCGGCCGAGCUCGGCCGAUGAGUAAAUUUGUUGAUGUUGCGUUGGGUGCGCGGCUGACCUCUGCAACUUGCGAUUGCGGCCGAGAAAGGAACACGUCUCGGCCUCUUGGGCUCUCGAACCUGAAGACAAGGUUCCUAUUUUUACGAAGUUCAAUAUCAAAUUCGGUUUUCAACGUGCCGAAUGUAAUCACUUGUAACACAUCACUUCGCCGAGAAGGCUGAUGAGAUGACCUUGACCAACAAGGAUUCAGAAAUCCUUCUCGACCGAGACUUGGAUAGGUAAUCAAUCGUUCUCGCUGUAGUGUUGUUGAUGCCAACGGAAGAUACUGCGAGACCGACUGAUUCUACGGUGACAGAGCUAUCUAUGCCGACUUAAGAUAUCACCGGUUUCUUCCACAGUGCUGUUGAUGCCAACGGAAGAUGUGUCAGCGAACAAGGAAAAAGAAAAAUCACAAGUUGUGAGAAUUUGCGCAGGGCAAUUUUGUAUUGAUUUGCAGGGGUCCUUGAACGUUGCCUGCGACUCUGUAUUUAUAGUGACGAAUAUGCAUUGGUUGAUAAGCUGAAAAAGACUCCCAAACAAUUAAAACUCAUCUUAUCGAAUCCAAGAUAAUCUGCAAGCUUGGGUAACGUCCAUCUAAUCAACCACCCAAUAUAUAUAUAUAUAUAUAUAUAAAAAAAAGGUUGCACCUUUCCCAUGAAUUGGCAGACCUCAUGUCGUCAAUUAUAUAUAUAUAUAUAUAUAUAAAAGGUUGCACCUAAACCCUAUAUAUAUAUAUAUAAAAGGUUGCACCUUUCCCAUGAAUUGGCAGACCUCAUGUCGUCAAUUAUAUAUAUAUGGCUGAUAGCUUUUGACACGGCAUACAUGCCAUGUCCAUCAUCAAUUUACUUCAUCCGACAACACCCCUUAGGUCUCCUACCUCAUCCUCACCUCAUCCACAAUAGCCAUCAUCAUUCUGAUCAAACGAAUUUUAAAUUCAUCUUACUUCCUAGUGCUGACAGUGUUCCAAAUCAAUUUGAAUUGUACUGCUUAUUCGGGAUAUGAAUCGCAUUCUAUUUAUCUGGUUUAAGAAGAUACUGAGAUAAUUCAUAUUAAAAGAUAAUUAUAAUAUUAUCCUUUAAUAAUCAAAUUAUCUCUACUUUCUCAUCUAGCGGUCGAGAAUCAUGCCCACUCAACAGCCUCGAUCGCUUGGGCCGAUGAUGUAAAAUCGGGUCCAAACAUUGCCCCCCAGUUUCCUUGAGCUUCGGCUCGAAAGCCAGAUGGUCAAGGAAAUUAAUUGUCAACAUGACUUGAAACUAAGCAGAAUUCCCCACCUGCAACCACACAUUCAUAGGCUGAAGCUUAUUUACCCUUCUUCACGGCAAUGGCAUCCUUAUGUCAGCUAACUUUAUAUAUAUAUACAUAUAUAUAUAUAUACACACACACACAUGGCAAGCCGAAUGACCCUUUUUUUUUUUUUUUUUUUGCAUGGUCAAUUCGGCCAGAAGUUGCCUAGUCAAUUCGGCCAAAAGCUGCAUAUAUAUAUAUAUAUAUAUAUGUAUAUAAGUUUCGGCCGAGGCUUUGUUUGAUAAUGGGGCCGAGGCCGAGGCUUUUGUAAAGUAGCCGAGGCCGAGGCCAAAUCCGAGAAAAUUUUUUCUUUGUUUCUUUUUCCUUCUCGGCUAACUAAUAUAUAUAUAUAUAUAUAUAUAUAUAUUUGGAUUGCCGUACUGUUGUUGCCCCCCUUAUUUUCUUGGCAUCGGCUGAACAACCGAAUGGUUAAGAAAAUAAGUUAUUUAUUUAAUAAAAGAAAACAAAAGUGGCCGAACUAUAAAGUGGAGGGGGCCAACGAUGCUUUAUUCCGAGUCGAGAUCUUUUUGCAUCAAAAUUUUCAAAUUGAUUUCGCUCUGGGCCGAAUAAAGAAUUUUUCCCGAAUAUUUUUUACUCGGCAAAACAUUUUGCAUUUUCGUCCGCCGAAUGUGUGGAACAAUUAUUAUGCCCCUCAGGCAUAAUUUCGGCUUUUAAUUCAAACAACUUAGCCGAACAGGAUUUCUCCAAUUCGACUUUGUCGCCAAUAAUCAUAUCAAUUGGCGUAGUUUCUUGGGCUAGGCCAAUAUCUCGGCCUUGUUCGUCAUUGGAGCAUUCCUUUGACAAAUCAUUUUCCAAGUCAAUUUUUGUAUCUAGCUCAGGGACUUGAAUUUUUUCUUCUAGGCCUACCAUACUUUCAAUAUCGACCGAAACAACAAGUGGCCUAGGUUUUUCUUCGGCCGUCUCGACAAUUUUCUUAGGCCGAAUGUUGAUUGUGGCCGGAGUGGAAAUUUGCCCCCCGGCCUCUUGCUUUUUAGGAAUUCUUCUCAAACUCUCAAGGAGUUGUUUUUGCUUCUUUAAUAGGAGAUGACACUCUUCCCAUGAAGCCUGAUCGAGAUAAAUCAUGUGAACUUCGCAGUUUUAGCACUAGGUCCCACUGGGCGUGCCAAAAUGUUGACCCUAGAAACUACAAAGCUUACGUGGCGCGCAGGCCGAGUAAUCUAUAAGCUAACUACGUCCUUCGGUGAUUGCGGGGCGUGCCAACUCGUCGGCCGAGCUCGGCCGAGGAGUAAAUUUGUUGAUGUUGCGUUGGGUCGGCUGACCUCUGCGUCUUGCGAUUGCGGCCGAGAAAGGAACACGUCUCGGCCUCUUGGGCUUUCGAACCUGAAGACAAGGUUACUAUUAUUACGAAGUUCAAUAUCAAAUUCGGCUUUCAACGUGCCGAAUGUAAUCACUUGUAACACCUCACUUCGCCGAGAAGGCUGAUGAGAUGACCUCGACCAACAAGGAUUCAGAAAUCCUUCUCGACCGAGACUUGGAUAGGUAAUCAAUCGUUCUCGCUGCAGUGCUGUUGAUGUCAACGGAAGAUACUGCGAGAUCGACUGAUUCUACGGUGACAGAGCUAUCUAUGCCGACUUAAAAUAUCACCGGUUGCUUCCACAGUGCUGUUGAUGCCAACGGAAGAUGUGUCAGCGAACAAGGAAAAAGAAAAAUCACAAGUUGUGAGAAUUUGCGCAGGGCAAUUUUGUAUUGAUUUGCAGGGGUCCUUGAACGUUGCCUGCGACUCUGUAUUUAUAGUGACAAAUACGCAUUGGUUGUUAAGCUGAAAAAGACUCCCAAACAAUUAAAACUCAUCUUAUCGAAUCCAAGAUAAUCUGCAAGCUUGGGUAACGUCCCUCUAAUCAACCACCCAUAUAUAUAUAUAUAUAUAUAUAUAUAUAUAUAUAAAAGGUUGCACCUUUCCCAUGAAUUGGCAGACCUCAUGUCGUCAAUUAUAUAUAUAUAUAUAUAUAAAAGGUUGCACGUUUCCCAUGAAUUGGCAGACCUCAUGUCGUCAAUUAUAUAUAUAUAUAUGGCUGAUAGCUUUUGACACGGCAUACAUGCCAUGUCCAUCAUCAAUUUACUUCAUCCGACAACACCCCUUAGGUCUCCUACCUCAUCCUCACCUCAUCCACAAUAGCCAUCGUCAUUCUGAUCAAACGAAUUUUAAAUUCAUCUUACUUCCCAGUGCUGACAGUGUUCCAAAUCAAUUCGAAUUGUACUGCUUAUUCGGGAUAUGAAUCGCAUUCUAUUUAUCUGGUUUAAGAAGAUACCGGGAUAAUUCAUAUUAAAAGAUAAUUAUAAUAUUAUCCUUUAAUAAUCAAAUUAUCUCUACUUUCUCAUCUAGCGGUCGAGAAUCAUGCCCACUCCACGGCCUCGAUCGCUUGGGCCGAUGAUGUAAAAUCGGGUCCAAACAGAACCUUAUUAUUGUUAGUCAAUUGUGAGGCUAAACCGACUCUCUUCACUUAAUGUAAACAAUAUAAUUUGUUAAAAAUAAAUAAAUAAAAAAUAAAAAAAAGUAGCAACUUAGUCACUAUGUGACUUGGUCUGCAAAGGAAUUUUUUUUUUAAUUUUUUUCUUCAAACGGUCUGCAAAGUUAGUACAUAUUAUUCAUACCCUAUUACAGUUUUAUCUAAUUUUGUUUAAAUUUGUUUAGUAUUAAAAUUUUUAAGAUUGAAGGUUUUAGGGAUGACAUAUCAAGUCUUUCUCAUAAAUUCUACAAAUUAAUUUGACUUUUUGACAUUUUUCACUUCAUUAAAAAAGGUAAAUUGUCUCUCAUAUAUAAAGAGUGUUCCUACGCUUACUCCUCAAUGCUAUCUUUUCACCCACCUUAUAUUCUUACCCACCAUAAAAAAUUAAAAGCAUAUAAUACUCUCUUUACACCCACAAUUAUUCCUAGAAUGUCCUUGAUACAUUUUUCAACUAUUUUCCUACAAAAAAACAAAAAUUGAAAUUCAAAACCACGCCACCCGAUCCAAUCCGAUGGCAACCCCCUUCCCAUCUCUAGCCAACUUUUUCUCUCUGGAAAUUUGGAGGAAGAGAGGGCCUUGACAUGGCCCAUUUCAAUGGGAACGAGGAAAAUGAGAGACAUUCUCAGUCGAAUCGAUCGUCGUUUUCGGACUGGUAAAGACGAUUUGGGUUAAUUAAGGUUGAGUUUGUUUAUUAGUGGGUUCAAUUAAGAUGGAGAAAAGAAAAGACUAAGUUAGGGAUGAGACACCAAAACGGUGGAUGAUGGUUGCCGUCAUAUUGGAUGGGGUGGGUGUGGCUCUUCGCUUUCCUUCUAAUUUUCAAUUUUUGUCUUGUUUUUUCUUCUACUUUUAACAGAAGCAGCAACUAGAGCUAGUGUGUUGAUUGCAUCCACCAUUUUUUUUCAUAGCUUCUCAUAUCUUUUUCCUCAAAUCUCUCUUUGCUUUUUGGGACUUCUCCUCCAUAUUAAAGAUAACAAUGUUUUUUUUAAAUUGGAAACAAAAUGUUGAAUUUAUGUUAUUGGCCAUAAAAAAAUAUAAUAAUUAAUUUUGUUAGGAUUUCAAAAGUCGUUUUACAAAAGGUUAAAUAUGUCAUUAAAAUUUUCAAUAAUAAGUGGGUGGGAAAAUAAGGUUGAGGGGUGGGUAUAUUAUCAAAUUUCAAUUUGUAGGGAACAAAUUCCACAUGUCCGUAGAAUUACUUGAUAAAUUAGACCUGGCCAUACCGGUUUGGUGAUACUGGAUUUGUGAUUCAAUUGAAGAUAUACUUAUAUUAUGUAGUUUCAUUUUUAAUUACAGUCAGUUUUUUUCUAUUUUAAUUAUAAAACCCUCACCCCCUAUCAUAUUGUGUACGUUAUAAAAUGAAGAUUGAGAGACUAUAUGUAUGUAGUUAUUAGUAAGCCGUUAACUCGUCCUCUCAAACUUUCAUUGUAUUGCUUUUGUAACAUGCAUAUAUUGUAGAAUUAUAAAAGAGACGGGCUUCACUACUAACAACACUGAUAUUGUCCCUUAUUUGAUAAUUACCAUCAGCAUAAUCUGUCAGGUGUGAGUUUUAUCACAAAAAAUAUCGAUAUUAAUUGGAGUGGAGUUAAGAUAUUUAAACAUUUAUUUUUUAUUUUUAAAGAUAUGAUCCAUGUGAAAUAUUUCAACAUAUAUACUAAGCAAUAAAAUAAGAAGAAAAUGUAGAUUAUGCUUUAUGCGGUCGUAUGGUUUGGCAUGCAAAGAUGUGGAAGCUUAUAAUCCCCUUCGAUUUCUAAGACACAUCCGUAGAUCCAAACUUACAAAAUCUGUAUUAUUUUGUAUUUCAUGCCAAGACUGUCUUUGUAUGUUUUUGUCAUUAAACCUCACAAGUCACAAAAAUUUUCAUUCGGAAUCUUUCUAUUUUCACACUAUUUCGGGGAAGGAAAAAACCACAUUCUGAACAAAAAUAAAACAUGACAAAAGACUUCAAAAACUUUUUAUUGGCGAGUUUGAUAAGUCAUAAGUUAGAGUUUUUUUACUUUUCUUAACGUAUAUAAAUAUAUCGUUGUAUUAAGAAUAUAACCAAAAACUUAACGGAAUUUUUUUUUUGUGUGUGUUCGCGCCGCCCGGGGAAGGGGGGGGGGGGCGUUCACAGUAGAGUAAAGUUGAGCUCUGAAACAUGUACUAACUUAUGCAUAAUGCAGUAGUUUGUAUUGUACCCAAUUAAAAACUAUUUGACAAUGGUCGUAGAACUAAAACCCUUUAAGCAGAGGUGCUUCUUCAAACAAGCAUGAAGCAUGAAGGGAAAUCUAUGAGGAUGUGAAAGGUAAGGUCACACGAUAGAGAAAGAUCAAACUUCGCAAUGACUUAUAAAGAGUUAGAUCACACCUCUUAUUCUGAAUUGAUUUACCGGUAGAAUCUUAACUUCUUCUAGAAUCUCGAAAGCACGACCAAACAAACAUAUGAAUGGAACAUUUGAAAGCACCAGAGCCGAAAGAAUCAAUCUAAGCUCUAGCGCCAGAGUCUUAAAAGCCAAAAUUAGCUAACACAUUUGUAGUUAAGUUCGCUUCACCAUACAAACGCAUUAUAUAUAUGCUGAUGAGUGAUGACAAAAUAGAAUACAGAUGCCUGCAAUGCAUAUAAAGCACUACUCAUAUUAAUUAAUCUAUAUGGCCCUAAGUGAGAACUACGUACUAUUCAGUAUCUCAAAGAAAACCAAGAAUUAACUUUGAAGGCAAGUGGCAGAUUGUCUUAGAGCAUUCUCUUCAAUUUACUACGUUUCGGAUUUAAACUCUCUUACCUUUUAGUUUAGAUGAAUCUAAUGUAAAUUAUUCCAUCAUUUGGCGAAAUUUUUUGAAGAAGCAUAUGACCAGAUUUUUUAAAUUAGAUGGUCGGAUUUUGUCAUUAUUAUCCAUGGAUAGUGCUAGAUGUAGACCAUUUUUUACUUCUCAUACAUCUCUCAAGUUUUAUUUGUCGGAUUGAAUUAAAGAAGAUCAAUGACAAUAAGGGUGUGUAAGAAAUAAAAUUGAGCAUGUGGAUUGCACUUUCCUUACCCAAAUGAGUGGUCCGAGUCUGAUCCAACUAAAAAAAUCUGUGAGUAUUUAACGGAGUCGGGCAAGAAGAAGUAAUGCAUUAUCUGCCGAAUAAAAAGAACAUGUUGGUAAAAACUAUGAUACCGUUAUCCCUAAUUUUCUUAAUUCAAUUAUUAUGAAUAAUAAAUUCAGUACCAAUUAAUAAGACAUACUUAUUAUGUGGCUUAACUCAAAUUUUAUCCCUUAAUAUAAAUAUUUUAUUGUAUCAAAGAAAAUUAAGUUUUUUCAGCACUUGAAAUCACUAUUUCACGAAUUGAUUUUGCAAUUUCUCCUCACAAAAACAUUAGAAGUGUUGUAUAACUUAACUAAUCAUUUUAGCAUUUGAGGUUGAAUGUUCUAAGAGGUUAUAACUUAGUUAGUUAAGAACAUUCACCUCUACACAGGAGAUCUUAAGUUUGAUUUGCCCUUGUCAAUACUUCUACAAAAAAUAGUCAAUCAUGUAUCUGAUUUAGGAAUUUCUACUUUAUAUUACUCCUAAAAUAAAAAGUUUAUUUGAUACUAGCAGAUGAGCACACACUCUGUGUGUGUGAACAAUUGCCUACCUCCUCCCACGUUCUCCUCAAGCCCAACCGCUUCAGUUAAUUCAAACUAUCCAAAAAACAUCAUGAUUUCACUUAAUUGUAUGAAAAAAUGAUGUGGGACAAUUUCUCUUAAUAAGUGCAUAUUUUUUUAUCUUAUGUAAAUAUUUCGAUACAAAUUUACUAUUUUUCCAUCCUUAUGUAAAUAUUGUGUAUCAAAAGCGAGGGCAAAAUAGGAAAAAAAAGGGGAAAUCAAAAGAUACAAAAUUACUAUUUUUCCAUCCUCAUGUCAUCAUUGUGUAUUCAAAAGUGAGGGCAAAUUGGAAGAAAAUGGGGCAAAAAGUUGACAAGCCAUCUUUUCUUAAUAGAAUAACUAGCAUAUGGGCACACACAAAGUAUGAGAAAAUUUUUUAUUUUUGUUUUUGAAAUAGAAGGAGAGAGGAAGAGAGUGAUAGAGAAUGUGGGAGUAGGAAGUUUUUAAUUUUUUUUAAUUUUUAAUUUUUUUAAUUAGAGAUAUGUUAGAAUUACAUGUAAGUGAGACGUUGAAAAAAAAGCAAAAUUUGGCUGUAAAAUUACAUUUCUAUUCCAUAUUUCUUAUUCAUGUUUUGUUUUAAUUAGAUGAUUAAACUGAUAAUUUCAAAGUAUUUUGAUUGACAAUGAAUAUUUUAUUAAUUAGUAGAUAUGUAUGAUUUCAAAAUCCGACCCAUAUCUCAUUUUAGUUUAAAUAAAAUUAAAAAGAAGUUGUGAAGUAAAGAAAAUUUGAAAGCACAUUCAAAAUGAGGGAAGAAAAGACUAAAACAGAUGGGUGGCGGAUGGCGGUAGUUCCAAUAUCAGCCAAUCAUCAGGAGUUGGAUUGAGGACAGAACCAAAGCCAGACCAUCCUCUUUUAUCUUUCUUCCCUCUUUAAAUCGGAAUAAAAUUAAAACUGUCAGACAAAUAUCAAAGUUCUCUCUCUUUCUUUGUUUGUCUGCCUGUCUGCAAGCAAUCGCAGCCCCUCCCAUGCAUUUGAAUUAAGAAAAACUAAUGAAAAUAACUUGAAAACUUUGAGUUUUAACUAUAAGAAUAAAAUAAAAGAACCAUGUUUGACUUUUUAGUGUAAAAAUGUGGUUUUUCAUUAAAGUGAACAGUACCGUUGGUUUUUCGUUAAAACUUUAUCUCAAUUAUUUAUAAGGAAAACUAAUGAAAAAGACUUGAAAACUUUGAGUUUUAACUAUAAGGAUAAAAUAAAAGGAAAACUAAUGAAAAUGGUUUGAAAACUUUGAGUUUUAAUGAUAAGGACAAAAUAAAGGGUAAAGUGAAUAGUACCAGGAUUGACUUUUUAGUGUAAAAAUGUGGUUUUUCGUUAAAGUGAACAGUGCCAGGUGCUUUUCAUUAAAGUUCCCUAAAAUAAAGGGUAAAGUGAAUAGUAUCAUGUUUGACUUUUUAGUGUAAAAAUGUGGUUUUUCGUUAAAUGAACAGUACCGCAGACUUUUCAUUAAAACUCCCUUAUUUGUAAGUUUUUUAAUUCCUAAUCUCAUGCUCUUUCUAAGACUAGAAGAAAUAUAAAAGUAUAUAUUAUAUACUGUUAUAAAUAUGUCAAAGUUAGAGAGAUAACCUUUUUAGUAAAUGAUGGAGCAAAGCAGGUGUAAAAUGUCACAUUGAAAUUAUAGCACUAGGGGAUGACAAAUAAAAGAGGGAGGAAUAGAUGAUGUUAUUGAGCUUUCUUUCUUUCUGUAUGCUUUCCCUGUAUAUACAUCGAUGGCAGUAAGAGUGCUCUAUUUAUAGAGCGAAUCCAUACGAACAAAUUCUUAAAGUUUGAAAUUUACAACUCAUAGCUUUGACAAUACAACAUUUUGUUUCCAAAGUCUUCAUCAUAUUUGUGUGGGUAUUGACAAAGAACUUAUGUGGGCAUUCAUUAGAUAGUCGCUGGUUUCAUCAGCUAAUGUUUUCAACUGCCAAUAUUGACUGUCAAUGGUUUCAACACUCCAUCUUAGAUGCCCACAUAUCAACAUCAGUUGCCUCGUUAAAACCUUGCUUAGAAAAACCCAGUGGGAAAAAUCUAAUCGAAGGAAAAAGAGUACAACAAACAUGUAUCAUGGAUACUCCCCCUAAUAUAUAUCUCUCCUUGAUUCCGCAUUCUCCAAAUUGAGUUGUUUGGUAAGUCGAAGUAAUCCAAUAUUUUACACUAACUUUUGAAACGUGCACUUUGGUAGAGAUUUGGUGAACAAAUCUGCCAGAUUUUUAUUAGAACAUAUUUGUCUUACUUCAAUAACUUUAACCUUCUGAAGCUCAUGUGUACUGAAAAACUUUAGAGAUAUGUGUUUAGUUUUAUUGCCCUUGAAGAAUCCUUCAUUCAUAUGGGCAACACAGGCUGCAUUAUCUUCAUGAAUGAUAGUUGGAUUGUCUGUCUUCAAAGUUAGACCACAUGAAUUCCGGAUAUGAUGGAUCAUUGAUCUUAACCAAGAACAUUCACGACUUGCUUCAUGUAAAGCAAGUAUUUCUGAAUGAUUUGAAGAUGUAGCAACUAAUGUUUGCUUUGUUGAGCGCCAAGAGAUUGCUGUAUCUCUAUUCUUGAACACAUAUCCAGUUUGUGAGCGGGCUUUAUGCGGAUCAGAGAGGAAACCAACAUCUGCAUAUCCAACAAGGACCUGGUCAUUUGUUGAGUUCUUUGAGUAGAAGAGACCCAUAUCUGUUGUCCCACGAAGGUAUCACAAUACAUCUUUGACACCCUUCCAAUGACAGAUUGUUGGAGCAAAGCUAUACCUGGCUAACAAGUUGAAAAAGCUAUAUCUGGUCUUGUCCAUUGUGCUAAAUACAACAAAGUUCCUACUGCACUCAGAUAUGGUACUUCUGGACCAAUGACCAUUUCAUCAUCUUCUUUUGGACGGAAUGAAUCUUUCUUAAUGUCCAGAGAACGAACGACCAUUGGCGUGCUGAGUGGAUAAGCCUUGUCCAUACCAAAACGCUUCAGGAAUUUUUUCAAUGUAAGUUGAUUGGUGGACCAAAAUUCCACUAACACAAUACUCGAUCUGCAGGCCGAGACAAAAUUUUGUUUUUCCAAGGUCUUUCAUUUCAAAUUCGUUUUUCAGAUAUUCAGCAGUUUCAUUGAGCUCUUCAGGAGUUCCAACUAGGUUCAUAUCAUCAACAUAUACUGCCACUAUAGCAAAUCCAGAAUUGGAUUUCUUAAUGAACACACAAGGGCAAAUGAUAUUAUUGAUGUAUCCUUCUUUGGUCAAAUACUCACUGAGAUGAUUAUACCAUAUUCGUCCAGAUUAUUUUAGCCUAUACAAUGAUCGCCUUAAUUGAUCGAAAGCAUAUCUCGUGGUUUGUUAGCUGUUUCAGGCGACUUAAGUCCUUCUAGGACUUUCAUAUAUAUGUUAGUAUCUAAUUCUCCAUAUAGAUAUGCAGUGAUGACAUCCAUAAGUCGCAUGUCAAGCUUUUCUGAAACCACUAAACUUAUUAAGUAACGAAACGUAAUUGCGUCCAUUACACUAGAGUAUGUCUCCACAUAAUCAAUUCCAGGUCUUUGUGAAAAACCUUGUGCAACGAGUCGUGCUUUAUAUCUUGCAAUCUCGUUUUUCUCAUUGCGUUUCCUUGUGAAUACCCAUUUGUAACCCACGGGGUUUACACCAGGUGGGGUUUGGACUACAGGUCCAAAAACACUUCACAUUUCCAAGGAAUUUAAUUCUGCCUGGAUUGCAUCUUUCCACUUAGGCCAAUCUUGUCUCUGUUUACAUUCAUCAAUAGAGCGGGGCUCAAGAUCAUCACUUAAUAUGAUUUUAGUGGCUACUGCGAAUGCAAGCAUAUCGUCAAUGAUUAUUUCAUUUCGAUCCCAUAAUUCAUUAGUACAUGCAUAAUUUAUGGAGAUUUCUUUGCUUUCAUGUACUUCUAUCUCUUCAGGAAUAUGUGUCUUAUGAAGGACAUUUUCUUUUUCUGGUAGUCCAGAAUCAUGAAUUGUGGAUUUAUCAUCCAUUUUCUCUUCCUGAAUGAUUUCAUUUAGAUUUAGAUGUGCCUUUGUCUUUCUCUUGCGAGGGGCUGAAUCUUUUGAACUUGGGGGUCUACCACGCUUCAGGCGUGCACCAGAUAAAUCAUUCGCUACCACUUUAUUUUGUCCAACAGGAACAUCAAUUUUUGCUGGUGCAUUUGCAGCUCGUAUAUGUGAUUUUGUCACUUUCAUAGCAUCAUUAAAUGCAUCUGGCAUGUGAUUGGCAAUGCUUUGAAGAUGAACGAUCAUUUUUACUUCAUUUUCACAUUGCAUGCUUCGAGUAUCAAAAUGAGACAAGGUGGGAACAACCCAUGUCAACUCUUUCCGUUCUUCUGGAACGGUAUUUUCUCCCUCUAAUGACAGGAAGACUGUCUUUUCAAAGUGAUAAUCAGCAAAAUGAGCUGUAAACAUAUCACAUGUCAAGGGUUCCAAAUAUUUAAUGAUAGAUGGUGAAUCAAAACCCACAUAAAUUCCCAGUCUACGCUGAGGUCCCAUUUUAGUGCGUUGCGGAGGUGCAAUAGGCACAUAAACAGCACAACCAAAAACUCGUAAAUGUGAAAUGUUUGGCUGAUGCCCAAACACGAGUUGUACUGAGGAGUGUUGGUGGUUAGAAAUAGGUCUCAAUCGAACUAAUGAUGCAGCAUGUAAGAUGGCAUGUCCCCAUGCAGAAACUGGCAAUUUGGUUUUCAUAAGCAGAGUGCAAGCUAUCAACUGCAAUCACUUGAUCAAUACUUCUGCCAAACCAUUUUGAGUAUGGACAUGAGGAACGGGGUGUUCAACAUCGAUGCCUAAUGUCAUGUAGUAAUCAUCAAAGGUUUGAGACGUAAAUUCACCAGUGUUAUCAAGUCGGAUUGACUUAAUGGGAUAAUCUGGGAAUUGUGCUCGUAACUUAGUUAUCUGAGCAAGAAGUCUCGCAAAAGCUACAUUCCGAGUAGACAACAGACAAACAUGUGACCAUCUGGUAAAUGUAUCAAUCAAAACCAUAAAAUAUCGAAAUGGUCCACAAGAUGGUUGAAUAGGUCCACAAAUAUCCCUUUGAAUUCUUUGCAGAAAUGAUGGGGAUUCAACAUCAACCUUUAGUUGUGAUGGUCUAAUUACUAACUUCCCUUGAGAACAAGCCUUGAAAGGGUUAUCAUUUGAGAUAACAAUGUCUCUGCUCAAUAAUGGAUGUCCAUUAGAGUUGGUAAUGAUCCUACGCAUCAUGGUGGAUCCUGGAUAACCCAGAUGGUCAUGCUAAAGCAUGUAAACUUUUGAAUCAAUGAACUUCUAGUUCAUGACAGUAUGUGAUUCAACUGUCUUUAUGUAUGUAUAAUACAAUCCACUCGACAAACCAUGCAACUUCUCCAAUAUACGCUUAUGGGUAUCAUUGGAGGUAAUGCAUAGAUACUCCACAUUUUCUGCACUUUUUGUUUCAAUGUGGUAUCCAUUUAAAUGUAUGUCUUUGAAACUCAACAAGUUUCAAGUAGAUCGAGUAGCGUACAACGCAUUCUGUAUGGAUAAUAUUGUUCCAUUUGGUAACAUAAUCUGGGCUUUCCCUCAGCCUUUAAUCACAUCUGAUUGGCCUGAUAUUGUUGUUACCUUUACUUUUGUAAACAUCAAGCUUGGGAAAUACUUUCGAUCUCGAAGUAUUGUAUGCGUUGUUACGCAGUCUGCAAGACAGAUAUCUCCACCAUUUCUCAUGUUCUGAGAAUGACCAUAGUUUUUAUCCAUGCUCUUUGAGUAAAGGACUCAGAGUUAAAAGCAAGUUAUAACAAGAAAUUUACAUGCCACUUUUAUUGAAUCUAAAAUGCUAGUUUUACACAACAAGUUCAGCAUAAUAAAAGUACAUCAAACAUAAAUGAUUCAGUCAGACUGGUAUACUUCAUUCCCUCUUUCUAUAAUGAAGUCUGAAACAUCUAGGUGGGUUGUGUCCAAUUGCCCUGAUAAAUCACACACUGGAUCAGGUAUAUCCAUUGGUCUAGCCUGGUCGAGGAAAUUAGCCUUGACACCCUUUUGCCUUGAGGAAGGCUUGAUACAGAUCCACUAGAUAUUUUGGGGUACGACAAGUGCGUGCCCAAUGCCCAUUGCCACCACACCUAUGGCAGGCUCCUUCAGAGUUCCUGGGAGCAUUGGUCAUAUGAGCUUUGCCUUUGUGGCGAUUCAUUUUUUUAAAGCUCAGGCCUGAAUUAUGCCUCAGAACCUGGUUGUGAAACUGACCACCAUGGUUCUUGCCUUUCCUAUUCCAUCGACCUCGCUUGUGGCCACGUCCUCAUUUAUGAUUAUCACCACCAGAGGAUGUGGUGUUCACUUUGGGAAGCAGCAUUCAUUUCUGGGAAUGGUGUAGAUCCAAUAGGUCAGGAAUUAUGGUUUUUCAUCAGGAGCUCAUUGUUCUGUUCAGCUACCAGGAGCACGGAUAUCAGUUGGUUGUAUUCAGUGAAGCCUUGUGCUCUAUAUUGCUGCUGCAUGAGCAAGUUAGAGGCAUGAAAUGUGCUGAAAGUCUUUUCCAGCAACAUUUCCUUAGUAAUACUAUCCCCACAGAGUUUCAUCUGAGAGGUAAUUCUGAACAACGCAAAAUUAUACUCAGCCACUGACUUGAAAUCCUGGAUCUUAGGUGAGUCCAUUCAUAGCGAGCUCUUGGAAGAAUCACCGUUGUCUGGUGAUUGUAUCUUGCCAAAGAGCUAACGGAUCUUCAGCCGUUAAGUACUCACUCUUUAAUGCCUCAUCAAGAUGACGACGAAUAAAAAUCAUAGCCUUCGCCCGCUCUUGAAAGGAUGAGCUGGUCUUUUCCCUGAUGGUAUCUCCAAGAUUCCCUGCUUCCAGAUGGAUCUUGGUAUCCAGUACCCAGGUAAGGUAAUUCUUCCCGGUAAUGUCCAGGGCAGCAUAUUCAAGCUUUGCCAAGUUCGCAAUUUUCUUUUCUGAAAGAAAAAUGAGAUGUGUAAGAACUUGCAAUACUAUGUAUUCCUGGAGGAAUAUAGUGUUAGAACUUAUGGCUCUUACAAAUUUUUCACUUUGAUCUUUAGGCCUAAAUGAUAAGCACUCGAAAGUUCUAGCUCGAGAUUUUUAGGAUGACUAAGGAAGGUGAUUGUACCGCACCAUUCUCAUUAAAAUAAUAUAACAUGUUAUGGGUGAUUAUUCCGUACCACUCAAGUAGCAAGAAAAUUUAAAUAUGUAGAGCAAUGUGGGCGAUUAUACCGCACCACCUAAAAUUACAAUGAAAUUAAACCGCAGGUGUUGAUGCACAAAAUCAGUGAGGACUUUGGUACAACAGAAAGUGUUAAGUUUGUGACCUUCGCUAGAUUGCUCCGGUCACUAGUAUGGACAAGUAUGUAAAUGGAUAGAGACAGGGAAGCAAACACAAGAUGUACGUGGUUCACCCAGAUUGGCUACGUCCACGGAGUAGAGGAGUUCUCAUUAAUUGUGAAAGGUUUACACAAGUACAUAUGUUCAAGCUCUCCUUUAGUGAGUACAAGUGAAUGAUUUAGUACAAUGACAUUAGAAAAUAUUGUGAAAGAAUGAUCUCUAUUUAUAGAAGAGAGCUUCUAGUUUCAUUUUGACAUUGACACGUGUCGUGUUGUGAUUGGUUUCUGAUGUUGACAGUUGUCGAGCUAUGAUUGGCUUCUGAUGUUGACACGUGUCGCGCUGUGAUUGGCCUCCUGGUUGGAGGGAAACUCUUCUGGGUCCUUGACAGUAUAACGUUGACGGUGCUCAGUAGUUUUCGGGAUUGGUCAAGUAUGGUACAAACAGUGCUCCCCUAAGUUCCCGAGUGAGGGAAGCUCUCUCGGUUGGGGACUUGCAAGAUCCAGAGCCAUUGAGUAAUAAUCACGAAACUUCUAAGUACCGAAGUGUGGUCAUUUUCAACUUGCCUUAUCUGUCUCAUAUGUAGAUGUGGCAUCUUCUCUGGAAGUACUUUUCCUCCAUCCAGGGUGGUAUCUUUAACCGAUGAAGAUGCACAAGGUAAUGUAUCAAUUUUCACUUGAAGCUUACUUGUAGUUUCGGGCUUGGUCAAGUGCGAUACAAACCCUAUAGUAGGAGUCCCCCAAGUCGCCGAGCUAGGAGAUUUGCCGAAUGAGGUAACAGACAAGGUAAGCAAUCAGACUUCCAAGCAAGCAACCUGGAUCGGAGGUUCGACUUCGGCUUCCGGUUGAUUGUUCUCCUUCUCCUUGUGUCGUAAAUAGCAACAAGGAUAAGGAGAAGCAAAUGGAGAAGAGAUGAUAUGAGAUACUUUUGCUUUUGAAGAAGUAACUUUCCACAGGCUUAUUCUUGAACUGGGCUGGAGGGUUUUCUGGUUUCCUCCAGAGUAUAAGGCCGACUCAAGAAUUUGAGGGUCAAAACAAGUCCAUCAAAUCUAGAGUACGUUCGACCUUGAUGAUAUGGGAUACUUUUGCUGUUGACAAAGUAGUGGAUGUAUCGGCACGUGUUCUGUUACGCUUGUCUCCACAUGCUUCCUUGUAUCCUUCUCACUUGCCCUAUCUGUUCCUCAGGCAGAUGUGGUAUCUUUCUGGAAGCAUAAGAUGUUGAAGAUGAGUACUCGAGAGCAAUGCCAGGUAAGUAAUCAGGCAAGGGGUUCCAGGCAGUCAGUUCCUGACUGGAAGCUUGAUUCCAAGUGCUGACUGAUUGCUCUCUUUCUCCUUGUCUUGCAGGUAAGAACAAGGCCAAAGGAAAAGACAGGGAAAAAGCAUGAUAUGGAUACUCUUGCUUUUAACCCUGAUGAUAUGAGAUACUCUUGCUCUGGUGUGGCUUGUUUGCAGAGGUAUUAUCGGGAGGAAAAAAAGCUGAGUAUUUCGAGAGACUCUGCUGAGAGUGCCCUCUCGGAUGUGAAGAAAAGUUGAGCAUUUUUUUUUAUUUGCAGGUUUGCCUGGUUGUGGAGGAUGGAGGUCGACAUAUAUAGGAGUCUCCCUAACAACAAGUAGUAGUGCUAUUCCUUUACCUUUCUUGGUCGUAGCAAUGUAGUGGGAGCUGCAAGCUUCACGUUUUUUAACUUUGUCAUAGCACUUUGAAAAAGUGGUAUGUGGUAUUUGGAAGGCUGAUGUUGCGUGUGAAAAUUGCAGACAAGCUUUAUCCAAGGAAAUCUUGCUCUCAAAGUUCAGAGAGCAAUGCCUCUUCGGUUUUCGAACAAGCAAUCCUGUCGGGGAUCUGGCUCUCGAGAUUCGGAGAGCGGUGCCUCUUUGAUUUUUGAGAAAGCAAUCCUGUUGGGAGUCUGGCUCUUGAGAUUUGGAGAGCGGUGCUUCUUCGACUUUUGAGAAAGUAAUAAUGUUGUUGGGAGUCUGGCUCUCGAGAUUCGGAAGGCGGUGCCUCUUCGAUUUUUUAGCAAGUAAUAAUGUUAUUCCUUUACCCUUCUUGGUUAUAGCAAUGUAGUGGGAGCUGCAAGCUUCAUAUGUUUUAACUUUGUUAGAGCGCUUUGAAAAGUGGUAUGUGGUAUCUAGAAAGCUGAUGUUGCGUGUGAAGAUUGCAGACAAGCUUUAUCCAAGGAAAUCUGGCUCUCGAAGUUCGGAGAGCAGUGCCUCUUCGGUUUUCGAACAAGCAAUCCUAUCGGGGAUCUGGCUCUUGAGAUGUAGAGAACGGUGCCUCUUUGAUUUUUGAGAAAGCAAUCCUGUUGGGAGGCUGACUCUUGAGAUUCGGAGAGCAGUGUCUCUUCGAUUUUUGAGAAAGUAAUCAUGUUGGGAGUCUGGCUCUCGAGAUUCGGAGAGUGGUUCCUCUUCGAUUUUUGAGCAAGCAAUCUUGUUGGGAGUGUUUUCUCGAAUAUGAGUAAAGGUUGGGCAUUUUUGCCAGUCUGCCUUGCCACGGAGCACGGAGGUUGACACACAUUGGGACUUUCUAGUUAUCAAGCAGUGGUGCUGUUCCUUUACCCUUGUGGGUAAUAGUAGGGUAGCUGGACCUUCAAAAUUUAUGUGUCUAAACUUUGUCAGAGAUCUUUGGCAAAGUUAUCUGUGGUACCCGAUGAGCUGAUGUUGCGUGUGGAAAGUGGUGCCUCUUCGAAAUCUGGAGAGUGGUGCCUCUUCGAUUUUUGAACCAACGGCCUUGUUGCCCUUUCUUUUAUAAGGGCACCAAUUGUGUGCAAGAAGUACAUUCAGAGAGUUAUUGCUUGUAGGAAUUUUCCCCUUACUUCAGAGAUUUAUUGCACCUCAUUUCUCCUUCAUCAUUUCUGAGAAUGUCUGGCCCAUCCGACCGUCGUUUUGACUUGAACUUUGGUGAAGAGGCAGCCAUGCCUUCUCAAGACAACAUAUGGCGCCCAUCCUUCUUAUCCCCUACUGGUCCUCUUACCGUUGGGGACUCUGUGAUGAAGAAUGAUAUGACCGCUGCGGUGGUGGCCAGGAACCUUCUCACUCCCAAAGAUAACAGACUACUUUCCAAACGGUCUGAUGAGUUGGCUGUUAAGGAUUCUCUGGCUCUCAGUGUUCAGUGUGCAGGUUCUGUGUCUAAUAUGGCCCAACGCCUAUUUGCUCGAACCCGCCAAGUUGAAUCAUUGGCGGCUGAAGUGAUAAGUCUCAAACAGGAGAUCAGAGGGCUCAAGCAUGAGAAUAAACAGUUGCACAGGCUCGCACAUGACUAUGCUACAAACAUGAAGAGGAAGCUCGACCAGCUGCAGGAAUCUGAUGGUCAGAUUUUACUUGAUCAUCAGAGGUUUGUGGGUUUGUUCCAAAGGCAUUUAUUGCCUUCGUCUUCUGGGGCUGUACCGCGUAAUGAAGCUCCAAAUGAUCAACCUUCGGUGCCUCCUCCUUCUGGGGUUCUGCCUAGUACUGAGGCUCCGAAUAAUCACCCUCUGGUGCCUCCUCUUUCUGGGGCUCUGCCGACUGCUGAGACUUCUCCUGAGCAACCUUUGUGAAGGCUCCCUCUUGUUUGUUUAUUUUGAUUCAUGUGUAUAUGUACAUAUUUGUAACUUAUCGGAGAUAUCAAUAAACAAGCUUUGCUUCAUUUCAACGUAUUGUGUUAAAUACACCAAGGCCUUCUUCACUAAGUUCUUUGAAUUUUUUCCUUUUGUUGAAUCUUGUAUGUUGAAACUUUGUGAGUGAAGCAUGUAGGUUGAGGUAGUGCUUCCUUAAUUUCCCGAGUGAGGAAAACUUUUCGUUUGGAGACUUGAAAUAUCCAAGUCACUGAGUGGUCGUGAGACUUCCGAGUAUCAAGGUGCAGUAGCAUAUGGUAGGAGUCCCCUAAGUCUCCGGUUGAGGCAUUUCCUUUCUAAGUGGUAGCCCAAAACUCCUUCAUAUAUAUUUGUUAUGAAAGUUGUUAGGCCCAAAGAAGAGGAGGCCUAGGCAAUUUAUUUAUUUUUUUUGGUUUUUUUUUUCGAAAUUUCGAAUUUUUGAAUUUUUGAAUUUUUGAAUUUUCGAAUUUCUGAAAAGAAAAAAAAUAUAUAUAUUUUAAAGCUUUGUAGGUGAAGCUUUGGUGUUGAAGCUUUGUAGGUGAAGCUUUGAGGUUGAAGCUUUGUUGGGCACCAUGAAUUGAUUUUGCUUCACACUAUCUUGAUCAAGAUUGUGUGAAGCUUUUGUAGGUGAAGCUUUUGUGUUGAAGUUUUGUAGGUGAAGUUUUUGUGGGUGAAACUUUUGUGGGUCAAGCUUUUGUGGGUCAAGCUUUUGUAGGUCAAGCUUUUGUGGGUCAAGCUUUUGUAGGUGAAGCUUUUGUGGGUCAAACUUUUGUGGGUCAAGCUUUUGUGGGUCAAGCUUUUGUAGGUGAAGCUUUUGUGGGUCAAGCUUUUGUAGGUCAAGCUUUGUUGGGUCAAGCUUUUGUAGGUGAAGCUUUUGUGGGUCAAGCUUUUGUAGGUCAAGCUUUGUUGGGCACCAUGAAUUGAUUUUGCUUCAUAUUAUCUUGAUCAAGAUAGUGUGAAACUUUUGUAGGUGAAGCUUUUGUGUUGAAGUUUUGUAGGUGAAGCUUUUGUGUUGAAGUUUUGUAGGUGAAGCUUUUGUGGGUGAAGCUUUUGUGGGUCAAGUUUUUGUGGGUCAAGCUUUUGUAGGUGAAGCUUUUGUGGGUCAAGCUUUUGUAGGUGAAGUUUUUGUGGGUUAAGCUUUUGUGGGUGAAGCUUUUGUAGGUGAAGCUUUUAUGGAUGAAGCUUUUAUAGGUUAAGCUUUUGUGGGUGAAGCUUUUGUGGGUGAAGCUUUUGUGGGUCAAGCUUUUGUAGGUGAAGCUUUUGUGUUAAAGCUUUUGUUGGGUACCAUGAAUUGAUUUUGCUUCACACUAUCUUGAUCAAGAUAGUGUGAAGCUUUUGAGAAUUUGUAGUUGUCCUCCAUUGAUGAAGCUUUUGUUGGUGAAGCUUUGGAGUUGAAGCUUUUGUUGGGUACCAUGAAUUGAUUUUGCUUCACACUAUCUUGAUCAAGAUAGUGUGAAGCUUUUGAGAAUUAGUUGUUAUCUUCCAUUGAUGAAGCUUUUGUUGGUGAAGCUUUGGAGUUGAAGCUUUUGUUGAAUUUCCCCUUUUUUUUUUUUUUGGGAAACUAGAAAUUUGAAAAUGUGGGAGAGACAACAUAUACAAAUUUUGCUUCCACAUUGUUGAGCAAGAGAUUGUGAUGCAAGCCACACCUUGUAGUAGUCGAAGGUUUGGAUGAACCAUAUAAAUUGAAUUUGCUUCGAACAGUCUUGAAUUUGCUUCGAAGGUUUGAGAAUUGUAGUUGCCCUCCAUUGAUGAAGCUUUUGUUGGCACCAUAAAUUGGUUUUGCUUCACACUGUCUUGAUCAAGAGUGUGUGAAGCUUUUGAGAAUUAUGAUUGCCCUCAUUGAUGAAGCUUUUGUUGGCACCAUAAAUUUGUUUUGCUUCACACUAUCUUGAUCAAGAGUGUGUGAAGCUUUUGAGAAUUGUGGUUGCCCUCCUUUGAUGAAGCUCUUGUUGGCACCAUAAAUUGGUUUUGCUUCACACUGUCUUGAUCAAGAGUGUGUGAAGCUUUUGAGAAUUGUGGUUGCCCUCCAUUGAUGAAGCUCUUGUUGGCACCAUAAAUUGGUUUUGCUUCACACUGUCUUGAUCAAGAGUGUGUGAAGCUUUUGAGAAUUGUGGUUGCCCUCCUUUGAUGAAGCUCUUGUUGGCACCAUAAAUUGGUUUUGCUUCACACUGUCUUGAUCAAGAGUGUGUGAAGCUUUUGAGAAUUGUGGUUGCCCUCCAUUGAUGAAGCUCUUGUUGGCACCAUAAAUUGGUUUUGCUUCACACUGUCUUGAUCAAGAGUGUGUGAAGCUUUCUACGAGUUGUAGUGUUUGCAUUGUUACAGAGGGGAAAUGUUUGAAGCAGAUGCAAGAGGGCUGAAUAGCUUGAUCUUCGUAUGCCAUGCACUGAAGUUGUUGUUGGCUUGCAAUAAGACUUUGUUGGUGACUAUAACUCUUGUUGGGCAUAAGUGAUCCCCUAGUUGAGUUGUCAAGCUUGAGGGUGUUUGAUUAUUUGUGAAUGCUAGGAGUUCACAUGUUCAAGUUGUACCACUCGUCUUCUGGUAGGUGAAAUGAAUGAUGAGUUGCUUUCAUCACUUGGUUGGUGGUACGAAGGUGAGUUCCUUCUUCCCCUGGUUGGUGACAUGAAUGGUAAGUUGCCAAAUGAUAUUAGAGUACGGGUUGUACAUUUCAUCACCUGGUUGGUGGUAUGAAGGAGAGUACAGGUUGUACAUUUCAUCACCUGGUUGGUGGCAUGAAGAUGAGUUCCUUCUUCACCUGGUUGGUGGCAUGAGUGGCAAGUUGCCAAAUGAUAUUAGAGUACGGGUUGUACAUUUCACCACCUGGUUGAUGGCAUGAAGGAGAGUACGGGUUGUACAUUUCAUCACCUGGUUGGUGGCAUGAAUGGCAAGUUGCCAAAUGAUAUUAGAGUACGGGUUGUACAUUUCAUCACCUAGUUGGUGGCAUGAAGAUGAGUUCUUUCUUCACCUGGUUGGUGGCAUGAGUGGCAAGUUGCCAAAUGAUAUUAAAGUACGGGUUGUACAUUUCAUCACCUGAUUGGUGGCAUGAUGGAGAGUACGGGUUGUACAUUUCAUCACCUGGUUGGUGGCAUGAAAAUGAGUUCAUUCUUCACAUUUCAUCACCUGAUUGUUGAGAAUAAGGGCAAGGUGUCUAGGCACAUUGUAGCAAGUGUCGAAUGACACAAAGUAUGUUGAACCCUUUCAAAGCACAGUUGGCUUAUGUAUGAAUGUGUUGGAAUGUAUGAUUGAACGAAUAUACUGUGAAGCUGUUCGUUUAUUUGUAUAGUCUUGUUGACAUAUACUUAGGCUUUGUUUCAUGUUGGAAGAAUUCAUGUUGAAGCUUUGAACCCGAAUGUUUCAUUGCUAGGAAUGUAAGAGGAUUAGGAUCAAGUUGUCUAAAUCACCUCUUUAUUGAAUUCAUGCCAAAUAGUCUUCGUUACAUAGGAUGCCGAACGGCUGAAGCUUAACACUUGUACAAUAUGAGUUUACUUGUAAUAGUACUUCAAGUGAUCAGCGUUCCAUGGAUGGCCAAAAGUCUUGCCAUCGGAGCUUUUAAGCUUGUAGGAGCCAGGGCGACUGAUGCCAACAACUUCAAACGGUCCAUCCCAGUUUGGACUAAGUGUUCCUUCACUCGGGACUCUGUUGCAGAGUAAUCUUUUCUUCAAUACCCAGUCCCCCACUUUGAAAGAAUGAGGUUUGACCCUGGAGUCAUAGUAGUUGGAGAUGCGCUGCUUAUAGGCGACAUUCCUCAAGUGAGACUGGUUUCUGUGUUCCUUGACUAGAUCUAAGUUGAGGGUAAGUUAUUUGUCAUUUUCGCUUUACACAUAGUUCUGGACUCAGAACGUUGCUUGCUCAAGCUCAACUGGGACAACUGCCUCUGUACCAAAGGCAAGUGAGAAUGGGGUUUCUCCUAUUGAUGUCCGAUACGAAGUGCGGUAUGACCAAAGAACUUAGGGUACAAAUUCUGGCCAACAACCUUUAGCCUUGUCUAAGCUGGUUUUCAAAGUUCGCUUGAUUAUUUUGUUGAUGGCUUCAACUUAUCCAUUAAACUGGGGAUGAGCUGGGGAGGCAAAACAUAAGUUGAUGUUGAACUUAGAUCAGAACAUCUUGAACUUAUUGUUGUCGAACUGUCCCCCGUUAUUAGUGACUAUCGUAUUGGGAAUGCUGAAUAUGCAAAUGAUGUUCUUCCAUACGAAGUCUUCUAUUUUUCCCUCAGUAAUGGUUGCCAAGGGUUAUACUUCGGCCCAAUUUGUGAAGUAGUCAACUGCAACGAUUGCAUAGCGAACCUUGCCCUUCCCUGCAGGUAUUGGGCUGAUCAAAUCAAAUCCCCAUUGGGCGAAGGGCGAAGGGCUGAUCAUAGGAGUGAGCGGCUCGGGAAGGGAAUGAGGAAUAGUUACGUAGCGUUGACACUUAUCACAUGAGUAGGAUAUUCUGAUGGCAUCUUGGUGGAGUGUUGGCCAAUAAUAUCCUUAGCGAAAAGCUUUCUGUGCUAGGGAUCGAGAACCAGCAUGAUCUCUGCAAACUUCUUCAUGUAUUUCCCGAAGGACAGUUUCCGCCUCUGCGGGCGUAAGGCAUUUUAGAUAUGGUAGGUUAAAACUCCACUUGUAGAAUUGGUCAUUAAUGAUCAAGUAACGGGUAGCCUUGUAUCGAAUCUGCUUAGCUUGGACUUUGUCAUUUGGAAGGGUGCCAUGAGCAAGGAAUCUAUAAAUUGGGGGUACUCCAACUAUCCCCCUGUUGUAAGUUGCACACUUCCGCAGCCAUGAUGUUUGGUGCUGCCAACAAUUCGACCUGAAUUUUUCUCCCAAUCUUGUCUUCCACCGCUGAGGCAAGGCGAGCCAAAGCAUCUACAUGACUGUUUACCGCUCGAGGAAUUUGGGUGAUCUGGUAGUGGAAGUGCUUAAGCAACAAUUGUGUUUGUGCCAGAUAUGCUACCAUGGAGCUAUCCUUAGCGUCAAAGUUGUUGGUGACCUGGUUAACCACCAAUUAGGAGUCACUGAAGAUAUCAAUUCGUUUAACCUCAAGGUGUUUGGCCAAACGUAAGCCUGCUAGGAGGGCUUCAUAUUCGGCCUCAUUGUUUGACGCCUUGAAUUUGAAACGAAGAGCAUACUCCAUCGCCACUUUGUCAGGGGUCGUAAGGACUAGUCUUGUUCCACAACCCUGUUGGUUGGACGAGCCAUCAACAUAUAGACUCCAUGCUAGGGCUGUUGGUUCUAUUUUCUGAGCUUCUGAGGGUAAUGAAACCACUUCUUUAGGCAUAGAAACAAUGUCAAUAGGAUAUGUGAAGUCGGCGAUGAAGUCUGCCACUGCUUGGCCUUUCUCAGCUGGCUUUGGUUGGUAGGAGAUGUCAAACUCACCCAAUGCUAUCGCCCAUUUGAUCAUUUGUCCGGAAGUGUCGGGACUUUGGAGUAUCUAUCGAAAAGGAUGAUUGGUAAACACGAUGAUGGAGUGUGCUUGGAAGUAAGGGCGAAGUUUUCGAGCAGACAUGACCAAAGCUAGAGCCAAUUUCUCAAUGUUAGAGUAUCGUGUCUCUGCAUCUUGUAAGGCCUUGCUAGUAUAGUAGACAGGUCGUUCAACAUUACCAUCCUUUCGAAUGAGAACAGAACUUACUGCUGAAGCUGAUACCGACAGAUAGAUAAUGAGAGUGUCACCAACCUCAGGUUUGGAGAGCAAAUGGGCUUUACUCAUGUAGUCUUUGAGGUUCUUGAAUGCCUCAGCACAUUCAUCAGUCCAUGUAAUGUACUUCUUACUUCCCUUAAGUGCUUUGAAGAAAUGAGCACAUCUGUCGGUGGCCUUAGAGAUGAACCUAGUUAAGGCGGCCACCUUGCCAGUAAGGCUCUGGAUGUCUUUUGAAGUUACUGGUUCCUUCAUGUUGAGGAUUGCUUUGAUAUUAUCGGGAUUAGCCUCAAUGCCUCGUUGGCUUAUCAUGAAGCCUAGGAAUUUGCUAGAGCCUACGCCGAAGGCACAUUUGUUGGGGUUCAACCUCAUUCGAUACCUCUUCAGAAUGGUGAAAGUUUCAGAUAGGUUGGUGAUGUGUUGGUCAGCAUGUUUGCUCUUGACUAGUAUAUCAUCAACGUAAACUUCCAUGCUUUUCCCAAUCUGUUCGGCGAACAUUGAAUUGACCAGUCUCUAAUAAGUCGCUCAUGCAUUCUUUAGGCCAAAGGGCAUGACUUUAUAGCAAUAUAGUCCAUUGUCAGUAGUAAAGGCUGUGUGUUCUUGGUCCGGAGGGUUCAUGAGGAUUUGGCUGUAUCCUGAGUAAGCAUCCAUGAAGUUCAUGAGUUCACACCCUGCUGUAGAGUCUAUAAGUCUGUCUAUGAGAGAAAGAGGAAAGCUAUCUUUCGGGCAUCCUUUGUUUAGGUCGGUGUAAUUGACACACAUUCUCCACAAGACCUUUUGAAGCAAGAAACUUUCCUUGGUCGGAUUCUUCUUAACAAGGACAACAUUUGCUAUCCAUGUUGGAUAAUUGACUUCGCGGACAAAGCCUAUGCCUUUGAGUUUUUCAACUUCUGCCUUCAUUGCCUCGUACCGUUCAGCGUCAUAAGAUCUUCGCUUCUAUCUUACUAGCUUGGUCUUGGGGUUAAUACUUAAGCGAUGACAGAUUAUAUCGGGAGAUAUGCCUGGCAUGUCCUCGUAUGACCAGGCGAAGACCUCAGUGUUCUCUUGCAAAAAAGAGAUCAAUGACAACCGAAUGGGUGGUGACAAGGUGGUACCAAUAUUCACCAUGCGAUCCGGAUAAUCUUUUGAGAUAGAGACCUUCUUCAACUUUUCAGCGGGUUGUGCUUGCUGGGUGAAAAAGUCAUCUCGAGGAUCGUCGGGUUGACUGUUGCCACCGUGAAUAUCCAAGUUGGCUUCGUCUAGGCUGGUCUUUAUGACUUGGUCAUGUAUAGAAAGAGUUUCCUUGGGCACAAGCAGAUGUUGUUGCUUGACCGAAGUGUUGUAACAUGAUCGUGCACUAAGUUGAUCUCCUCUGAUGUAACCAUUCCCAUAAGGGGUUGGAAAUUUCAUCAACAACAUAUGUGUGGAUACCAUGGCCUUGAGAUCAUUGAUGCCUGUGCGUCCCAAGAUAACAUUGUAUGUCGUUGGGCAAUCAACCACCAGGAAGUUAAUGGUAAUGGUAGCUAUGUAAGGGCCUAUACCAAUGGUGAAAGGUAAGUGUAUGCUCCCUAAAGGUUGCACGAUAUCACUGGAAAAGCUUAUCAGAGGGGAAAUCGAGCGGUCGAGCAAGUGUUCAGCUACAUUAAGUGCCCUGAAAGCUUCAGCAAACAUGAUAUUAACCGAAGCCUCCGUGUCUACCAGGAUUCGUCGUACUUCAAAGUUGGCUAUGUGAGCUUCCACGAUCAGUGGGUCGUUGUGAGGGUAGAUGAUACCUCUUUCUUCCUCAGGGUAGAAACAUAUUGGAUCCCAGUUAGGCUUUUAAUACUUACCUCCCCUGAUGUCUUCCACGUGAAACACUUGGUGACCAGACCUUAAAGCUUGUUCACUAUUUUUCAUAGCCCUAUUGGAAGAUUUAGAUAUGGGUGUGCCACCACUUAUGGAAUAUAUCACAUUUACCUGGCGUUGGUUACGGUUACCCAUUGGAGGGUGAAGGAGGAAUUGAUCAAUUUUUCCUUCACUUGCCAAAGCUUCAAUAUGAUCAUGAAGGGUGAUACACUUCUCGCCGUCAUGGCUGUUAUGCUCGUGGUAGCAGCAAAACAUGCCCGUGUUUUUCGUGGGCUUGUAAUCUGGGUGCCUCGGUUUUGGCUUCGGUAUCAAGUGUGCUAUGCUGGGGUAAAUGGCCACGCAUGUGGCGUUCAAAUGUGUGUAUGCCUCAUACCUCGGGGUAGGGGUUGUCCUGAUACAUGCUUGACCCACUGUGUUGACUGCCUGGGGUCGGGGAUUAUCAUGGCGAUACCCUUGGUUAUCGCGGUAGUGUCCCUUACUCCUUUUACUAAAAUGAGACUGGUGAUGAUGGAAAUCUUUCCUUUUGCCCUGAGAUUGAUAUAUCUGUUGACUUGGCAAAGUAUUAAGUAAGGCAGGGGGAGGCAUCGUUGCCAUUUGGAAGGUCGAGGUCUUCUCAUUUGGUUGGAUCUGGCUUCCACUCCUUACUUGCUGAUAAGGGGUGGUUGUGGGGGGUUUUCCUUGAUAUGUCCUUGCCUCGGCGGAGGCAUGGUUAUAAGCCUGUGCCAUCACUUCAGAGUAAGUCUUCCAAGUGUUGGCAUUGAUCAUGUACUUGAAGAAACAAUCACGUAGGCCUGCCGUGAAGGCCUUGACGGCGGUCUUGGCAUCUGCCUCAGCGCAGCGAGAAUACUCAUGGCUGAAACGACCAGCAUACUCUUGUAGUGACUCGUCCGGCUUCUGGCGAAUAGUGUACAAGUCAUCUGCAGAAUGCAUGCGAUCGGUCUGGAAGAUGUGUUGAGAGACAAACAGUUUCCUCAGUUCCUCAAAUGAGUCUACUGUCUCAGGUGGAAGACGGCAAUACCAGUUUAGAGCUCCGCCAGAAAGGGUGAAGGGGAAGAGAAGACAUCGCUCUUCGUCGGUGUGCAUCCGAUAUGCCAUGGUGGACUCAAAGAGGUUAAGGUGUUCAAUUGGGUCCUCCCUUCCAGUAUAGAGUUGUAAACCAAGCUUUUGUUUUGUCUUCGCUUGAAGGGGGUGUCAAGGAUCCUCCUUGUGAAAGGGCCAGGCCUGGGUUGGUUCCAGUUAGGUAUCUCGGCCUGACGUUCGGCCUUCAACUUGUUUACUUCCUCAAGGAGCUGUAGGACAAGGGGGUCUUGAGUGGAGUCAUGUACCACUGGGAUUUUCUUUCGUAAGUCUCCAUCGCCUCUUGGAAGUCAGAAAGUUUGAGCAAGGGCGUGUGAUUUUUCCUUGGACUCACCGUACUGACUUCUAGGGCGAGUCUGUCGGAAUACCUCAGAGUCCCCUGUACCUUCAUGUUCCUCUAGGACAUGUCGCUCCUUCCCUAGAUUGGCAGCUGGCCUGGGUCGUGGGAGGGGACCAAGUCUUUCAGAAACCCUUGGGUCGUUGAUCUUCGAGCAUAUGUGGAGGGGAUUCUCUUGACGUUGCUUUAGGAAGUUUCGGCAGUCAUGAUAAACGGCUUUCGAUCCUUCCAACCCUUCUGCAAAGAGGUGUCUUCCUCUACUUCUCCUGCUUCGGGUCGAAACAGUUGGGUUGAGAGAAGUUUCAUGUUGAUUAAUAUUUUGAUGAUUAGCUCGCUCUUCAUCAGGGAUACCCAUGUCGAAAGAAGGUGACCUUCCGUGUUGGGGGGCACCUAGAUGAUGGUUGAUGUCUACAGGGGCAACAAGUUCACGUGUUUGAGUACGCAUAGUUUCAUGGAGCGUCUCAAAGAGCUUCUCAUACUGCUCUUGGAGGACCUCAUUCUUCAUUGCUAUCUUGUUGUUUUGAGCUUCUAGCUUAUCGACUUUAGCUUGAACAGCAACCCUAUUUCCUUCAUUCUUUCGUUGCUUCGCACUAGGUGCAAGAAGGGUGUCAUUCUGUGUGUUGUGGCUUCCUUCGCUCCCCAUGUUGAAGAGGGAUGCCUGGUCAAAAGAGAGUGUACGAAUGGUGGAAACCAGCUUGACAAAGCUGAAGAGAGUGGGAAUAAGUGUCGUUCCCACAGACGGCGCCAAAUGUUGAUGCACAAAAUCAGUGGGGACUUUGGUACAACAGAAAGUGUUAAGUUUGUGACCUUUGCUAGAUUGCUUUGGUCACUAGUAUGGAUAAGUAUGUAAAUGGAUAGAGACAGUGAAGCAAACACAAGAUGUAUGUGGUUCACCCAGAUUGGCUACGACCACGGAGUAGAGGAGUUCUCAUUAAUUGUGAAGGGUUUACACAAGUACAUAGGUUCAGGCACUCCUUUAGUGAGUACAAGUGAAUGAUUUAGUACAAAUGACAUUAGGAAAUAUUGUGAGAGAAUUAUCUCUAUUUAUAUAAUAGAGUUUCUAGUUUCAUUCUGACAUUGACACGUGUUGUGUUGUGAUUAUUUCUGAUGUUGACACGUGUCGCGCUAUGAUUGGCUUCUGAUGUCGACACGUGUCGCGCUGUGAUUGGCCUCCUGGUUGGAGGGAAACUCUUAUGGGUCCUUGACGGUAUAAUGUUGACUGGUGCUCAGUAGUUUCGAAAUUGGUUAAGUAUGGUACAAACAGCAAGCAAAUUAAAUACGUAGGGUAGGGCGGGCGAUUAUACCGCUCCACCUAAAAUUUGCAGUAAAAUUAAAUCUGUAAUUCAAGAUAGGCGAUGAUACCGCACCAUCUUGGAUCGCAGUAAGAUGAAAUUUGCAGUUCAAGAUGGGCGAUUGUACCGCACCAUCUUAGAUUGCAGUAAAAAUAAAUAUUGGGUUAGUAAUCAAUAUCUAUACCAAACAAGAAAUCAAAGAUGUAUGUAACUGUUAGGUUGAGAACGAGAAGCAGGCAUGGAGCAAAUAGUUCGUCGCGAGGGUAUAUCGCGUAGUUGAGGCAGAGGAAGAAGAUGAACAGUAAAAACCUUAGAGGAAACAUUUUUUCUGUCGGCAAAGAGAGAUGAGAAAAGGUUAUAUUUAGAGAGUUGUGCUGAUAACGUGUUAUAAAUAUGUCAAAGUUAGAGAGAUAACCUUUUUAGUAAAUGAUGGAGCAAAGCAGGUGUAAAAUGUUACACUGAAAUUAUAGCACUAGGGGAUGACAAACAAAAGAGGGAGGAAUAGAUGAUGUUAUUGAGCUUUCUUUCUUUCUGUAUGUUUUCUCUGUAUAUACAUCGAUGGCAGUAGGAGUGCUCUAUUUAUAGAGCGAAUCCAUACGAACAAAUUCUUAAAGUUUGAAAUUUACAACUCAUAGCUUGGACAAUACAACAUUUUGUUUCCAAAGUCUUCAUCAUAUUUGUGUGGGUAUUGACAAAGAACUUAUGUAGGCAUUCAUCAGAUAGCCGAUGGUUUCAUCAGCUAAUGUUUUCAACUACCAAUAUUGACUGCCAAUGGUUUCAACAUAUACAUAUAUAUACAUACACACACACACACACACACACACAUAUAUAUAUAUGAAGAUGUUAGUUUUAUUACUUGCAUUUUAUUGAGAGUCUAAAUCCCACGUUGAAGAAAGAAGAGAUCUUGCAUAUGCUUAUAAGAAAAGAUCUUGCAUGUGCUUAUAAGAAGGGACAUUGCAUGUGCUUAUAAAUAGAAAGAAUGAACCAAAGUCAGUCCCCUCUUUUACCUUUCUUCCCUCUUUAAAAUGGAAUAAAAUUAAAACUGUGACAAAUAUCAAUGUUUGCUAUCUCUCUCUCUUUCUCUCUCUCUCUCUGCCUUCCAAGCAAAAAUCUCACUCUUCCAAAAAUCGCAGCCCCUCCCAUGCACCUCAACUAUUUGUAAGUUUUUUAAUUCCUAAUCUCAUGCUUUAUGUUAUUAAGGGUUGUAAUGUAAAUGAUGCUGAGUAAGUGUUGUUAGAGUUGUUGUGAGAAGUUUGUUAUACCUUACUUAGUUAAUAAGUUAGGUAGUUAUCCUAUAUGUAAAUGAUGGUAUAUAUACCAAAAGUGUAACAUUAUUCAAGUAAUGAAAAUCACAAUUUCAUUUUUCUAUUAUCUCUCUAUCUUUCUUACUGGAUCUCUCUCUAGAUUCUAACAAGGUAUUUAUCGCCGGUGUCUAACGACUUCUGAUGAUGCUUCGUAUCCCUACGUUCUCUGUGUUCUCUCUUUUUGCAUUUCUACACUACCAACAAUGGCGGUCUCUCCUCCACCUCUCUCUGAUUAUACGUCGCAGUCAUCUCCUGCAAAUUCUUCAGCCCCAAAUUUGUGCCCUAAUUCGGUCAAUUCUUUGAUCACAAUUCAAAACAUUAGCUCGCUGGUCCCGAUCAAACUGACGAUUACAGAUUGGAUCACCUGGAGUGCUUUAUUUGCACUGAUCUUUUGUCGGUACAAUCUCACUGGAAUAAUUGAUAGUUCCAUGGUGGCGCCGCCUAAGUAUCUUCUUGGUUGUUUAGGAAAUUGCAUUUCGACUGUGAAUCCUCAAUAUGUGACGUGGUUUGAGAAUGAUUAGAACAUUCUGAUCUGGAUCAAUUAGGCACUCUCGGAUUCUCUGAUCCCUUACACUGUUGGUGUUACCUCUGCUCGUGAUCUGUGGGCAAAAUUGGAGUCUCGCAUUGCGACGGCAUCUCAAUCACACAUUCAUGAACUUCGUGCUCGCCUUCGAACAAUUACUAAAGGCGAUUCCACUGCGGCUGCUUAUCUUCAACAAAUUGAAGAAAUCGCUGAUGCUAUUGCGACUGCUGGUGCUCCGAUUGAUGAUUCAGAACUCAUCUCUAUUAUUCUUCAUGAAUUACCGCUUGAAUAUGAUGCCUUUAAUGAUACUAUUCAGUUUUGUCUUGGUUCAACCAUUAUUGAUGAGUUACACGGCUUGUUGCUAAGUAAGGAGAUUCAAUUGGCAAAUCGUAAGAAGGUUUCUCCAUCAGCGCCAUUUCAAGCUUAUAAUUCCUUUGCCGACAUUCUUCCUACACCACUCGGUGACUCCAAUUCUCAGGCGUAUUAUGUUCAACAGAGCUCCAAUUUCAAUUCUUCACAAGGCCAUGGCAUGGAUUGGAAUUUUUCUAACCCUAGAAAUUUUCAGUAUCGCCCCAAUAACUCUCGAUCUUACAAUUCUCGCUCGAAUUUCUCUCGCCAAGGUCAACAGAAGAAUAAUCGUGGCUCCAGAUCCAAUUUCAAUAAUUUCAACAAAAGAAAUUCAUGUUAAAUUUGUUGUCAACUUGAUCAUGAGGUUAUUAAUUGUCCGCAUCGUAUGAAUCCUAGUUAUGGCAACAAGAAUUCACAGACAACUUUUCAUGCUAACACUUCUCUUCCACCACUCCAACAUGGCUUCUUGAUACUGGCGCCAGUUCUCAUAUGACCAACUUUUACACAAAUCUUCAAAGUCCUGAAUCCUACAAUGGUCCUGAGCAGGUCUAUAUUGGCGACGACAAAUGUUUGCCUAUUACUCACUCUGGUUCUUCUAGUCACGCCCCGAUCCCGACAUACGUCCAGGAUCGAUACGUGACGUCACUAAAUACUCGUAUAACUCACAUACCCCGUCUCCAGGUUAUGGAAAAUCACAAUUCGAGAAUCAAAUUGCAAAGUAAUUUUUCGUUUACCUUAUGGCUGCAUCUAACCUCCUUGUUAAACUACCUAGGUACCCUCAAUAGGGAUCAAGUCAUUCGUAGUUCACUUAUCACAAAAUCAGACGUUUAUUCCAUUAAGUUCAAGCAUAAAAGUAUAGCAUUCCUCAAUCAUUUAUUAUAACCUGUCAACAUGUAAUUCCUGGACUCAGGCUACAUAACCAAUCCCCAUGAAAACAUGAUUUCUCUCCCAUCCAACAUAUAAAUCAUUAUGUCUCAUCAUGAUAUCGCAAUUCACAACACACAUCAUAUUUAAGAGCCGAUGAAACACAAAACCAUUCUCUAGCCACAUUAAUUACUUAAUUUGAUCAAGUAAUAACAAUCAUUCCCAUAUCUUCUAAAUUCAUACCUUAUGAAAUCAUAAUCGAAUCAUAGAAAAUCCAGAAGGAGUCACUCAGACGUCCAACAUCUUUUCUAACUCAAUUCACAAGACUCUCGAAACCAUUGACACAAAUAUAUAUAAAACUAAGGCUAGAGUGACACAGUUAGGCCAAGCCUACUUCUCCAAAUAAUGGGAUUUUAGGCCACUCCACGAAAUUCAACAACCUCGAGUUCCGGACCAUUCAACGAAACCAACCCAAAUAUGAUCACCUAUAAAAUGUACCAGGUACAACCAAUCAUCAUCACCUCUAGAAUGUGUAUGGUCCCCCAUCGCGGAUAUACCAAGCAGAACCAUAGGCAUAAUCUCAUCAUGCAAGCAGUGAUUAGCCAUCGCGGAUAUACCAAGCAUGAUCACCCCUGAAUACAUAUGGUCUCCCAUCACGGAUAUACCAAGCAGAACCAUAGGCAUAAUCUCAUCCUGCAGGCAGUGAUCACCUAUCGUGGAUAUACCAAGCAUGAUCACCCCUAAAUACAUAUGGUCCCCCAUCGUGGAUAUACCAAGCAGGACCACAUCCUAGCUCUAGAUAGUGACCACCCAUCGCAGAUUAACCAAGCAGGGUCAAGAUAACCAAGUAGGUAGUGACCCCCCAACACGAAUUAACCCAGCAAAACCAUCCAUGUACUAGGGCUACACGGUGCAGUUAGAUCAACACACAAACCACUUACCCUUAUCUCAUCCGCUAUGAUUUACAUCGUAAUCACUUGCACUAUCAACUUCUCAUGACCACUAUCUUAUCAUACAAGCAUAAAAGUUCCACAUAAACUUCUCAUAAGAUUUUGGGUUCACAUCGUCAUAAAAACAAUCAUUCACAUCAUACAUAUCUAACCACAUUUCAUAAACGUUUCCAAGCUACAGUAGAUUCACAAUUACUAAACAUAGAUCGAUGCUAAAAAUAAAAAUAACAAUUCAAUAAGAAACACAUUUAAUCAACAAGUAUAACUCGAUAUUAGGCCUGGCAAUUCCUGACACGACCCAAUAACCCGACACGACACGACACGAAAUUAACAGGUGUUCGGGUCGACACGAUAACGAAACGGGUCGUUAUCGGGUAACCCGAUAAGCACCUGUUAAGAUAACGGGUUGUUUCGGGUAUACACGUGGGUAACACGAUACACGAUAAGCAGAAUAUUAAUUUAAUAAUUUUAUAACCCUAAAAAAAAUACUAUAAUUACUAUAUAUAUUAAUUUAACAAUUUUAUACGCCUAAAAACUAUAAUAAUAUAUAUAUAUAUAUAUAUAUAAUAUAUAUAUAUAUUAUAUUAACUAUAAUAAUUAUAAUAAUUAUAUAUACUAUAAUAAUUAUACCCCCAAAUAUUAACUAUAAUAGUUAUAUUUAUAUAUAUAUAUAUAUUAAAUUUUAAAUUAAAUUUUAUACCCCUAAAAACUAUAAUAAUUAUACAUACAAAAUAAAUAGAUUUAAAUCUACUUAAUAAAUAAAUAAAUAUACACACACACACACACACCAUUGAACUUCAUGGGAUACGAAUUAUACGAAACUAAUUUCAAUAAUUCAACCGUCAAACUUGUUUGUAUAUGCUUCGAGAUCGCAUCAGCAAAAAAUUACAAAAACCAAACAUUCACAGAUCAAGUAACGAUACAAAACUUUUCGACGGUUAUAAACGAAAAAUCACGAUUUAACGGUUAUUUUAACUCCGAUUUUGAUGAUUUUUUACAGCUACACUCCUUGACCCUAUAUGAAUACAAUGAAUGAAUUCGAUCUUCAAUUUAAAAUAUUUACACUAGUAGAUAACACAAAAUCUUAUGUUAUAUUUGAUAAAAGUAUGAAUAAACUCUUAAGUGUUAGUGAAUCUAUUGUUUUGAUGAGAUACGCAUUCUACGAAACUAGUUUCAACAAUCCAACCGUCAAACAUGUUUGUAUAUACUUCGAGAUCGCAUAUGCCAAAAAUUGAAAAAAACAAACAUUCAGAGAUCAAGUAACGAGACAAAACCUUUCGACGGUUAUAAACGAAAAAUCACGAUUUAACGGUUAUUUUAACUCCAAUUUUGAUAAUUUUUUACAGCUACACUCCUUGACCCUAUAUGAAUACAAUGAAUGAAUUCGAUCUUCAAUUUAAAAUAUUUACACUAGUGGAUACCACAAAAUCUUAUGUUAUAUUUAAUGAAAAUAUGAAUAAACUCUUAAGUGUUAGUGAAUUUAUUGUUUUGAUGAGAUGCGCAUUUUACGAAACUAGUUUCAACGAUCCAACCGUCAAACUUGUUUGUAUAUGCUUCGAGAUCGUAUACACCAAAAAUUGCAAAAAACAAACAUUCAGAGAUCAAGUAAUGGGACAAAACUUUUCGACGGUUAUAAACAAAAAAUCACGAUUUAACGGUUAUUUUAACUCUGAUUUUGAUGAUUUUUUACAGCUACACUCCUUGACCCUAUAUAAAUACAAUGAAUGAAUUCAAUCUUCAAUUUAAAAUAUUUACACUAGUGGAUACCACAAAAUCUUAUGUUAUACUAGAUGAAAGUAUAAAUAAAAUCUUUAAAUGUUAGUGAAUCUAUUGUUUUGAUGAGAUACACAUUCUACGAAACUAGUUUCGACAAUCCAACCGUCAAAAUUGUUUGUAUAUGCUUUGAGAUCACAUAUGCCAAAAAUUGCAAAAAACAAACAUUCAGAAAUCAAGUAACGGGACAAAAAAUUUCGACGGUUAUAAACGAAAAAUCACGAUUUAACGGUUAUUUUAAUUCUAAUUUUGAUGAUUUUUUAAAUUUACACUCCUUGACCCUAUAUGAAUACAAUGAAUGAAUUCGAUCUUCAAUUUAAAAUAUUUACACUAGUGGAUACCACAAAAUCUUAUGUUAUACUUAAUGAAAAUAUUAAUAAACUCUUAAGUGUUAGUGAAUAUAUUGUUUUGAUAAGAUACGCAUUUUGCAAAACUAGUUUCAACGAUCCAACUGUCAAACUUCUUUGUAUAUGCUUCGAGAUCGCAUAUGCCAAAAAUUGCAAAAAAAGAAACAUUCAGGGACCAAGUAACGAGACAAAACUUUUCGACGGUUAUAAACGAAAAAUCACGAUUUAACGGUUAUUUUAACUCCGAUUUUGAUGAUUUAUUACAGCUACACUCUUGACCCUAUAUAAAUACAAUGAAUGAAUUUGAUCUUCAAUUUAAAAUAUUUACACAAGUGGAUACCACAAAAUCUUAUGUUAUACAUAAUGAAAAUAUUAAUAAACUCUUAAGUGUUAGUGAAUAUAUUGUUUUGAUGAGAUACACAUUUUGCGAAACUAGUUUCAACGAUCCAACCGUCAAACUUGUUUGUAUAUGCUUUGAGAUCGCAUAUGCCAAAAAUUGCAAAAAACAAACAUUCAGAGAUCAAGUAAUGGGACAAAACUUUUCGACGGUUAUAAACAAAAAAUCACGAUUUAACGGUUAUUUUAACUCCGAUUUUGAUGAUUUUUUACAGCUACACUCCUUGACCCUAUAUAAAUACAAUGAAUGAAUUCGAUCUUCAAUUUAAAAUAUUUACACUAGUGGAUACCACAAAAUCUUAUGUUAUACUAGAUGAAAGUAUAAAUAAAAUCUUUAAAUGUUAGUGAAUCUAUUGUUUUGAUGGGAUACACAUUCUACGAAACUAGUUUCGACGAUCCAACCGUCAAAAUUGUUUGUAUAUGCUUUGAGAUCACAUAUGCCAAAAAUUGCAAAAAACAAACAUUCAGAGAUCAUGUAACGGGACAAAACCUUUCGACGGUUAUAAACGUAAAAUCACGAUUUAACGGUUAUUUUGACUCCGAUUUUGAUGAUUUUUUUACAGCUAUACUCCUUGACCCUAUAUAAAUACAAUGAAUGAAUUCGAUCUUCAAUUUAAAAUAUUUACACUAGUGGAUACCACAAAAUCUUAUGUUAUACUUGAUGAAAGUAUGAAUAAAAUCUUUAAAUGUUAGUGAAUCUAUUGUUUUGAUGGGAUACAUAUUCUACGAAACUAGUUUCGACGAUCCAACCGUCAAACAUGUUGUAUAUACUUCGAGAUUGUAUAUGCCAAAAAUUGCAAAAAAAAAACAAUCAGAGAUCAAAUAACGAGACAAAACUUUUCGAUGGUUAUAAACGAAAAAUCACGAUUUAACGGUUACUUUAACUCCGAUUUUGAUAAUUUUUUACAGCUACACUCCUUGACCCUAUAUGAAUACAAUGAAUGAAUUCGAUCUUCAAUUUAAAAUAUUUACACUAGUGGAUACCACAAAAUCUUAUGCUAUACUUGAUGAAAGUAUGAAUAAAAUCUUUAAAUGUUAGUGAAUCUAUUGUUUUGAUGGGAUACGCAUUCUACGAAACUAGUUUCGACGAUCCAACCGUCAAACAUGUUUGUAUAUACUUCGAGAUUGUAUAUGCCAAAAAUUGCAAAAAAUAAACAUUUAGAGAUCAAGUAACGCGACAAAACUUUUCGAUGGUUAAAAACGAAAAAUCACGAUUUAACGGUUAUUUUAACUCCGAUUUUGAUAAUUUUUUACAGCUACACUCCUUGACCCUAUAUGAAUACAAUGAAUGAAUUCGAUCUUCAAUUUAAAAUAUUUACAUUAGUGGAUACCACAAAAUCUUAUGUUAUACUUAAUGAAAAUAUUAAUAAACUCUUUAAGUGUUAGUGAAUAUAUUGUUUUGAUGAGAUACGCAUUUUGCGAAACUAAUUUCAACGAUCCAACCGUCAAACUUUUUUUUAUAUGCUUCGAGAUCGCAUAUGCCAAAAAUUGCAAAAAACAAACAUUUAGAGAUGAAGUAACGAGACAAAACAUUUCGACGGUUAUAAACGAAAAAUCACGAUUUAACGGUUAUUUUAACUCAGAUUUUGAUGAUUUUUUACAGCUACACUCCUUGACCCUAUAUAAAUACAGGGAAUGAAUUCGAUUUUCAAUUUAAAAUAUUUACACAAGUGGAUACCACAAAAUCUUAUGUUAUACUUAAUGAAAGUAUGAAUAAAAUCUUUAAGUGUUAGUGAAUCUAUUGUUUUGAUGGGAUACGCAUUCUACGAAACUAGUUUCGACGAUCCAACCAUCAAACAUGUUUGUAUAUACUUCGAGAUUGCAUAUGCCAAACAUUGCAAAAAACAAACAUUCAGAGAUCAAGUAACGAGACAAAACUUUUCGACGGUUAUAAACGAAAAAUCACGAUUUAACGGUUAUUUUAACUCCGAUUUUGAUGAUUUUUUACAGCUACACUCCUUGACCCUAUAUGAAUACAAUGAAUGAAUUCGAUCUUCAAUUUAAAAUAUUUACAUUAGUGGAUACCACAAAAUCUUAUGUUAUACUUAAUGAAAGUAAGAAUAAACUCUUAAGUGUUAGUGAAUAUAUUGUUUUUGAUGAGAUACGCAUUUCUACGAAACUAGUUUUCAACGAUCUAACCGUCAUACUUGUUUGUACGCCAAAAAAUUGCAAAAACAAACAUUUAAAGAUUAAGUAACGGGACAAAACUUUUCGACGGUUAUAAACGAAAAAUCACAAUUUAACGGUUAUUUUAACUCCGAUUUUGAUGAUUUUUUACAACUACACUCCUUGACCCUAUAUGAAUACAAUGAAUGAAUUCAAUCUUCAAUUUAAAAUAUUUACACUAGUGGAUACCACAAAAUCUUAUGUUAUACUUAAUGAAAGUACGAAUAAACACUCUAGUGGGUCACUUUCAUUAAGUUUUGAGUUCCAUUGGCAAUGUUUAAACUUUUGAAAAAGGCUUCACAAGCUUGAAAAAAAAAAACGGUUUCAUUUGUCAUAUCCUUGCACAUUUAAUAUUUGUAAUAGAUUAGUAGUGUAUGGAUGUAUUUUUUAUGAGGCUCUUAUUUUCGAAUGUAGAUGUAGUCCUUAAACGACAAAUGUGUUUUAAUGUUUUGAAGUAUUAUUUAUGUGACAAUGUGUGGUAUGUGCAAAUUUAAGAAAAAAAAAUAUUUUUCUUAACGGGUCAUAACGGGUCGGGUCACUUUACCCCGGGUCGGGUCACUUUACCCGUUGGGUAAAGUGACCCGACCUGUUAAUGACCCGUUAAGAUAACAGGUGUGACACGACACGACCCGUUAAGAUAACAGGUGUUACACAAAAACGACACGAACACGACUGACACGACCCGUUUGCCAGGCCUACUCAAUAUGGUGCCACUAAUACAUAUACCGAGCCACACGUCAACUGGGAACGACACAUCAUCGUGAUGAGCCAACUAAGCUCCAUCAAGCCUCAACAACAUACUAGAGGUAAGCGACCUCAAGAGUAGAGCACGUUGACUAGAACGUCAACCGUCGAUAAGGUAGGUCCAUUAAGGUCAACCUAAGGUUAUUCAAUCCAGAAGAUCCGCACAUCGGAUUUCCAAUCUGUAAGUUCUCAAAGGUCCAAGAACUGAUAACUAGGGUGUUUACAAAAUUGUACGACGAACCAACAAUCAGAUUGUCAUCAAUCACAUAAACAAGUGACAGUCCAAUUUAAUCCCCACACCAAACAAUUGAAUUUCGGGAAACCGAGCUAGACAUAGAUUUACAAGUUCCCUAUAAAGUAUUUGGUACUUAGACAACACUCGUGGACGGUCCCAAGCACCGCCACGCACCGCCACACGCCGGGUAGUCAAAGUGGAGAGUUUAGUAACCCCGAAUUUCCAACAUUAACUAAAUGAACUCAAAUUUACGUGGUAGCUAGAGUUCAACAAGGGAAACAUUUUUCACAACUAUGCCGACGACAAAUUCUAACCGGAAACCGUCCAAAUUCACAGGAGAAAACCAGAUUUCUAGGGUUCUAAACACCCAACUCUAAAAUAAAUACUAAAGCAUGAACAAAGCAUACCAACUUGAAGAUUAGGAAGAGUAGAUGAAGUUUCAUACCUCACUCAAAGGAAAUGAUUGUCGUAAUCAUCGAAAAAAUGAUAAAACCGCCGAAAACCCAAGAGAUUUUUCUGCCUCGAACUGGAAAAAUGGAAAAGAAAAAAGAAAAUCUAACACUACAGAGAUGUAAGACUCGUCAAGAGCUUUCCAUAGACACCAAGAUCAUCCAAAACGAAGCUCGGAUGAAGGAGAUAUAAGCGGGUCAAGUUGACGGGUUAAAAGGUUGAAAUCGCCCCAAAAACGGGUCAAAAUCAGACCUCUCCUUCUUUCAUUUUUUUUUAUUUUUUUUAUUUUUAGAAACCUUCCCCCCUACCCCCUUUUAUUUGAUUGGUCAUUCUCCUUCUAGCUAAUUGGUCAUCUUAUUUUUGCUUAAAUCUGAUUAAGCUUCUUCCUUGUGGAAGUUUAAUUGAUUUAAAAUCUAUAAUUUAGUAAAACAACUUUAAAUGUCCGUAAUUAUACCGUUAUAAUCCGAACUCGUGAAUGGCUUUCGCCAAUACGUUCAUGGUUUCAAGAUCUAUUCGAAAAUGCUACUUGUGACCUCGAAAGGUCAACGAGUAAAUAAUAAUUUUCCAAACUUCACUCUUCGUAACUAGUUUAAUUGAAAUCUAAAUUCAAAUAAAUUAAUAUAAAUUCUCAAAAAAUAAUAUAAAAUCUCAAUAAUACAAAUAUGUAGAUUAUAACAGUGAAAUCCAGGAACGGGAUUUCACACUUCUAGUCUUUAUACUUCUACUCAUACGUUUGAUUUGAACAAUGUGAUGCAUGUUCUUGAUUUGAAACAAGAUUUGACUUCUACAAAUCGAUUUCUAGUUGAGAACUGGUGCUCCAUUCAUCUCUAUCCCUUUCACUUCAUUAUAAAGGAUCCCACUUCGGGGAAUGAGCUUUUUAAAGGCCCUGUCAAAGUUAGAUUCUAUCACUUUCUUGCACCCUCUGUUGUUGGAAACCAUCAUGCUUAUGUGAUCAGUACUAAAGCUUCUCAAGGCAUCUGGCAUCAACGUUUAGGCCAUCCAUCUUUCAAGAUUUUAAAUAAACUAGCUUCAAAGUCUAGUAUCUCUUGGUCAGAUAGGAUAAAUAAAUUUGUGUGCUCCAGUUGUGCUUUAGGUAAAUGUUCUCGAAAAUCAUUUACCUCUAUUUCUUGUAACAUAAGCAAACUUCUUGAGCUAUUGCACACUGAUGUAUGGGGUCCUGUGCCCAUUUCUUCUGUCAAUGGAUAUCGAUAUUAUCUUCUCUUGGUUGAUGAUUUUACUAAGUAUUCUUGGUUCUUUCCAUUGAAGUACAAAUCUGAAGUUUUCAGUACAUUUGUUCAUUUCAAAUCAAUGGUUGAAAACAUGUUGGGAUUCAAGGUUAUUACUAUGCGACCUGACUCUAGUGGUGAAUUUGUCAAUCGCAACUUCCCUGAUUUCUUUAAAACACAUGGGAUCUCUCAUCAACUCAACUGCCUUCAUAUCCAGAACAAAAUGGUUGUGCUGAAAGAAAGCACAUGCAUUUAGUUGAAACUGCCCAGACUAUUGUUACUGCAUCUCAAGUUCUUCAUAUCUAUUGGGUUAAAACAUUUUCAACAGCUCUUUAUCUCAUCAAUCGAAUGCCCACUAGUGGUAAACCCUCUUAUUGGGAACUCUUAUUUCAUAAACCACCAGAUUACACAACUCUCAAGGUCUUUGGUUGUAGGUGCUUUCCUUGGUUAAAACCUUACACAUUUUCUAAGCUUGAUCCUAAAAGCAAACCUUGUGUAUUUUUGGGAUAUAGACUAAAUCACAAAGGCUAUAGAUGUUUGGAUGCUCACACUGGGAAACUUUAUAUUUCCAGACAUAUAAUCUUUGAUGAACACACAUUUCCAUUUCAUCAUAACCAAUCCACUGUGAGUCAUCUUCCUCCAGUUCAACCUAUUUCCAAUUUCCCAUCCAUCCCAACCUCAUUAACCUUUACUCAUUCCUUUACUCCUUCUUCAUCAUCUGCUUUAUUAAACUCACCCUCACAAUCCAAUUCCUUAUUUACUUCACAUACUCCUUCACUUUCAGAUCCCUUACAUACCUCCUCCUUAUUCACCAUCUUCCCCCUAUAACUAAUAUUCAUCAUAUGAAGUCUGGCAUUUUCAAACCUAAGGCUAUUUUAGCAACUAAACAUCCUCUCCCAUCUCAUCUAUCUCCUGAUUACACACCUUCCACAUAUCUUCAAGCAUCUAAACACUUGCACUGGAGGUAAGCUAUGCAGGAAGAGUUCAAUGCUCUACUUCAAACUGGUACAUGGUCUCUGGUACCUCCUGAUUCCUCUCAAAACUUGGUAAGGUGUAAUUGGGUUUUCCAUAUUAAAAGAAAGCUUGAUGGUUACAAAGCCCAUCUUGUUGCUAAAGGAUUUCAUCUGCAACAAGGUCUAGAUUACAAUGAAACCUUCAGUCUGGUUGCAAAACCAAUUACCAUUCGACUUCUCUUAACCUUAGCAGCUAAAUUUGAUUGGUUUAUCAAAUAGUUAGAUGUUAGUAAUGCAUUUCUGCAUGGCAAUCUCACUGAGUCUGUUUUAAUGGUUCAACCUCCCAGGUUUGAAGAUCCUGCUCAACCACAUCAUGUUUGUACAUUGCACAAGUCUCUGUAUGGCCUAAAACAAGCUCCCAAAGCUUGGUUUGCCAAGUUAAUAGCUGCAUUACACUCUAUUGGAUUCUUUGGCUCUCAAAAUGACCAUUCUUUAUUUGUUAAGAAAGAUGCUUCAAUGGUAUAUGUCUUGGUGUAUGUUGAUAAUAUUUUAGUUACAGGACCAGAUUCUGCAACAUGUAAAACUAUGAUUUCUCAACUUUGUGAGUUAUAUCCUGUUAAGGAUUUGGGAUCACUUCAUUAUUUUUUAGGUAUUGAGGUCAAGAGAUCUUCUAAGGGCAUAUUUAUCUCUCAAACUAAAUACAUUCUGGAUCUUCUCAAGAAGGCACACAUGGAGGGUGCUAAACCCUGUGUCACUCCACUGAGCACAACUAAAUUGGAUCACUCUUCUCCAUUACUGUCCAAUCCAAAAGAAUACAGAUCCUUAGUUGGAGGGCUUCAAUACUUAACCUGGACUCGACCAGAUUUGUCAUUUGCAGUAAAUCUUGUUUGUUAGUUCAUGCAAUGUCCAUGAGAAUCUCAUUUCCAGGUUGUUAAACGCAUUUUUAGAUAUUUGAAAGGCAAUAUUUCUCUUGGUCUCUAGUUUCCAAAAUGUUUUGCACCUCUUAGUAUUCAUAGUUUUUCAGAUGCAGAUUGGGCCGGUUGCACUAUUGAUCGGCGUUCCACAGGUGGUUUCUGUAUUUUUCUGGGUGAUUCACUUAUAAGUUGGAGUGCUAAGAAACAACCCACCGUGGCUAGAUCAUCAACUGAAGCAGAAUACCGAUCUUUAGCUACCACCGCUGUUGAGUUAACUUGGAUUUGCAAAUUGUUAGUUGAUAUUGGUCUUGUUCUUCCCUGUCCUCCUAAACUUUGGUGUGAGAACAUAUAUGUUAUAUCUAUUGCUAAGAAUCGCCUUUUUCAUGCUCAAACCAAGCAUGUGGAGAUUGACUACCACUUCAUUUGGGAGAAAGUCUUGGUAAAUUCUAUCACAUUGCACUUUGUAUGUACACAGGAUCAAACUACAUAUAUUUGCACUAAAGCAUUAUCCAAGGGUCGGUUUCUUCUUCUCCGAGACAAACUUUCUCUUCAGCUACCUCAGCUUAGUUUGAGGGAGGAUAUUAAGGGUAGUAAUGUAAAUGAUGCUUAGUAAGUGUUGUUAGAGUUGUUGUGAGAAGUUUGUUAUACCUUACUUAGUUAAUAAGUUAAGUAGUUAUCCUAUAUGUAAAUGAUGGUAUAUAUACCAAAAUCGUAACAUUAUUCAAGUAAUGAAAAUCACAAUUUCAUUUCUCUCUUCUCUCUCUAUCUUUCUUACUGGAUCUCUCUCUAGAUUCUAACAUCUAUCUCUAAGAAUGGAAGAAAUAUAUAUAUAUAUCUGAAGAUGUUAGUUAUAUUAUUUGCAUUUUGUUAAGAGUCUGAAUCCCAUGUUGGAGAAAGAAAUGACAUUGCAUAUGCUUAUAAAUAGUUAAAAUUCUUGCAAUUGAUGAAGUGUGUUUAAUUAGAUUCUAGUUUUUGCUUAGAAAUUUUAUUCAAAUUUGAAGAAUAAGUUGUAUGGAUUUUUGAAGAAUUUGACAGAAAUUGUGUUGCAUGAUGAAUAGAGUGGUAAACAGGUGAAUGUGACUAGAGUUUGAUAACAGAAGAAGAUUUAGAAAAGCCAACAACCUGUAUGAAGAAGAUAGGAUUCUUGAAGCUAGUCCUUCCCUCAAGAAAUCCCAGAUAGACCCCGAAAAUUUUUAAUUUUUUUAUACAAGCGAUGUUAAGUGAGGGAGAUAAUGGAAGUUGGGACCUCAAGUGCAAAGAGCUGAUUUUUCUUAACCAACUCUUGAAACUAUGGAAAAAUCCCAUUUCAUAAUUUUAGUUUUAUUCACUAUGCAAGCAAAAAACCAUCUGCAAUGCUUCUGAUCUCCCUUUUUCUCUGUGUCUGUCUACAAAUUUCAUGUCAAGUCUUCUGCAAUAGGGAGAGAACUCCAUAUGGCACGCAGGGAAAUAGGUCGAUUCAAAGAAAGCAGAACGGACACAGACGCCUUAAAGAGCACAAGCGCAAUCCGAGAUGACUGAUACAAUGAAGAGAGCUAAAGAUUUGUCUUCUGUAAUUGAGGAAUCAAUCUCCAAGGCGAAAUCACGUACGCGAGAGAUUCAAGUACUAAAGAAAUCGCGAAGGCACGUAGGUAGGCGGGAAGAUCAGGUAUUGGCAAUUGGGGAUGUGGACAAUAAAAAAUAUACAGAAGUGAUGAGAGAAUUCGAACUUGUGAGACAGGAACUAAGCAUGCUUAAGCUUGAUAUGGCAUCGAUUUUACAAGAGAAAUUGGGGACAGAGAAGCAAACAGAGGCCUCAAAAGCAAAGAUGUUGUUUUAUACAAGCUUAAGCUUGUUAACGACCCAACUCGUUAACAAGUUAUUAUAGGAUACCCGAUAAUGAUCCGACUCAUUAACAGAUUGACUCGAAACUUGUUAUUUUUUUGUCAUUUUGUAUAUGAUUAACGGGUUCGUAAGAAAUUACCAAGCCUACAAUAUACUGUGGCUGAAGGGAUACCAAAAUUUUCAACUCAACAACAAUCAAAGAGAGUAUACUAUUAGGGCCCGUUUGUUUGGCUUCACUAAGUUUCAUUGGACUAGAUUGGAUUAGCUUUUAGUGUAGUCCAACAUUUGUUGUGAUGAGGGACUAAUAUUAAUGAGAUUAGCUGGGACUCGCCCAGACUAACGGCAUCGCUAGCAGUUCUUAGCGAGAGUCCCCGAAAACCACAGGACUAGCUAAGGCCUGCUUCGUCCUACUCCCGUUGCUCUGCUGGCGUUCUCUCUGCAACCCAAGCUUCAUCUUCUUUGCGACCACUUCAUCUUCUCUACAACCAUAGCGUCCUCUCUUUGCACACAUCUGCACAUCUUCGCAAAUCCGCUUGAAUCACAAAACCCAUAUUUGAAUCACAAAACCCAGACACGAAUUGCAAAUUCCAUAUUUGAAUUGCAAACCCAGAUUCGAAUUGCAAAACCAAGUUUGUUUGAAUCUCUGCAAAACCCAGAUUUGAUAAGAAAAUUUUGUAGCCUAAAAUCCAAAAGGAAAUAACCAAAACCCAAGGGUGCUUUGCAUACCAAAUUCCUUUUGCAACUUUCAAGAGAGAUGGAGAUUCUAGAUAGGGAAAUUGGGGCACAAUUUCUUUUUAUUUUUUAUUUUUGGAUCCAUUUGGUGCACAAUUAUAUAUGUACAAAGUUCAUUUGUUUUCGGGAGAAGGGAUGCAGUUGACUAGAAAAAAGAGAAAGAAAAAGAAAAAAAAAUGAAAAAAGAGAAUUAUUUUUUAUUAUUUUGGUUAUUAGUCCGACACUGCAUCAAAUGCUUCACUAAGUUAGUCCAGUUUAUUCUAGUCUAAACCAGUCCAGCUUAGUCCCUACAGCUAGUCCAGUUCGAGACAGUCCGGUGCAACAAACGCACCCUUACAUUAUUACAACCAUUCCUAAUAACAGAAUGUAGUAGUCAAUAAUACAGGAAUGAAUAACUGAAACAGCUGUGUAAAUCAAAUUUAACAGCUAAACACCCCUAGUAUUGAAUGGUACGUAAAAUUAAAGUCACACCCUAGAAUAAGUUUAAACUAAAAAAUGUAGGAAAAUGUUUUGGUUCUAUAAUUUAAACACAGUGCCAUCAAAUUACCUAUAUAUUGUUCAUAACUUGUACAAUUUUAACCGCCCGUAAGAAGAAAGAGAGAAAAGGAAGAAACAACAAAUUGGAACUUGUACAAUUUUAACUGCCUCUAAGAAGAAAGAGAGAAAAGGAAGAAACAACAAAUUGGAUUUUGGACGGGACUCGAACCAAAUCCGCCGUCCAUCCGAUCAUGUAAUGAAACCGUCACAAAAAAUGCAGCAAAGUAUUGCUCUUCCUUUCUUGAAAACCCUUUUCUCAACGAGUGCACCAAAAAAUGAAUAAAUUGUUUGUAUUAACUGGAUGAUCCUCACCUGAGAUAACGAGACGCAAAGUAAAACUCUUGCCACCCCUUACAGAGACAAAUCAAAUUUUAUUGGUUCUGAGUUUCCUCUGGUCCCUUUGCUUUGCCUCUGAGCAUGUCAGUGAAAUUCCCCCGCAUUAUUCGCCUUAAUCUAGUGUCUUCUGCAGGUGGUGAAGGUGUGGCCUUUGGGGACUCAACGGGCUCUGGUGGUGGCUCGGGACUUUCUUUCUUUCCCAGUAGACCACCUUCACCAAAGAAACUACUCACGGAGGAUGUAAGCCCAGCCCCCAUCACCUUACUGAUGGUAUCAAAAGUUCCACCAGAUCUCUCCUUCAUUAUAAUUUCAAGGGCUUCUUUGUGUGCAGGGUCAAGCGCAUCAGAGUCUCUAAAUAAGUUCUGUAUUGCAGGCAUAAGAAAGUCCCGAACACUAUUUGCUGAAAUAUCUGGAUUAAUUACGUAUAUUUGAAAUCAAUAUCAGCAACAUAUUACAAAAGCUGAAAAUUCUGGAACAUAGGGUUACGAAUAUAAACUAUAACUGUAGGUCAUUGUUUUAACAUCAUAGUAGGUCAUCAAAAGUCCGCACACAUAUUACCAAUCAGUUAAGAAUCCUAUGAAGCUACAGUUUGGCAUGGCGCGAUUUGUUAGGGCGCCACCAAAAACUAGUUUCGACACAUGAUUGUAAAGUUCCAACUAUGUACACAAGGUCAUUAAAGUGAAAACUGAUAUAAUCUAGGGAUAUCUUGCUUUUACAUAAACAUAUGGUUUCAAGCAUGGCUGCUCAAAAACUUAGAAGAACUGGUGAUCUGUGUAUUAUUUUGACAUUAUAGUCGUUUAAUAUUUGAUGUUUGUUUGCAUGCUAAAGAAACAUAAUCUCGUUUAGAGUAAAAUUAGGGAUAAAAAAUGCAUACGAUUCUCUUUGAUAAAACGCAUAACGUAUUUAAGUCUGAAAAUAAUCUAGGUAAUCAGACCAAAUUUCUUUUACAUGUUCCCAAGAAGUGUACAAGUGUCAUGUUCUAUAUAUAUGAAGGAAGUGAAAGAUAAUGUAGCUCAAGGUGUGUAAUGGUGCAGAAAGGGAAGAGAAAUUAAUAAACUAACAAUAUAUAGAACAUCUGGGUCAUAAGAAAAAGAAAACCUGUUGCAUCCAGAGCACGGAUUGCUUCACAAAAUGCAUUGACUCUCUCACGCCGGCGCAUCAAGUCACUUGAAGGUGGAGUGGCCGUCAGUUGAAAAAUCUUGGACAAAAGAUGUACAUGAUGUCAAAGAAACAAAGUAACCCAAUGAUUAUUCAAUAAUGAAUCCAAUAGAAAAUUUCCCAACCAACUAAAUAAGGUGUGUGUGCUUAUGAACACAUUGCUGAAAAUGUGCUACUAGUAAUUUUGAGUAAGCAUGUAGAGGAUAUAAUCUUUAAGUCUAUCCGUUGUAUGUGGUACAGCAACCACCAAUGCACGAACCACAGCAAUGGCAGCUUCAUGAGAUCCAUCUUCAAGAAAAGCAUCCAUUUGAACACGUAUCUUAUCAACAAUCUGGGAGGUUUUAUUUUGGUCAGCCAGAUGUAUGAAAACUGUUCGAUUAAGUAAGCUAAUAUCUUAAUUGCAGAAGGAAGAGAACUCAUACCAUGUCAUUUCUAAAAUUUUGGGCCACUGCUCCAAAGGCAUCUAUGCUUGCAUACUUCACACUCAAGUUUUGGUCAGAACCCACUAGGGCAGGUAAUAUAUGAGUAGAUGCAACUUUCGCAUCGAUAUAUGGAACCUAUAAACGAAGGAAACCAAUUAAUUAUUUCUUAACCAGACACAUAAAGAAAUUAGGACUCCAAGAAUGGAUAGACUUACAAUGACUUUCAACAGAUUGGCAGCAUUUAUUUUCAUAUCUAUGUUAGAGCUGACAACCAUUUCCCAGAGUAAAUUAAAUAUCAUACCGUGAUGAUCUUCAAAUGUGCUGCAUAUGGAAAGCCCUUCAGUCAAAAUUAAGUUACAAAAAGUUAGUCGUAAAAGGUAUUUAUUGCUUUUCUAACCAAAGGAACCGAACAGCAUCAACAAUCUCAGCAUUGUACUUCAUAGAUUGAUUUGGAACACCUUCAACUAAUAACUUUCUCAGGUACUCCGCUAAUUGUUCAUGCUUGCUUGGACCACCCAAAACACAAGCCAAGAGAAGAGGUAGGACACACAUAGUAGCCAAUCUCUUAGCCACAGCCGUUCUUGGCCUCAAACUUGUUAUGUAGAUAAAAUCCACAAUUAAGAGCACACACAACACUGGUGUGAAAGGAUUUCAAGUAACUUUAAAGUUAUUACCUUUGAUUCCGGAAUGCGUUGCAGAUGGGAAAAAUGUCAAUUCAGCUUCUUCCCCUACAGCUAACAAGAAUACAGGCAGCAUUAUGUGUGUCAAAUAAGAAUCCCCGUAGAGUUCUGAUACAGCCAAUAGAAACUGCAUUACCAACAUUUAGAUCAGAAACAAUUAAUAAAGUAUUGUUGAUGAUGUAAUAUAAAAAAGACACCAAAGACAGAGAAAGAUACCUUGGUGAUUUGGUUUCGCAAAUUGUCCUCUUUUGGAGGUAACAAGCAUGCGAGCUGUAUUAAAGCAGGAAAGCAGUCGGCAUGUAGCCACUCAAAUGCAGGCAAUUGAACAUGUCCACUACCGAGUUAACAAAAUUCUCAUAAGCAGUUAUAGUAAAUCAAUUUAACAAUAUCACUACCUAAAGACAAAAGUCAAACGGCUAUGUUCUGUCAGAAAAUAGUAGACAGGCCUGAAAAAAGAAUAUAUAACAAAGUAAAAUAAAAUAAAAAGGAAAAAGGAGAAAAGAGCUUACCCUGCAUACAAUUCAAGGAAAGAUUUAGAAAAUAUUGUUCCAGUUGUUUUGGGAUCAGAAGAAACUGGGCACUUCUCAAUUGCUUUCUGGUGCACAUACGGAAGAAUUUCCUCUAGCAUUCGUAGUAAAACAUCAACAUUCCAGCGUUCUCGUUCACCUAAAACACGAAGAUGUGACUCCAUAGAACCUUCAACGCCCGAAAGAGGAGGACAGCGCUGCAAUGUCACAAGGAUGCAAAUUAAAGAAAGUAUCAUUAGAAAGACCUUCGUCAUAAGUGGAAAAUAUAAUCAAACAGAAACUAACCUGAACCGAGCUUGAUAUAUGAGAGAGUAAACUCUUAAGAUAUGGUCUAAUUUGUUUCCCCACUUGUUUACUGCAGGGACUAAUUGUUUAAGCGUCGUUUCCACCACCACUCCAGAGGGAUCACAGACCAAUUGGAACAUCAACUCCUCGACCUAUAAAUAAAAAUACAGUAAAAUAUUGGAGAAACAGAUCCUUGACUACUUUAUCCAUUUAUUUCUUGUCAGUCAUCAUAUUAUGAGGAGAAAAUUCUCCAUGCCCUAGACCAUGUGGCAUCAACCUGUUCUAGAGCUUACAUUGUAGCCAUUUCUGUCAAGUCAGAAUUCCUCUCAAUGAGAGCCUCUGAAGCAUAUUAGUGAGGCUGACCUUGAAAUAUUUGUCCAUGGUCGGGAAGAGUGGAAGCAGCAAUGCAAGAUUAUGUGCAGCAGCCUCCCGGACAACAGUUGCAGAAUCUUCUAUGAAUUGUUGAACAAUGGACAAUAUAAGAGAAUCACGAAUCUCAGGCCGGACAAACUCUGCAAACUCUCCACAUGAUUGAGCAACUAGCAGCCUGCGUUCCUCAUACAUAUGAUUUAUCUGCAACCCACAAACCGGAGAAACAUAAGAAAAACUUAUCAGAAAUAUGAAAAGGUUAGACACGAUCCUCUUCUCUCAAGGCGGGGCUCAAACUUACUUGUUCCCAACACUGGGGAAGCAUUUCUGUUUCUGUUCUCAUCUCUCCUACAUUUUUAGCAAGGUUAACACAUGCCUGAAAUGCAGUCAAAAGAUUCAGGAACAAGUCCAAAACAAUGCAGCUAUAUUACAAAUAAUGUGGUAGUUUGAAUAUUAGCCUACAUCCAUUAUAAUUCUUCUCUGCUGCUCAUCUGGGCGUUUGAUUAGAUUAAACAAUGUGUGGGUUAAGGAAUCCCAAGUGCUGCUAUCUGGAUGGCGUUCAAUCACACACAUGAUUAGGGGAAGAAGCUCCUGUGAAUGCAUAACCAAUAAAAAAAAUAAAAAUAUGUCUUCUAUUAAAGGAUCAAUUUAAAGAUCCAUCAUACAAUGAUAAUAUCAAUAAUAUAUUUAUACACACAUAUAUAAUAUUUAUGUACAUAUGAAAAAGUACAAGAAGCAAACCUCCCGAUGGUUGAUCAAAGCAUAUGGAACAAUCUUCGGCAAAGCAUCAGCAAGGAUCUGAAUGGUCUCUAGGCCCGGUAAAAUAUAAGCAUAACUUUAGAAAAGGAAUAGAAGGGAAAGGCAGUUCCAAAGCUUCUAAAAAAUCAUUCUAUGUUCUAUUAUUCAAAAUUUAGAUGGGUAUCCCAUCCAAAACGAAAAGAAAAAGGAUGUGCCAACCAUGGAAGAAAAAAAACAUGUCUAAUCCGGUCCUCCUAUAAAGGCAUUGAUGCAAUAAAAGAAAUGUAAAAGAAACUUGCCCUUUUCUCGGAAACAUUUUCAGGACUAAGAUUCUCUGACGUUAGGUGUAGGCUGCUGCCUAAUGAUGGUUCAUCAUUUUGUUCAAAAUUGGUUGUCUCUGAAAAAUCAUGAGCUUUUGUGGUUUUGGAUUUUAAACUUUCUAGUUCCAUCUGCAAUGAUAUAAUUUCUUCCUUAUCUUUCCAAGGACAGAGAUUGGAUUUGAUCAGCAUCAGCAGCUCCCAUAUUCCUUCCAGAACGAUAUACAAUGCAGUGACUUGAGCUCUACAAUCAUUGAGCUCCUUUCUCUGGUGUUCCAACUUCCACCAAACUGAUCACGUACGAAGCUAUUUAGUGUUGGAAUUAAAUAGAAUUUAGUUUUGAUCAAGUGGUUGAGAAGGAAGAAACCAAUAGGAAAGUGUAUGUCUAGUCUCAUAAGACAAGUGUAUGCUUUAGAUCUUUGUUUGUGAAUCAAGGGCUUAUAUUGCUCUAGAUUAGCUUGUAAGAGAAAAAAUCCAAUGUGUUGAUAUUUAAUGAAAAUAUCUGUGCUUGCUGCAUGGACUGAAAAACCUUUCACAUUCCUCUAAACUUUCUCUGUUUUCUUGUUCCUUGUCUACCUUCAGAAAUACAUCAUACCAACCAAAUUAACUCACCGGAAUUUAUCAUGGCCUCAGAGCUUAGGUUCUGAUCAAUUUCAGGACUGGGCGUUUUUGUGUGUGCUUCGUAUCUCUGAAAAGGAAAGGGGAAAAACAUACCCAGAUCGUGAAAAUCUCAUAUGUUCUUACAAAGUCUCACAUGGCUACUUCGAGCAGUGGAGGAGAUCUGAGGGCUCCUUUUUUAAUGGGAUCAACUACGAUUUUUGGUCCAUCAAGAUGAAGACCAUAUUCAAAUCACAUGAUCUCUGGAGUUUGGUGGACAAGGGUUUUGAAACCGCAGAAACUAAAGAUGAUUCUAGCGAUGAAGAUCAACAGUCUGUGAGGAAGAUAGCAAUGAAAGUUAAUGAAACCAGAGAUGCAAAGGCUCUUGGUAUCAUUCAAGGGGCAGUGUCUGAUGAGAUGUUUCCUCGAAUCUCAAACUUUGAAACCUCCAAGAUUGCAUGGGAUGUUCUUCAACAAGAAUUUCGUGGUGAUAAAAAGGUUAGGUCUGUCAAACUACAAUGUUUAAGAAGAGAUUUUGAGUACACUAGGAUGAAUGAUGGUGAAGCUCUAUAUGCUUAUUUAACAAGAUUGACUGACAUUGUGAAUCAAAUGAAAACUCUUGGUGAAGAACUGACAAACCAAAGAUUAGUACAGAAGAUACUUAUUAGCUUGCCUAAAUCCUAUGAUUCCAUCACAUCUAUUAUAGAAGAAACUAAGGACCUUGACUCCAUUGAGGUUCAGGAGGUGAUUGGUACAUUGAAAGGCUAUGAGCAGAGGUUAAAUAUGCACUCUGAAAACUUAGCUGAAAAGGCUUUUACUAGUCUAAGUGUGAUUGAGAGAGAUAGCAGUUACAAGGCUCAGGGGAACAACUCAAAUCAAAAGAAAUUCUGGAAAGGAAAAGGGAAGAAAUGGGACAACAACCAUACUCCACAAUCAAAAUCAGAAACUAGCAAUGAUUCUACCAAAACCAAGUGUAAAAUCUAUGACAAAUUACACUAUGGUGUUUGCUGGUUCAAGGGAAAACCCAAAUGCACCAAGUCUGACAGAUUUGGCCAUCUAGCAAAAGAUUGUAAUCCAAGAAGGAACCAAGCUGUCAACUAUGCACAUAGAGCAGAAGAAGAUGAAGUAAAUGUCUUUUAUGCUUGUAGUGUUGCAAGAACUGAAAAUAAGAGAGGAAUCUGGUACAUUGACAGUGGAUGCAGUAAUCAUAUGACUGCAUAUGAAUCCUUGUUAAUCAACAUUGACAGAAGCUUCAAUUGCAGAGUUAAAAUGGGGAAUGGACAACUAGUGGAAGCUACUGGAAAAGGAACUCUUGUUCUAGAGACAAAGGGUGGAAGAAGAUUCAUCAAGGAUGUAAUACUUGUACCAGGUCUUGAUGAGAAUCUCCUUAGUGUGGGACAGAUGAUUGCUCAUGGUUACUUCUUACUUUUUGGAGACAAUAUAAUGGAGAUCUUUGAUGACAGAAGCCUCCAAAACUUGGUAACACAAGUUGGCAUGACAGAAAACAAAAGUUUUCCACUUAUGCUAGAUUACAAUGACUCAAUUGCUCUAAAAGCAAGUGUUGCAGAAAACUCUUGGUUAUGGCACAAGAGGUUUGGACAUCUCAACUUUCACAGUUUAAAGAGAUUGGAGAAACUACAAAUGGUGACUGGUCUUCCUGAGUUACAAGAGACUAAAGAACCGUGUGAAGGUUGCAUAUUGAGGAAGCAUCACAGGGACUCUUUUGAAACUAGAAAUGCAUGGAGAGCAAGCCAACCUCUAGAACUCAUUCACACAGAUGUGUGUGGUCCAAUGAAGACACCUACACUCAGUGGGAACAGAUACUUUCUGUUAUUCAUUGAUGACUGCACCAGGAUGGUUUGGGUAUAUCUUAUGAGAAACAAGAGUGAAGUCUUUUCAAUCUUCAAGAAAUUCAAAGUGAUGGUUGAACUUCAGAGUGGUCUCAAGAUCAAAAGACUAAGAAGCGACAGAGGUGGUGAAUUCAUGUCACUUGAGUUCCAAGAAUUCUGUGAAGGAGCAGGAUUACAGAAGCAAUUGACAGUGGCCUACACACCACAGCAGAAUGGUGUAGUUGAGAGGAAUAACAUGACUGUGGUUGAAAUGACCAAGUCAAUGCUACAUGAUAAGAAAAUGCCACUUUCUUUUUGGGGUAAGGCUGUCAAUACAUCUGUGUAUCUCCUAAACAGGUGUCCAACUAAAGCACUUGAGAAGAAAACACCUUUUGAGGCAUUUAGUGGCAGAAAACCAAGUGUGAAGCACUUGAAGGUGAUCAAUCUGCUAUGCACAGAUACCAUCUCAAUUAAGACACAAGCUUGAAAUCAAUAGUGUCAAGUGUGUUCUUGUAGGUUAUAGAAGUUGUGAAAAGGGCUAUAGGCUUUACAAUAUUGAGUCACAUAAAGUGAUUAUCUCAAGGGAUGUGGUGUUCAAGGAGAAUGAAGCAUGGAAUUGGGAAACCAAUAACAUUGACACUAUCUCAUUUCCACUAGCAAUGGAAGAAGCACAAGCUGAAGUGCAAAAUGAGAAUGAACCUGUUAUACAUGAUGGAAGUCAAAAUGACUUUUCAACUCCAACACAAGGAUCUCAGUUCUCUACUUCAAAUGCAGAAGGACAAGAAUUACAGGAUUCCUCCUUUGAAACAACUCCAUUGAGAAUGAGGAGUUUAAAUGAGAUUUAUGCAGUGUGUAACUAUUGUGUUGUUGAACCAGAGAGUUUUGAAGAAGCUGAGAAGGAUCAAUCUUAGCAGAAAGCAAUGAGUGAAGAAAUUUCCAUGAUUGAGAAAAACUCUACUUGGAAAUUGGUAAAUAGACCGAGUGAUAAACCUGUGAUAGGUGUGAAAUGGAUCUACAAGACCAAACUGAAUUUGGAUGGAUCAAUACAGAAGAACAAAGCAAGAUUAGUUGCCAAAGGCUACUCACAACAACCUGGGGUAGAUUUCAAUGAAACCUUUGCCCCAGUGGCAAGGUUAAAUACCAUUAGAACCUUGAUUGCUCUUGCUGCCCAAAAGGGAUGGAAACUUCACCAGUUAGAUGUUAAAUCAGCCUUUCUAAAUGGCAUUCUGGAGGAAGAAGUGUAUGUGGAUCAACCACAAGGAUUUGAAGUACCAAAUAAAGAAGAGAAGGUUUAUAAGUUAAACAAAGCACUGUAUGGACUCAAACAAGCCCUCAGGGCUUGGUACAGUGAGAUAGACUCCUAUUUCAGCAAGGGUGGAUUUAACAAAAGUCCUAGUGAAGCUACAUUAUAUACAAAAACUGGUGAGAACUCUGAGAUGCUUAUUGUGUCUAUAUAUGUUGAUGAUGUGGUCUUUACUGGUAAUUGUGAAGAAAUGAUUGAAGAAUUCAGAAGGGACAUGAUGAGACAAUAUGAGAUGUCGGAUCUUGGCUUGUUGCAUCACUUCUUGGGAAUUGGAGUAAUACAAGAAGUUACUGAGAUCUUCAUACAUCAACAGAAGUAUGCACAAUCAUUGCUUGAAAGAUUCAAUCUGAAAGGAUGUAAAUCUGUGGCAACACCAUUGAUCACAAAUGAGAAACUUUGUAAAGUGGAUGGUUCUGAAUCUGCUGAUGAAUGCUUAUACAGAAGAAUGGUUGGAAGUCUACUUUACUUGACUGCUACAAGACCUAACAUUAUGUAUGCAGCUAGUCUCUUAUCAAGGUUCAUGCAUAAUCCCACAAGAAUUCACAUGGAAACUGCUAAGAGAGUACUAAGGUAUAUCUCAGGGACCUUGGACUAUGGAAUCAAGUAUGAAAAGGGAGAAAAAGCAAUUCUGGUAGGCUUCUGUGACAGCGAUUGGGGUAGCAGUGAAGAUGACAUGAGAAGUACCUCAGGAUAUGCAUUUACAUUUGGUUCUGGGAUAUUUUCCUGGGCCUCUGUCAAGCAACAAAGUGUUGCAUUGUCUACGGCUGAGGCAGAGUAUGUGAGUGCUGCAAUGGCUACCUCUCAAGCUAUAUGGUUGAGGUUUGUGUUAAAGGAUUUUGGUGAAAUGCAAGUGGAUGCUACACCACUUAUGUGUGACAACACAUCAGCAAUAGCUAUGACCAAAAAUCCUAUUUUUCACCAGAAAACCAAGCAUAUCAAAAGGAAGUUUCACUUCAUAAGGGAAGCCUUGCAGGAGAAUACCAUUGAACUGAUCUACUGCAAAUCACAGGAUCAAAUGGCAGACAUCUUUACCAAAGCUCUACCAAGGGAAAGAUUUGUCUAUCUCAGAGGAAUGCUUGGGAUCAAAACCAGAAUUCAUUUAAAGGGGAGUGUUGGAAUUAAAUAGAAUUUAGUUUUGAUCAAGUAGUUGAGAAAGAAGAAACCAAUAGGAAAGUGUAUGUCUAGUCUCAUAAGACAAGUGUAUGCUUUAGAUCUUUGUUUGUGAAUCAAGGGCUUAUAUUGCUCUAGAUUAGCUUGUAAGAGAAAAAAUCCAAUGUGUUGAUAUUUAAUGAAAAUAUAUGUGCUUGCUGCAUGGACUGAAAAACCUUUCACAUUCCUCUAAACUUUCUCUGUUUUCUUGUUCCUUGUCUACCUUCAGAAAUACAUCAUACCAACCAAAUUAACUCACCGGAAUUUAUCAUUUAGGUUGUAGUUGAAAAAGGGCCUAAGGGCCUAACAACCAUAGUUUAGGCAACCAUGCUGUUGCACUAACCACCAUAGUUUAUAGUUCAACAGUCGCUAUAUUAAAGCCUCUUUUGAUAUCUAAAAUUAGAUCCAAAUGGAUCGCCGCUAAAUUUAGGUAAAAAUUUAUAUCCACCUAACAUGUAAAAGAUCAAUUACUCAUAAAGAAAACUUAUGAGUAUCAAUCUCUCCAUAAUGUAGGAUUACAAAGACGAAUUUCCUUCAUAACUAAUCCUCUCUAAUUCCCUCCAAAUAAAAAAUAUAACUACAGUUUCAGCAUCUUGCCGCAUAAGCAAGCAGGAUUGGCCAAGCUUAGCUAAGCACCAUCCAAAGAAAGCAAACUACAAAUAAUACGAAGUGACUACAAAUCCUAGCAAACACAACCCAAAUUCACAUAGAUCAGAAAAUCCCAACCUCCACCACUGUCAGGAGCAUACAUUUAGCGUCCUUCAUUAAUCAUUGUCAUUGUAGCUUCAUUAUUCGAAGGCUGUGGUUGAGGAUGAGAGACUGAGUUUUGGAUAGUGAAUAGAGGCUGUUUAGGUUGUGGACCACCAAUAACAUUUGUGGAACCAUUUAGCAUAAAAAUUACAUCCGGCAUGCUCGGCCUAUCCGUCGGAUUGUCCUGUACACAAAGCAGCCCUAUAUGCACACAUUUCAUUACUUCUGGAGCCGAAUAUGAAUCAGCCGCCAACAUUUCAUCUACCAACUCCAAUUCCCUGCCUUCCUUCCAUAACUGCCAUGCAUAGGCUAGUAAGCCUAGCUGUCGAUCAUAGAUAUAGAAGGCCGUAUUCUUCUUGCUGCUAAUAAUCUCCAAUACCAAGACCCCAAAGCUGUAGACAUCAGAUUUUUGAAAAAAUAUUCCACCCAUGGCAUACUCUGGAGAUAUAUAUCCACUGUACGAACAUGAAACUCAUUAGUAUAUAUGUCGCUGAAAUAAGUGCUUGGUUUCUGCCUUUUAAGAACAACAUUACCAAAACUAUAUCUAAUGUGAACGAUGCAACUAAUUAGCAGUUUUUAUCCAAAACAGGAGUCGGUUAAGAGUUCAUGAAUCAUGAUGCAAUGCUAACCAUUAGAACUUUCGUUGCGUAUGACAUGUUCAAGAAUAUAUAGGAAGGGCAUGAAUCUUACAGCGUUCCCACAACUCUCUGAGUAUUUUCUAAAUUCUGUGUCCCUUCAACCACACGUGCCAAUCCAAAAUCUGAAAUUUUUGGGUUCAUUUUCUCAUCCAAAAGAAUGUUGCUUACUUUUAGAUCUCUAUGUAUUACCUUCAAAUAGGAAUCAUGAUGGAGAUAAACAAGCCCUCUGGCAACAACUUGAAUAAUAUUAAAACGUGUACCCCAAUCAAGCACUGCUCUUCUCGUCGAAUCUGAGCAUCACAUAAUCGAUCAAUACACUGCUUAGAAUCUAAAGAUAAGAAAUUGCAGUAAAGUGCAAUUGAAACUAACCGAAAAGAAAAGUAUCCAAGCUUUUGUUUGGCAUGAACUCAUAAAUCAGUAACUUCUCAUCCUCUUUAACGCAGCAACCCAUGAUUCUGACCAGAUUUUUGUGUUGGAGAUUGGAGAUCAAUAACAUUUCAUUCUUGAACUCCACUACACCUUGCCCUGAGGUACUGGAUAGUCUUUUUACUGCUAUUUCCUUCCCUUCUGCUAGCUUACCCUACACAAAGUCGACAAAUAAAUCAUUGCACUCAUGUCUGUUUCUCUGUACCUAUCAUAAAAAUAAUAAUAAUUACCCAAUAAACUGGACCAAAGCCUCCUUGCCCGAGUUUGUUUUCUAUGCUGAAAUUGUCCGUAGCAACUAAUAUGCUAUCAAAAUCAUAGAUCAGUAACUCAGACAGAUCAUGUUUUCCACCUAUAUAUUCUUGAAGGGCGUCCCUUGUUAUUUUGAUGUGUUCCCUUGUUAAUUUGAUGUGUCCUGAUUUUGCAAAUAUACACAUCAAACACUGAAUCAAAGCAAAACAACUUACAGAGUUUUGAGAGAUAAUAUGCUAAUGCAUUAUAUUAAUCCAACACCUCGAUCUCUUUCACUUAAUUACCUUUUUGCUUAGCUCUCAUCCUGCACAAACCAAACACUAUGGCACCCAAUACACCGAUAAAACAAACAACUGUAAGGCUCACAAUUAACUUUAUUGGCUUUCCUUUACCUGAAAAAUUUACAAUACAAAAACAAGCAUGAGAUAUAUCGAAACAGAAAAGUUACUGCUUGAUAAUUAGAGUUGUUCAAGGCUUCAAGCACUUUUGAACAAAAAAAAAGGCAUCAAGCACUAGUAUCAUUAGUUCAUUUGCUAGUUCUGCGCGUGCUAGGCAAAUAUAAACAUCUACUCCGUCAGAGGGAAACUCCUGCAUAUGAAUAAGGUGUUUGGACCAGACCAAACACCGUGUUUUAUAAACAAGUGCAUACUCUUGGUAAGAACAAUUAUUUAGGCGCACUGUCUUGCAGUCGCGGAUGUGUUGUCAGAAUCCAAAGACACAAACUCAUGAGAAUCUGGUACUCUGAACCCUACCAGCUUCAGAAACCCAUCAUCAUCAUCUUCUUUUCCUCUCAAUGUGACUGACUUAUUUGUCUCUCUCACAAAACAAUUUGGUUUCCCUCACACACCUUCCCGUCCCGUUUCCUCUGCUCCAUUCCCGUCUGACUUGGGUACAAACCUGUUGAAUCCCACAUCGGCUAGAGGGAAAGAAGAAAAGCAAUUUAAAUAGAAUUAUCCCACUCCACCUAAUACCGAGGUUUUCUGUGAUAAAACUUCACACCUGACGGAUUGGGUAGGUGGUAAAGUGAGGACAGUAUCGGUGUUGGUGGAGUGGGGUCCCUCGGCCCGUCGACUUGAAAAAUUCAACAUGGUAUCAGAGCCAGGGGACGGGCUUGGUACCACCACAUGAUUGGGUGGGUUCCCAUUGGCCCCGUGCGAUGGGUGAGUCCCAACUUGGCUUCACGUGGUUGUCGAUGUGUGGAUCCUCCACGUGUGAUCCACAAAAUGGGGUCUCAUGUGUGGGGGCAUGUUGAAUCCCACAUUGGCUAAAGGGAAAGAAAAGCAACAAUUUAAAUAGAAUUAGCCCACUCUAACUAAUACCGAGACUUUUUGGAUAAAACUCCAUACCUGACGGAUUGGGCAGUUGGUGAAGUGGGGACGGUGCUGGUGGAAUGGGGCCCUCGGCCCAUCGACCUGAAAAAUUCAACAAAACCCUUUCAAGCACUUGCAGAUUGGUGAUCCAGAAGCUUUGCAAACUCCACAAGGUCCACAUGCUCCAUAAUUGUCGCAUUCUUUAUAUUGUGGCUGAGAGUAGACAUACCAUAUGAGCAGAAUGUAAUGGCGUAGUCAGGUCCGCCAUUGCAGGUGAAUGUGCUGUUUGCAUCAUCCAAAGCGUAGCUAUAAGCUUGAGGGCAUUGCUGCUUAAACAUCUUAGAGUACUCUGUGGGUUGACACAACUUCGGAUCGGUGAACUCCAAGCAAGCGCUUUUGCAACUGAUGACACUCCCAUCAGCCGAUUUCACUUGUAACUCAGCCGGGCAUGCCGCGUUAACAUUCGCAUCGCAAGUCGAGGCCUGGCACUUGCCGGUGCCGCCUUGUGGGGCGACGGACAUGGGCAAGUUGAAGCCGUCAACAAGGCUAACAUCGUAAAAAUCUAGACCCUCGAUUCCUGCGAUUGUGAUUUCUACUAAAGUUGCUGGUGGAGCUCCGCCUGCACCGUUGCAUGCGACCUGGCCAGAGCCACAGUCUGCAGUUUCACAAGUGAAAUUUCCAACGGCGUCUGUGGAGCAUCUGGUUCGGGCCCAGAAGCGACCAGACCAUGAGGAUGGAGUGUCUAUUGACCGGCUAGCUUUGGAUGCUAGUUCGAACCCGGUGAGUGAUAAUUGAGGUUUUUGGUUAGUGGUUAGGGUUCCUGGCCAGACAGUGUAGGAGCAGUGGUUUGUGAAAGUGAUUUUUGCUGCAUGUGCACCUGCAUUUAUAUUCAACAUAAAACUAGAUGCUAAGAAUAUUGAAAUCUAAAUACAAUUGUUGACAAAAAUUGUAAACUAAAUAAUAUGUCACUAAUACGAAUGAACACAUUUAUUAAAAUUAAAGUAAUAAACCAAUUAUUAACUUCCAUGUCCUUUAGUUUCCAAAAUUUUGUUUACAAAUUUUAUCUCCCUAGCAUUACCCAUAAAUAAAUAAACAAUUUGAAAUCAUAUUAAGAACUUUUUUCAUAACUAAUCAGUAGUUUUAUUAUAAAUAUACUUUGAUGAUGAUUCAUCCAAUCUCAUGCUCUCAUCACCGCAUUGGCCGGCUUACUUCUAUAUAUCCGUAUUUUUCAUCAUCGAUCGUUAUUCUCUUUUAGACUCCCUACCGUCACUUUUGACGUUGUUACAAUGUAAAGCGUAAUAAGGGUAAAUUGUAAACAAGUCUACUGAAGACCGCUGAGUUUGUUAUAAGGCAGUUGUAACAGUUUUGUAAUUAGUUUGUGAUUAGUUAGACAAGAUGUAAUUAGUUGUUAAUACAAGUGAGUUAGUCACUGGUAUAUAUACACCAACAUGUAAUCUUAUUCCUUGGAGAUGUUUUGAUAUAGGUGCCUUAUUUUUGAAUUUUAUAGACUAAACAUCUAUGCCUUUUAGAGAUUUGAUUAAACUCUUCUUCUCAUCAUUUUGUUGCCACAUAUAUUAGAAUUAAUCAUUUUUUAUACCAAAAUUACAUGACCUGCCACUACUCCAUAUUUCUUAAUCUCACGCCAAAAAAGUGCACAGCGUAUUGAACCAAACUUCCUAUAAUCAAGCAUUUUGAUUACCUUCUCCCCCUUUGGAGAUAAUUGUAAACAAAAAAACCCUAGUUAAAUACAAUUUAUUUUCACAAUACUUCCUACAAUUUAGCAAUGAUUUCUACGAUUUAAUAUUUUAUUCCCAAAAGGGUUGAAAAUAUUUUUAAAUCUCACGAAAUCAAAUGUACCAAUAUAAUUUUUUAUAUCAAUACAUUAAGAGAAAAUAGGACUAACAACAAUAUAAACGUACCAAUAAAUAAAGUGUAUGAAAUCAAACGUACCAAAAUCAAAAGUAAUGUACCAAUAUCAACAAUAUGUACCAAAUCAAACGUACCAAAACUGCAAAUAAACGUACCAAUCAAUGUUUUUUACAAAUUAAAACGUACCUAACGGCAGUAUACACAUAAUAUGUUGUACCUAAUAAUAGUUUGUCAACAACUAUAAGUAAAAAUAAAAAAAAUGAAAAAUAAAAAACAAAGAAAAAUAGUUUGACAAAAAAAAGGGGAAAAAUUACACAGUGCUUUGUUGGAUCGCCAACCAUUUGACAAAAAUAGAUAAUAUUAAUGUUUGUAGAACAAAAAAAUUAUUUUGAUCAAAAAAUUAUAAUUGGAAAAAGGGAUAAUAGAGUUAAUAACUAAUACUCCACUAAAUAAGGGGAAAAACGCAUAAAAAACAUAAGAGGAUAAAUUUAGAAAUUAAUAAUUAACAUUUUAUUUUAAGAAAAUACAAUAAUGAUAUGUAAUUUAAUUUAACAGAAAAUUGUGAGGUGUCUAUUGGUCAAAGCACUUUAAUCAAAUUUUGAAAAGGCACAAAUGUUUAGUCUAAAAGAUAUAAAAAAGUUGUAGGGGAUUCUAAUUUUCCCUAUUCCUUAUGAAAUGAAAGCAUAAUUUUUCUAUUAUGGUAUCUCUCCCCCGUGUCUAACGACCUUUCGAUCCUCCUUUCUUCUGCUUCUCAAAUUCAACCUGCUCCUAUGAAUUCUUGCCCUAAUUCCUCAAUUCUUUUGACAAUUUCUUUGAUUACGAUCCAGAAUAUUGGAUCUAUGGUUCCAAUUAAGCUCACCACAACGAACUAUCUCACCUGAAGUGCGCUGUUUGCUUCGAUCUUCCGCCGAUAGUCUCACCGGAAUUAUUGACGGCACGAUGACUGCUCCGCCCAAAUUUCUUCUUGAUUCGUCUGGAAAUCGCACCUCUACCUCUGAAUCCUCAGUAUGUGACAUGGUUCGAAAAUGAUCAGGACAUUCUGAUCUGGAUCAAUUCUACACUCUCAAAUUCUCUCAUCCCAUACACUGUUGGAGUCAACCCCUCUCUAGUAUUUGCAUCCGGCAGGCAUGCAUAUUAUAGACUAAUACGAAACAAAAUAGAAAAGAAAUUAAUAAGAAGUUUUGUAUAAUAAUACCUGAGAAGAAGAGGAUGGCCAUGGUGAGGCCGAGGAGGGAAGCUACUUGUCUCUUCAUCAUCGUCGUUGAAUAUAUCUUAAUUGCCUGCUUGUUGCUAAUUAGCUUGAACUUAUGAAUCUCACUGACCGAUCCACUAAGGGGCGGGAUGGGUCAACUGACCCUCCCAACUUUCGCACACCUCCGUGAGAGAUCCAAGUGCUGCCCUUUGAAGCUUAGAAUUGUCCUUGAGAUAUGCCCUCCAACUGCUCGAUGAAAUGCUUCAAUGAACAUUGGGCACGGCAAGGCAUUAUGUUCUUUGCAGCUGAUAUGCAACAAAACUAGAUCAAUUUAUAUGUUCUCUUGACAAUAAGACCUGACCACUUUAAAAAAUAAAAAAUCACUUAUCCUUCUAGUCUAGACAUAUAUAAACCCAAGUCUAUAAUCAUAAUUUCUAUCAAUUCCAGCCCAAAUUCUAGAUCUUUAAAAUUUCAAUUUUCCUUUAUUAAUACAUUUUCAAAAUAUGAAACCGCGUCGUGGAUAAGCAAUUGUAGUUUGUAAUGUUAUUUUAUGAAUUUUAGAUUUAUGAUUUAAUUUCUAAAGCUAUUUAUUUGUCAAAGAAAUAUUUGUGAAUUUUAUACAUUGCGGGUCUAAGUUCAACGCUGACAAGUAAAACGAACAAGCUCUAAAGGAGAUGGAACAAGCACUAGAAGGCUUGAAUUGUCAGCUUCGAUUUUCCUCUCCCAUCCAUUUUUAAUAGUAACUUAGUCUCUGUGUGACUUGGUCUGCAAAGUUUUUUUUUCUUUUUUUUUCUUUUCUUUUUUCCAAACGGUCUCCAAAGUUAGUACAUAUUAUUCAUACCCUAUUACAUUUUUAUCUAAUUUUUGGUUAAAUUUGUUUAGUAUUAAAAAUUUUAAGAUUGAAGGUUUUAGAGAUGACUUAUCAAGUAUUUCUCAUAAAUUCUACAAAUUAAUUUGACUUUUUGAUAUUUUUCACUUCAUUAAAAGGGUAAUUGUCUCUCAUAUAUAAAAAGUGUAUCAAAUUUCAAUUUGUAGGGAACAAAUUCCACAUGUCCGUAGAAUUACUUGAACAUCCUUGCAAUCAAGAAUUAAAAUGAUAAAUUAGAUCUGGUCAUACCUGUUUGGUGUUAAUGGAUUUGUGAUUCAAUUGAAGAUAUACUUAUAUUAUGUAGUUUUACUUUUAAUUACACAAAGUUUGUUUGUUUUUUAAUGAUAAAACCCUCACUCCCCCCCCCCCAUCGUUUUGUGUACAUGAUAAAAUGAAGAUCGAGAGACUAUACAUGUGUGUAGUUACUAGUAAGCCGCUAACUCGUCCCUCUCAAACCUUCAUGGUAUUGCUUUUGUAACAUGCAUUAUUGUAGAAUUACUACAUGCAUAAUCUAUUAGGUGUGGGUUGUCACAAAUAGGCGUCAGUAUUAGUUUCAGUGGAGAUAUGAUAUUUAAACUUUUUUUAUUUUAGAGAUACAAUCCAUGUGGAAUAUUUCAACAUAUAUACUAAGCAAUAAAAUAAGAAGAAUAUGUUGAUUAUGUUUUAUGCGGUCGUAUGGUUUGGCAUGCAAAGACGUGGAAGCUUAUAAUCCCCUUCGAUUCACAUCCGUAGAUCCAAAUUUACAAAAUCUGUUUUAUUUUGCAUUUCAUGGCAAGACUGUCUUUAUGUAUAUUUGUCAUUAAACCUCACAAAUCACAAAAAUGUUUGUUUUUCAUCCGGAAUCUUUCUAUUUUCACACUAUUUCGGAGAAUUCUGACCAAAAAUAAAACAUGCCAAAAGAAUCCAAAAACUUUUUAAUGGCGAGUUCGAUGCUAACUUAUUGGCGAGUUUGAUAAGUCUUAGGUUAUAAUCUUUUUAAUGAAAAGUUUUAGAUUAGAAUCCUUUUAACAACAAGUUCGAUAGUAAUUUACUUUUCUUAGCGUAUAUAAAUAUUGUGGAUGCAAAUUUCCGCCUUCUUCUCUUUUGACGAAAAUGCACCUGCAAAAUAAUAACACAUAAUAUUAAGGCCAAAAGCCUCACGCGCCCACGAUGAAUGGGAGGCUUUGGCCGAAGAAUCUCCGAUGCCAAAGUUAGAAUUUGAGAGAGAGUGUUUAGGAAUUUUUUGGGAGAGAAUCCACUAGCAUUUUAGUGGGAAAACAUGACUAUUUAUAGGGGAGUGAUCGGCCCUAUUUGGAGAAUAGGGGCCUACCACAUAUGGUCACAUUGUGAGUGUAAUUGCAAGAUAUUAUAUGAAAUAAUAUAUUGCAGUUAACUUGGCAAUUAAUCCCAAAUUAAUUAGGAAAUUUGAGAGUUACCUUUUGAGUGAGGAUUUGAUGAGGCGUGAUGAGAGGGUUUUAAAUAUGUAUCAUUUUGAUCACCUUUGACUCUUCCUUGAUUGAGUCGUUAUUGUCCGUUGCAUACGCAUGAGAAUCCUGGUAUGCCUCGAAGGUAAUUUUGUCAUUUUUACCCAAAAGUACACAUGUCACCUCCAUAAUUUUCUUGAUUAUUUUUUGCUCCAUAAAUAUCGUUAUAAAACAUAUAACCAAAAACUCAAUGGAAAAGAUGGACAGGGGGCGGGGCCACUCGAUGGGGGCGUUAACUAACUUAUUGGCAAGUUCAAUAAGUCUUAGGUUAUAAUCUUUUUAAUGAAAAGUAAGUUUUAGAUAAGAAUCAUUUUAACGGCGAAUUCGAUAGUAAUUUACUUUUCUUAGCGUAUAUAAAUAUAUCGUUGUAUUAAAAAUAUAACCAAAAACUCAAUGAAAAAUACGGACGGGGGGUGGGCGGGGUACCUAGCCUAUGAAAAAUAUGGAUGGGGGACAAGGGGAUCCCUUAUACCUCACUUUAAAGGGAGAAAGAGAGCAAACCCUAGUCCAUAUAACCUCCAUGUCAAUUGUAACCUUCAUUGAUAUAGUAAAAACAACUCGACACAAUAUGGACAUAGCCCAAACUAGAGGUGAACUAUGAUCAUGGAAGAAAAUGCCGAUAAUAUCGGCGAAAUAUCGCCGAUAUUAUCGGUUUUUCGGGGUAUGGAUAUUCUAAGUGGUAUCCGAGUGGUUUUCGGCCAAAUAUCGCGAUAUUAUCGAUAAUAUCGCGAUAUUUUGGAAAUAUCGGCGAAAUUUCCAUGGUUUGGUGCAAUCGGACUCCGAGGCGACGUCGGAGAAGAACGCCGGAGACGGUGUGCCUAUUCCCGGGCCGGGUUUCGUCCCAAAAACCUUGCAAAAACACGAAUUUUAACAUCAAUUUCACAUAUAAACUUCAUAUUUCACGCAUGCAUCAACUAUUCAACAUAGGUGAAGUCGGUUUAGGGUUUAGGGUUUGAAUGGAAUCUCACCUGACGAAGACGAAGACGAACCAGAUGACUGAACGCGAUCCUUGCUCAGCGGCGCACCGCCACAGACGACUGAGACAACUCUGACUUCGCCAGAGCCACGAUCAACGGCGAAGGGAGAAGAGAGAUCGAGAGAUCUCUGUGUGUGUGUGUGUGUUUGGGAGAAGAGAGAUCGGAGAUCUCUCUUUGUAUGUGGGUGUUUGGGAGAAGAGAAAUCGGAGAAGGGAGAAGAGAGAUCGGAGAAUGGAGAAGAGAGAUCGAGAGAUCUCUGUGUGCGUGUGUGUGUUUGGGAGAAGAGAGAUCGGAGAUCUCUGUGUGUAUGUGUGUGUUGGAUCGGAUGUAACCUGUGGAGCUCUCUGUGUGAGUGUGUGUGUGGGAGAAGAGAAGGGAGAAGAGAGAUCGAGAAGGAUCGAGAGAGAGAGAGACUGAGGUCGUGUAUGCGUGCGUGCGUUGUGUGUGUGCGUGUGGGUUCCUCCUGUCAGGAGGAUACAACUCACUCAAUAUUCCCGACAAGUUUUACAAUUAUUUGGACAAUUUCAUGCAGCUUUUACAAUUAUAAUUUGUAUUCUUUUCAGACCAUGGAUGGUGGUCAUUUGUGUGUGUGUGUGUGUGGGUUCCUCCUGUCAGGAGGAUACAACUCACUCAAUAUUCCCGACAAGUUUUACAAUUAUUUGGACAAUUUCAUGCAGCUUUUACAAUUAUAAUUUGUAUUCUUUUCAAACCAUGGACGGUGGUUUCAUUCAAAACCGUGUGCCGAUAUUGUUUUAAAAGGUGGAGUAUCAGAGCUAUUGUGAUAUUCUUUCAAAGUUGUCAUUGUGAAAAAAUUUCAAGAGGUGGAGUAUCAGAGGAGCCUUUUCGAUUAUUUUAUUUCCCUUACCCCUUUCAAAGUCAUUCCAGAUCCAGAGCUUAAACACAAAGGGUUCCAUAUUUAAAGUAAGUUUACAAACUUAUAUUUAUAUUCUUAUAAUUUAUACAACAACAAAAAAAUUUGUGUGAACUCGUAUGUUAAUUUUUUAAGUAAUUAAUACUUGCAUGUUAGUUUUUGUAAGUAAUUAAGUAAUGUUAACAAUUGCAUGUUAAUUUUUUUAAGUAAUUAAGUAAUGUUAAUACUUGCAUGUUAGUUUUUGUAAGUAAUUAAGUAAUGUUAACAAUUACAUGUUAAUUUUUUUAAGUAAUUAAGUAAUGUUAAUACUUGCAUGUUAGUUUUUGUAAGUAAUUAAGUAAUGUUAACAAUUACAUGUUAAUUUUUUUAAGUAAUUAAUACUUGCAUGUUAGUUUUUGUUAGUAAUUAAGUAAUGUUAACAAUAACAUGUUAAUUUUUUUUAAGUAAUUAAUACUUGCAUGUUAGUUUUUGUUAGUUUUUGUUAGUAAUUAAGUAAUGUUAACAAUAACAUGUUAAUUUUUUUUAAGUAAUUAAUACUUGCAUGUUAGUUUUUGUAAGUAAUUAAGUAAUGUUAAUACUUGCAUGUUAGUUUUUGUAAGUAAUUAAGUAAUGUUAACAAUUGCAUGUUAAUUUUUUUAAGUAAUUAAGCAAUGUUAAUACUUGCAUGUUAGUUUUUGUAAGUAAUUAAGUAAUGUUAGCAAUUACAUGUUAAUUUUUUUUAAGUAAUUAAUACUUGCAUGUUAGUUUUUGUAAGUAAUUAAGUAAUGUUAACAAUUACAUGUUAAUGUUUUUUAAGUAAUUAAUACUUGCAUGUUAGUUUUUGUAAGUAAUUAAGUAAUGUUAACAAUUACAUGUUAAUUUUUUUUAAGUAAUUAAUACUUGCGUAUAAUUAUUCCCUAGGAUAAUUUUAAUAUGUUUAAUGUUAUUUAUUAUUUUAUUUCCCUUACCAUUUUCAAAGCCAUUCCAGAUCCAUUCCAAAGCUUGAACACAAAGGGUUCCAUAUUUAAGGUAAGUUUACAAACUUAUAUUUAUAUUAUUGUAAUUUAUACAACAACAAAUAAAUUUGUGUGGACUCGUAUGUUAAUUUUUUUUAAGUAAUUAAUACUUGCAUGUUAAUUUUUGUAAGUAGUUAAGUAAUGUUAACAAUUACAUGUUAAUUUUUGUAAGUAAUUAAGUAAUGUUGUAUAAUUAUUCCCUAGGAUAAUUUUAAUAUGUUUAAUGUUAUUUAAUAUUUUAUUAAUAUUAGGUUUUAUUAUCAAAUAGGAUUAUUAUUCAUUAAUAUUAGGUUUUUUUAUUAUCAAAUUGGAUUAUUAUUCAUUAAAUUAGAUUAUUAUAAAAUUGGAUUAUUAUUCAUUAAAUUGGAUUAUUCAUUAAAUUGGCUUAUUAUCAAAUUGGACUAUUCAUUAAAGCCCACUCAAUGUAGUCUCCAAACUUGAGUUUGUUGAACUUAGACCUUAGGCCCAAAUCUCAAACAUAACCACACCUGGGUUGGGUUGGGUUGAACCAAAAGGUCCAAAACUUAGGCAAAAAAAAAAAAAAAAAAAAACGGAUGGGUAUUCUCAAAUAUCUUCCAAAAUUGUCUCACUUGGUGUUUGGCUUUUUAUUCAUUAAUAUUAGGUUUUUUUUAUUAUCAAAUUGGAUUAUUCAUUAAAUUGGAUUAUUAUUAAAGUGGAUUAUUAUUAAAUUGGAUUAUUAUCAAAAAGGAAUAUUAUUCAUCACUAUGUUUUAUAUUAGGAUUAUUUUCAUGAAACAUAAUUAUCAUCAUUUAUAGUAGGAUUAUUUAUAUUAGGAUUAUUAUCAAAAAGGAAUAUUAUUCAUCAUUUAUAUUAGGAUUAUUUUUUUAUCAAAUUGGAUUAUUAUUCAUUAAUAUUAGGUUUUAUUAUUCCAUAUUAUUUUUUUAAUUACGUAAAUUUUUACAAUCAUUUUCUUUACUUCAUAUUUAAUUAUUCUGUACAAUAACUUUAUUAUUUAGGUUCUCUUAAAUAACUUUAUUAUUUAAUUCUUUUGUCUAAUUUUCAUGAAAAAUAAAUGUAGGUACAUUUAAGAUGUCUAAUGGAGCUACUAAACGUGAUCCAGCUUGGGAACAUGGAGACCCAAUAGACGGAAACAAACAUGGCACAAUUUGCAAAUAUUGUGGUCGGGUAAUGAAGAGUGGUGGAGUGACACGACUUAAGUACCAUCUUAGUGGAUUAGAUCCAGCAAAAAAUGUCCAACGAUGCGAUAAUGUCCCCCCAGAAGUGAAGGCAUUCAUUAGCACAUUAUUAAAAAAUAAAAAACAGCAGAAGGAAAAGAUAACACAAGGAAUGGAAAAUAUUCGAGCUGGGCUACGAGGAGAAGUCAUUGGCCAAGCGGUUGACAGUGAUGAUGAUGACGAUGAGGACGAAUGUGAUGAUGACAUGGGACCUGAAGAACGACGCAGUUUGAAACAAGCAUUACGUGCCUCCAAACAGUCAGCAUGGGAAAAGAGAACACCUUCAUAAAAUUCCUAAUAGGGGGACAAGGUUCCGGGACAAGUGGUGGUGCACAAAUGAGACGGGGAGGCAGUCUUAGAGAAUCACAACCAACACCACCAAUAGCCCCAAGUUUAUAUAAGUCAUCCAACGCACGUCAAAAGAGUGUUUGGAGUUAUUUCAAGGGAGGUAAUGUGAAGGAGGGAAUGGGGCGUCUAAUUAGCAAGUUCUUUAUCUAUGAAAAUGUCCCUGCUGCGAAGGCAUCAUCACAUCAUUUCAAAAAUAUGGUAGUGGGAUGUCAACAGGCCGGUGUUGGAGUACAACCUCCCACUCCCUAUGAGAUAAGAAACAAAUAUUUGGAUAUGGAGUAUAAAGACAUUGGCGAGUAUGUUAACAAGUUGAGGUCAAAGUGGGAAACUAAUGGUUGCACAAUCAUGUGUGACGGAUGGACCGGCCUGACCAGAUUGUCCAUCAUCAACUUCAUGGUAUACUCCAAGGGAAAGACAAUUUUUUUAAAGUCUGUUGAUGCUUCAGACCAUAUAAAGAAUUACAAGUAUAUUUACAAAUUAUUGAGGGAUGUAAUCAUGGAGGUGGGAGAGCAUAAUGUUGUCCAAGUCGUGACCGACAACGGUUCUGCAUUUGUCAAAGCUGGAAAAAAGUUAAUGAAGCAUCAUAAUGUGUUUUGGACAUCAUGUGCAGCACAUUGUAUUGAUCUCAUGUUUGAGGCAAUGGGGAAGAGAGAGAAUGUUGCUACUGUGGUCAAAAGAGCUAGAACGAUCACAAAUUAUAUUUACAAUCACGGUUGGUUGUUGGCAAAGAUGCGUGACUUUUGCAAAGGAGAAAUUAUUCGUCCAGCUACCACUCGAUUCGCCACCAACUAUAUUGCAUUAGACAGCCUACUCAAGAAGAAAGCAGGGUUGAAGCAACUAUUCACUAGUGACGAUUGGGCCAACCACAAUUUGAGCCGCUCAAAUACAGGUCGUAUGGUGGAAAGUAUAGUGCUUGAUCAUGCUUUUUGGACUCAAACAGAACAUGUGUGUCAACUGUUUGAACCUCUUUACAAAGUUUUACGGAUCGUUGACACAGAAGUGUAUCCUACUAUGGGGGCAGUAUAUGAGUUAAUGCGUGUAGUGAAGGAUGAAUUGGAAAGAAAACAUGGUGCAAGGUGGGUCAUUAAGAUAAUUGAAGACCGAUGGUAUAAAACACUAUACCACGAUUUGCAUGCAGCAGGUAUAAAUUAUGUCAUAAUUUGCAAUUCAUUUCUUUAGUUGCAUAAGUAUUAUUUCUCUUAUUAGAGUAUGUGUUUUCUUUGAACAGCAUAUUAUUUUGAAUCCCCGAUACCAAUACAGACCCGGUGUUGGAGAUGAUGGUAACCUUAUACGUGCUGUACAUAAUGUAUACUCUAAAUUAGACCCUGCAUCACCAGCAGUUGGCCAAUUUGGAAAUGAGGUACACAAUUACUUAAAUUAUAAUAAUUACUUUGUUGGAUUAAACUAACACAAUUUAUUGUAUUCAGCUAACAUGGUUUAAAGAUGCAAGAAGAACAUUUGGAGAACCAACAUCAGUUGCUGCUCGAACAAAUAUGUCUCCUAGUGAGUAUAAACAUAUUUCACUAUAAGUUUAUAAUAGAAUUUGUUGGAGUUAUUAGGCUUAUCAACAUUAUUUUUUCAUUGUAGCUGAAUGGUGGAUCAUGUAUGGGACCGAUGCACCAACUGUGAGAAAGUUAGCAAUAAAAGUAUUAUCACAAACAGCUUCCUCAUCUGCUUGUGAAAGAAAUUGGAGCACAUUUGCACUCAUACACACAAAGCAAAGAAAUAAGUUGGCUCAUAGUAGCUUGGAAAAAUUAGUUUAUUGCUACUACAACAUGAAGCUUCAAAUUCGAGAUAAGGAAGCAGAAAUCGAUCAUGUCGACCGUGGUGACCCACUAGAUGUGUUUGAUAUUGUUGGUGAAGAUGAUGAUACGGAGGGUAACCAACUUUUUCAAUGGAUUAGACCUCUUCAUUUAGAUGAUGAUGAAGGCAACCCAGCUUCCAGAGUUGCUGAAGAAGCACGUAAUGAAGGGAUAAAUGUAGAAAGAGUAUUAGAGGAGGAGGUGGGAUCUAGCAGCUCUGACUCUUUCGAAGAACUUUUGCAGCCAAGACCAAGAAACACUGGAAUUCCACAUUCUUCCAAUCCUACACAACCACAACAUCGUGCUGAUACUAAUGAUAGCUCUAGUACAAGAUCAGGAGACUCACCUACCACCGGAGGUGGGAAUGAUGAAGGACAUAGUGGAGCUGGAGGUAGUGGAGCUGAAGGUAGUGGUGGUGGAUAUGGAAACUAUUAUGGACCACCACCUCCCAGAUAUAUGAGCCCCUUCACUAGUAAGGCAAACUUCACGCAUGCAACACAGGAUGAUGACCAUGGCAGUAGGCGGGCAGGACCAGGAAUUGGUGCCAUAGGGAAGGACUAUACUCGCAGAGAAAGAGGCAAGGGGAUUUUGUCAAGUCAAGAAGAUGACUCGUUAUCUAGAACUUCAGACUCUGUUGGAUUGGGAAGUAGUAACUAUGGUUAUACUCAUAACCAACCAUUUCCCUACCCUUCAUAUCCCAUUUCUGUUGGGAUGGAAUCGAGCGACUCAUGGAAACAAUCCCAGCCUCAAUCUUCAAAUGAUUUUUCUUAUGGACAACCUCAACCAAUCUCGGAUCCAUAUGGGUGGCAUAUUAACAAUUACAUGCAAAACUAUUUUGGGGAUUUAUCAUUUGAUAACUACUCUUCACAAUACACUCAUUCUACACAUAGAGAUGAUGAAGAUAGUGACAAAUUUGAACCUCAUAGGAACUCUAUGUGGUACUAAAGUGUAAAAUAUUGUAAUAAUUCAUUAUAUAUAAAUGAUUAUGGUGUGUUUAGACUUCUUUCAUUAAUUACUACAUAUUUUCUACACUCACAAUGUUUGUCAGCUCGCUAUAUAAUCAACUUGAUAAUGUUAAAUCCAUCAUGCAAUGCAUUUCCUUCCAAUUUUUUGUGAUAAACUAAUAGAUAAUUGACUAAAUAAACAUCCUACAAAGUUUCAAUAAAAAUUUCCAAGUUUUUCUUACAAUUUCCGUGGUUUCCAUGUAAUUUUUAUCGAUAUCGAUAUUUUACCGAUAUUUCCAUCGAUAUUUCCGUGUUUUCGGACUACCGAUAUUUCCGAUAUUACCGAUAUUUUCUUCCUUGACUAUGAUAUAUCUUUGUGUUCUUGUGCGUUUAUGUGAUUUACGGUCGGAUUUAUAUUGAACUAAGAUCGACCGAUUUUGUGCAUCAACAUUUGGCGUUGUGUAUGAGAAUCAAUAUGAAAAGCCAUGUCAGUUUUCUCUCAUUUUUUGACCUCAACACCGUGAAACCCUCACAACCACCACUGUCCACCAGAAAAAACUUACAAACCGAGAACCCAAAACCCCUCUCUCUGGCCAAAUUCUCCAAGAAGCCUAGACACCCCCACAAUGAAACCCUUACAACAUCCACAUCUCACCCGACACCGUAGCCUCAACCACGAGGCAUCCACCCCUAGAACUCUACUUCCCUCUCACGACUGCGAUUUGGGUGAAAUGGGCCGAUCUAUGAAAUCCAUACGAAACCACAGUCAUCGCACUGCCGAAAACCCAGGCAAAACCAAGUCGUCACACCGCCGGAAAUUUCUCUUGCGGCUGCCAUGCGUGAUUGGCAGCUUUCGCUCCGUCUCCUUGCGACACCACCGCUAUCCUGGAAUCGGGGAACUCGGACUGUCAGUUCCCCACUCAACCCAAGUGACGCCAGUUCGGGAAAAUUCGUCGGGGAUCGACAAAGGCACUGCAAACUCGCCGCGGCCACCAGUGGAAAACUAACGAAGAAGAUAAGUCUUCUUCUAAUUCAUUAAUUAGUUUAUUAUUGUUAUUUGUGAUGAAUAUAGUUAAUGAGGAUCCUCUCCGGAGGUUCUUUGUGAGGAUUUUAAGGAUUUUUAAAUUGUGUCUAUUCAUCAUAUAUCAUACGGUCAGAAAUCAUUUUAAAUACUUCUAUUUAAAAUUAAAUAUAAAUAGUAUCUGACAAAAAUUGACCGCACGAUGUAUAAUGAACAAAUACGAUUUGAGAAUCACUAGGAUCUUUCACAAAAAAGAUCUGGAGAGAAUCCUCUUUCAAAUAUAGUCUUAUUCUAAUUGCAUAAUCAAUUGCCUUUUACCAUUAUAUGAUUAUUUAAUAAUUUUAUCACAUGAUUAUACUACAACAGGUGACAUAUUUUGACCAAACUACUUAUUUUUAUUAUUUGAAUGUUAGGGCACGGUGGGCACGGUGGGCACGGUACACAAUACAAAGUUCUGAUACAAAGCACAAAGUUAUGUGUGUAUAUAUAUGUAUAUAAAAGCAAAGAUGUCCGCGCUUUGUUGCGGGUUUUGAAAUCAUACCCACAAUUUAACACACCCAUCUCCAAAUAAUCUAGAAACCGAUCAAAGCAUUUGAAUCCAAAUGGUAGAAAUAAUUCUUCACUUUGCAUGUAUGUUCUAUUGAAUUUACAUUAAGAGAUUAUGUACAACUAAAAUGACAGCAUUCUAGGUACAAAUCACAGAGUAAAUAAAUUGUUCCCAUAAUCAAUUUGCACCUGAUUAUACUAACUUUAUAUUAACAACCUAUGUACAAUAAAAAUGAUACACAUGCUUUACCUCUCAGGACUUAAUUUCUUACUUUACUGUUCUUAUGGCUCAUCACAUUCUUCUUGUCCUGCAUUCGGAAACACUUUGAAACUUCCUUUUAAAACUGUAAAGACACAAAUUUAAUCAAUUAAAUACAAAUAUAUUGAAACGCCGAGAAGUAGAAACAAUAUUGAGACAUAAAGAGUUCAUGGAAAGAUCAAACAGUGAACAAAUCAUGAUUUUUUAUUUAUUUAGAAAACAUACUAACAAAUAACUAAAUGAGUACCGACUAAUGCCCUUAAACCAUUGUUGUAGAAAUAAAGACAAAUACUUUAGAAUAAAGUUGAGAUAAUUAUGUAAUGAAAUAACUGAUUGAUUUGGAAGCCAUUAAAUCCAAAAUCUAGCCUCUUCUUCAACACCAUAUCUCAAGCAUACAUGGCAAUUUACAAUCAUCAAACACAGAAAAGAUAAAUCCCAUAUACAAACCCACACUAAAGGGUGCUUAAUUUGUCCGAGAGGUAUACAAUUCUAAGUAUUGGGUUUACUUCAUAUUGUGUGAAAUCCUAUUUAGAGAAUGUGGAUAAUUGUUGGUCUAAUCAUUAAUAACAACCUCCAUGCGAUGUGCAAAACACUUUAAACGUUAUCGACAUAGAGUUGAUUAGCAAUUACACAGUGGGUGGACAGUCCUUGGUUUAACUACAUACUUGGAGACGCUUACCUUACAACAACAACAACAACAAAGCCUUUUCCCACUAAGUGGGGUCGGCUAUAUGAAUCCUAGAACGCCAUUGCGCUCGGUUUUGUGUCAUGUCCUCCGUUAGAUCCAAGUACUCUAAGUCUUUUCUUAGGGUCUCUUCCAAAGUUUUCCUAGGUCUUCCUCUAUCCCUUCGGCCCUGAACCUCUGUCCCGUGGUCACAUCUUCGAACCGGAGCGUCAGUAGGCCUUCUUUGCACAUGUCCAAACCACCGUAACCGAUUUUCUCUCAGUUUUCCUUUAAUUUCGGCUACUCUUACUUUACCUCGGAUAUCCUCAUUCCUAAUCUUAUCCUUUCUCGUGUGCCCACACAUCCAACGAAGCAUCCUCAUCUCCACUACACCUACGUGUUGAUGCUUCACCGCCCAACAUUCUAUGCCAUACAACAUUGCCGGCCUUAUUGCCGUCCUAUAAAAUUUUCCCUUGAGCUUCAAUGGCCUACGACGGUCACACAACACGCCGGAUGCACUCUUCCACUUCAUCCAUCCAGCUUGUAUUCUAUGGGUGAGAUCACCAUCAAAUUCUCCGUUCUUUUCCAAGAUAGAUCCUAGGUAGCGAAAACAGUCGCUCUUUGGUAUUUCCUGAUCUCCGAUCCUCACCCCUAACUCAUUUUGGCCUCUGUUUGCACUGAACUUGCACUCCAUAUAUUCAGUCUUUGAUCGACUUAGGCAAAGACCUUUAGAUUCCAACACUUCUCUCCAAAGGUUAAGCUUCGCGUUUACCCCUUCCUGCGUUUCAUCUAUCAACACUAUAUCGUUUGCGAAAAGCAUACACCAAAGAAUAUCAUCUUAAAUAUUAAGUUUGUGAUCUUCGCUAGAUUGCUCCGGUCAUUAGUGUGGAUAAGUAUGUUAAUGGAUAGAGACAGGAAGCAAACACAAGAUGUACGUGGUUCACCCAGAUUGGCUACGUCCACGGAGUAAAGGAGUUCUCAUUAAUUGUGAAGGGUUUACACAGUAUAUAGGUUCAAGCUCUCCUUUAGUGAGUACAAGUAAAUGAUUUAGUACAAAUGACAUUAGGAAAUAUUGUGGAAGAAUUAUCUCGUAAUCACGAAACUUUUAAGUACCGAAGUGUGGUAUCGUUUUCACUUGCCUUAUCUGUCUCAUAGGUAGAUGUGGCAUCUUCUUUGGAAGUACUCUUUCUCCCUCCAGGGGUGGUAUCUUUAACUGGUGGAGAUGCACAAGGUAAUAUAUCAAUUUCACUUGACGCUUACUUGUAGUUUCAGGCUUGGUCAAGCGCGAUACAAACCAUGUAGUAGGAGUCCCCCAAGUCGCAGAGCUAGGGGAUCUGCUGAAAGAGGUGACAGACAAGGUAAGCAAUCAGAGCUCCAAGCAAUCAGUCCCAGAUCAUAAGUUUGAUUUCGAGUUCCGGCUGAUUGUUAUCCUUCUCCUUAUCUUGUAGGUAGCAUGAAGGAUAAAGAGAAGAAAAUGAGAAAAUGUGAUAUGAGAUACUUUUGCUUUUGAAGAAGUAACUUUCCACAGGCUUAUUCUUGAACUGGGCUGGAGGGUUUUCUUGUUUCCGCCAGAGUAUAAGGCCGACUGAAGAAUUUGAGGGUCAAAACAAGUCCAUCAAAUCUAGAGUACGUUCGACCCUGCUGAUAUGGGAUACUUUUGUUGUUGACAAAGUAGUGGAUGUAUCGGCACGUGUUAUGUUGCGCUUGUCUCCACAUGCUUCCUUGUAUCCUUCUCACUUGCCCUAUUUGUUCCUCAGGCAGAUGUGGUAUCUUCUCGGGAAGCAUAAAAUGUUGAAGAUGAGUACUCGAGAGCAAUGGGGUUCCAGGCAGUCAGUUCCGGACUGGAAGCUUGAUUCCAAGUGCUGACUGAUUGCUCUCUUCCUUGUCUUGCAGGUAAGAACAAGGCUAUAGGAAAAGACAGGGAAAAAGCAUGAUAUGGGAUACUCUUGCUUUUAACCCUGAUGAUAUGAGAUAUUCUUGCUUUGGUGUAGCUUGUUUGCAGAGGUAUUCUCGGGGGGAAAGAAAGUUGAGUAUUUCGAGAUGCUUCGUUGGGAGUGCCCUCUCAGAUAUGAGGAAGGGUUGAGCAUUUUUGCAGGUCUGCCUCUCCGUUGAGGAUGGAGGUCGACAUAUAUAGGAGUUUCCCUAACAAGAAGGAGUAAUACUAUUCUUUUACCCUGCUUGGUCAUAGCACGGUAGUGGGAGCUGCCAGCUUCACGUGUUUUAACUCUGUCAGAGCACUUUGAAAAAGUGGUCUGUGGUAUCUGGAAAGCUGAUGUUACGUGUGAAGAUUACAGACAAGCUUUAUCCAAGGAGAUCUGGCUCUCGAAGUUAAGAAAGCGGUGUGAGGAUUACAGACAAGCUUUAUCUAAGGGCUCUCGAAGUUGAGAAAGCGGUGCCUCUACGGUUUUCGAACAAGCAAUCCUGUCGGGGAUCUGUCUCUCGAGAUUCGGAGAACGGUGCCUCUUCGAUUUUUGAGAAAGAAAUCCUGCUAGGAGUCUGGCUCUCGAUAUUCGGAGAGCGGUGUCUCGUCGCUUUUUGAGAAAGUAAUCAUGUUGGGAGUCUGGCUCUCGAGAUUCGGAGGACGGUGCCUCUUCGAUCUUGAAGCAAUCAAUCUUGUUGGGAGUGUUUUCUCGAAUGUGAGUAAAGGUUAGGCCUGUUUGCUAGUCUACCUUGCCACGGAGCACAGAGGUUGACACACAGGGACUUUCCAAUUAUCCAGCAGUGGUCCUGUUCCUUUGCCCUUGUGGGUAAUAAUAUGGUAGCUAGACCUUCAAAAUUUAUGUGUCUAAACUUUGUUAGUGUUGUUUCUUUGCUAUUCUUUUACCCUUCUUGGUCAUAGCGAUGUAAUGGGAGCUGCAAGCUUCACGUGUCUAAACUUUGUCAGAGAUUUUUGGCAAAGUUAUCUGUGGUACCCGUGAGCUGAUGUUGUGUGUGGAAAGUGGAUGAUUGAACAGUAACAUUCACGUGCUUUCUACUUCACCAGAAAUCUUCGACAGAAUGCCCGUAAUUUCCGCAAAGUUGAGUGUGCAUGUGACAGGUGCUAACAAGGCUAAAAAAGCAGGUGCCUCUUCGAUUUCUGAGAUCGGCCCUCGUGGUCUCUGAGCAGCCCAGCUUUUGAGAAAGCAAGCGCCUCUUCGAUUUCUGCGAUUGACCUUCGUGGUCUUUGAGCAGCCCAGCUUUUGAGAAAACAAACGCCUAUUCGAUUCCUGAGAUCGGCCCUCGUGGUCUCUGAGCAGCCUAACUUUUGAGAAAGCAAACGCCUUUUCGAUUUCUGAGCAGGCGCCUCUUCGAAAUCUGAAGCUUCAUCGAGUGCAGAUUUUUAUAGAGGCUGGUAUUAAGUUCCAAAGCACACUUGAAUCUCCACCAGUAGAAGCUCCCUUCUUGCAUUUCUAAGAUCUUGAUUUGUCCGACCUCUUUUCUCUUCAACACCUUUGAAAAUGUCUGGCCCCUCCGACCGUCGUUUUGACUUGAACCUUAUUGAAGAGGCAGCCACGCCUUCUCCAGACAACAUAGGCGCCCAUCCUUCAUAUCCCCUACUGGUCCUCUUACCAUUGGGGAUUCCGUGAGGAAGAAUGAUAUGACCGCUGCGGUGGUGGCCAGGAACCUUCUCACUCCCAAAGAUAACAGACUACUUUCCAAACGGUCUGAUGAGUUGGCUGUUAAGGAUUCUCUGGCUCUCAGUGUUCAGUGUGCAGGUUCUGUGUCUAAUAUGGCCCAACGCCUAUUUGCUCGAACCCGCCAAGUUGAAUCAUUGGCGGCUGAAGUGAUGAGUCUCAAACAGGAGAUUAGAGGGCUCAAGCAUGAGAAUAAACAGUUGCACCGGCUCGCACAUGACUAUGCUACAAACAUGAAGAGGAAGCUUGACCAGAUGAAGGAAUCUGAUGGUCAGGUUUUACUUGAUCAUCAGAGGUUUGUGGGUUUGUUCCAAAGGCAUUUAUUGCCUUCGUCUUCUGGGGCUGUACCGCGUAAUGAAGCUCCAAAUGAUCAACCUCGAUGCCUCCUCCUUCUAGGGUUCUGUCCAGUACUGAGGCUCCGAAUGAUCCCCCUCCGGUGCCUUCUCUUUCUGGGGCUCUACCGACUGCUGAGACUUCUCCUAAGCAACCUUUGUGAAGGCUCCCUCUUGUUUGUUUAUUUUGACUCAUGUAUAUGUACAUAUUUGUAACUUAUUAGAGAUAUCAAUAAAUAAGCUUUCCUUCAUUUCAACGUAUUGUGUUAAAUACACCAAAGCCUUCUUCGCUAAGUUCUUUGAAUUUUUCUUUUGUUGAAGCUUGUAUGUUGAAGCUUUGUGAGUGGAGCAUGUAGGUUGAGGUAGUGUUCCCUUAAUUUCCCGAGUGAGGAAAACUUCUCGGUUGGAGACUUGGAAAAAUCCAAGUCACUGAGUGGGAUCGGCUAUAUGAAUCUUAGAACGCCAUUGUGCUCGUCCUGUGUCAUGUCCUCCGUUAGAUCCAAGUACUCUAAGUCUUUUCUUAGAGUCUCUUCCAAAGUUUUCCUAGGUCUUCCUCUACCCCUUCGGCCCUGAACCUCUGUCCAUAGUCGCAUCUUCUAAUCGGAGCGUCAGUAGGCCUUCUUUGCACAUGUCCAAACCACCGUAACCGAUUUUCUCUCAUCUUUCCUUCAAUUUCGGCUACUCCUACUUUACCUCGGAUAUCCUCAUUCCUAAUCUUAUCCUUUCUCGUGUGCCCACACAUCCAACGAAGCAUCCUCAUCUCCGCUACACCCAUUUUGUGUACGUGUUGAUGCUUCACCGCCCAACAUUCUGUGCCAUACAGCAUCGCCGGCCUUAUUGCCGUCCUAUAAAAUUUUCCCUUGAGCUUCAGUGGCAUACGGCGGAUCACACAACACGCCGGAUGCACUCUUCCACUUCAUCCAUCCAGCUUGUAUUCUAUGGUUGAGAUCUCCAUCUAAUUCUCCGUUCUUUUGCAAGAUAGAUCCUAGUAAGCGAAAACGGUCGCUCUUUGGUAUUUCUUGAUCUCCGAUCCUCACCCCUAACUCGUUUUGGCCUCCAUUUGCACUGAACUUGCACUCCAUAUAUUCUGUCUUUGAUCGGCUUAGGCGAAGACCUUUAGAUUCCAACACUUCUCUCCAAAGGUUAAGCUUUGCAUUUACCCCUUCCUGAGUUUCAUCUAUCAACACUAUAUCGUCUGCGAAAAGCAUACACCAAGGAAUAUCAUCUUGAAUAUGUCCUGUUAACUCAUCCAUUACCAACGCAAAAAGGUAAGGACUUAAGGAUGAGCCUUGAUGUAAUCCUACAGUUAUGGGGAAGCUUUCGGUUUGUCCUUCAUGAGUUCUUACGGCAGUCUUUGCUCCUUCAUACAUAUCCUUUAUAGCUUGGAUAUAUGCUACUCGUACUCCUUUCUUCUCUAAAAUCCUCCAAAGAAUGUCUCUUGGGACCCUAUCAUACGCUUUUUCCAAAUCUAUAAAGACCAUGUGUAAAUCCUUUUUCCCAUCUCUAUAUCUUUCCAUCAAUCUUCGUAAGAGAUAGAUUGCCUCCAUGGUUGAGCGCCCUGGCAUGAACCCGAAUUGGUUGUCCGAAACCCGUGUCUCUUGCCUCAAUCUAUGCUCAAUGACUCUCUCCCAGAGCUUCAUUGUAUGACUCAUUAGCUUAAUACCCCUAUAGUUCAUGCAAUUUUGUACGUCGCCCUUAUUCUUGUAGAUAGGCACCAAAGUGCUCUUUCGCCACUCAUUUGGCAUCUUCUUCUUCGUUUUCAAAAUCCUAUUGAAAAGGUCAGUGAGCCAUGUUAUACCUGUCUCUCUCCCAAAGGCUUUCCACACUUCGAUUGGUAUAUCGUCUGGGCCUACUGCUUUUUCUAUGCUUCAUCUUCUUCAAAGCUACAACCACUUCUUCCUUCCGGAUUCGACGAUAAAAAGAGUAGUUUCUACACUCUUCUGAGUUACUCAACUCCCCUAAAGAAGCACUCCAUUUCAUGUCCUUCAUUGAAAAGAUUAUGAAAAUAACCUCUCCAUCUGUCUUUUAACCGCGUUCUCUGUAGCAAGAACCUUUCCAUCCUCAUCCUUGAUGCACCUCACUUGGUUUAGGUCCCUUGUCUUCUUUUCCCUUGCUCUAGCUAGUUUAUAGAUAUCCAACUCUCCUUCUUUGGUAUCUAGUCGCUUAUACAUAUCGUCAUAAGCCGCUAACUUAGCUUCUCUCACAGCUUUCUUCGCCUCUUGCUUCGCUUUUCUAUACCUUUCACCAUUUUCAUCGGUCCUAUCCUUGUAUAAGGCUUUACAACAUUCCUUCUUAGCCUUCACCUUUGUUUGUACCUCCUCAUUCCACCACCAAGAUUCCUUUUGGUGUGGGGCAAAGCCCUUGGACUCUCCUAAUACCUCUUUUGCUACUUUUCGGAUACAACUAGCCAUGGAAUCCCACAUUUGGCUAGCUUCCCCCUCUCUAUCCCACACACACUGGGUGAUUACUUUCUCUUUGAAAAUGGACUUGUUUUUCUUCCUUUUAGAUUCCACCAUCUAGUCCUUGGGCACUUCCAAGUCUUGUUCUUUUUUCUCACUCUUUUGAUAUGUACAUCCAUCACCAACAAGCGAUGUUGAUUAGCCAACGCUCUCCCCUGGUAUAACUUUGCAAUCCUUACAAGUUAUACGAUCCCCUUUCCUCAUUAGAAGAAAAUCUAUUUGUGUUUUUUGACGACCCACUCUUGUAGGUGAUCACAUGUUCUUCUCUCUUCUUAAAGAAGGUGUUGGCUAAGAAGAGAUCAUAUGCCAUUGCAAAAUCCAAGAUAGCUUCCCCAUCCUCGUUUCUCUCCCCAAAACCAUGGCCACCAUGAAAACCUCCAUAGUUGCCUGUCUCCCUGCCCACGUGUCCAUUUAAAUCUCCUCCUAUAAAUAACUUCUCCGUCUGAGCAAUUCCUUGCACCAAGUCUCCAAGGUCUUCCCAAAAUUUCUCCUUCGAACUCGUAUCCAACCCUACUUGAGGUGCGUACGCACUAAUCACAUUGAUAAGUUCUUGUCCUAUUACAAUCUUGAUUGCCAUGAUUCUAUCUCCUACCCUCUUGACAUCUACAACAUCUUGUGUCAAGGUCUUGUCCACGAUGAUGCCAACACCGUUUCUCGUUCUAUUUGUGCCCGAAUACCAAAGUUUAAACCCUGAGUUUUCUAGAUCCUUUGCCUUAACGACCAACCCACUUAGUUUCUUGUAGGCACAUAAUAUUUAUCCUUCUCCUCACCAUAACUUCCACUACUUCCAUAGAUUUUCCCGUUAAGGUUCCUAUAUUCCACGUUCCUAAACGCAUUUUGCUCUCUUGAACUCUACCCUUCUGUCCUAGCUUCUUCACCCUUCCCCCGUCUAAUAGGAUCAAAGUACUUCUUUUGUGUGUCCUGUGUAAAGUUGAUAGGAGCAUAUGCUCCCAAACAACUUUGAGUGGAGUCGUUCGAAAAGAAGUUUCUAUGGCCCCCUUGCUCAUUUAACACUGCAUCCGGGUGCCGAUGGAGAUACAGCGACCCUUGCUCACUUAUCACUGUGCUCGGGCCACACAGCGCGCCACUUACGGGUGACGCCCUAGCUUUAGCGCGAUUUCGUUCUGGAUUCAUUUUCAUAAGGAUUCGACGUAACUGUGGAGUGCCGGUUGUCGACUACCUGACGCCCUCCCCCUCCUCCUUUAUCCGGGCUUGGGACCGGCAGUGUAAGAUAAACUUACACAGGCGGAGUUACUUGGAGACGCUUACCUUGAUUGAAAUAUUUUCCUUGCGCUUUUUUAAGAUGUCUAGAAACACUUGGGUUUAAAGUCUCCACACUCAAACACCAUAAAACAUAAUUGAAAAAAUCACAAUUUAAAAAUGGUUGAAAAAAUUAAAACUUGGUAAGCAAAAUCUAAGAGGGCUAACAAAUUACCUGCACUUGGAACAGAGACUGGCAAAUUUGCCGAUCCACAAUGAUCAGCCUUUCUUUCAUUCGUGUGUAUUGGCUGUUCUGCACGAAUGAUUCAUGCAAACCUUGAACCUCAUUGCCCAAAUUCAAACUCUCUAAAACCCUAAAAGCAAAUAAAACAUAGCAAUCAAACCUAAAUAUCUAAACCCCUUUUGACCAAAACCCAUAAAUUAGAACAUAAAACCCAGCAUUAACCUGGUAAUUUUUUAUUAUUUUUCUUCUCAUUACUCAUUUACAAAAUAUAUUAAAAUUCAUAUAAACUAAUAAAACCCAAAAAAAAAAAGGAAAACAGAGUUUGAUCGAAUACACCAUGCAUAUUUCCCACCACCAAUCAACCAUAACUGAUUUCAAUACCCUUAGCUGCUCUAGUAGACCAUCUAGUGACACCUAACUGCCACCAAAAUAAAAGACAUGAUCAAGACCAUACAUAUUACAGACUAAGCUUAAAAACAACUGUUACCUAUUAAGCAAAACUUGAACUCCUUGAUAUGGCAACCUCUCAAUCCAUUAUGUAGAGUAUAAAAGCAAAAUUAUUGACAAACCAAAAAAUAACAAUUUAACUUGCACAGUAAAUGAAUAUUAAUAAAGUUACAGAACUCAAUGGAUUACAUAUACUAGUAAAAAAGGAAAACAUCAAUGUUUGGGAAGUUACUUUGUUUGAAAUGUCAGGAGCAUCUGGUGUACAUACCAGGUAAACAGUCCUUGCAAAAUUCAAGGCUUCAAAAUAAAAUAAAAAAUAAGUUCAAAAGAAAUCAAAACUAUUAAUCCUAACAACUGUUUAGUAAACAAUCUUUCCAUAAAACAAAUUUGAGAAACAAAAAAGGGGAACUAAAUUUAAGUUGAAUAGAGUUGACAAUUGCUUACCUAGAAAUCCAAGCGAAAUCCCCAAAAAUUCACUCCCCCAAAACCCUACAAAUCACCAGAGUCGAAAACCAACGCUACACCAGGAUCAUCCACACAACGACAAACUCCGAUCAUCAUCACCGAUCUCCAUCUCCUUACAAAGUCAAAACCCUUUUUAAGAACGAAAACAAAAGGUUCUAAAUUUACUCAAACCCAACAAUAACAGACGAAAUUAAAAUUAAUUAGAGCAAAGUUAGGGUACAAAUUUGAAAUUCCAAAAACCCAAAUUAAACGCAAAAUAUCAGAAUUCAUAACACAAAGACUCAAAUUAACACAAAAUCAAUGUGCUUUCAAAAGAACGUGAAAAACUGUAACUUAUCGAAAGUGCAGAAAGAUUGAGAUCGAAAAUACAAUCGGGGUUAAGUUCGUGAGAUGAAUGGGAGACGACUGGUGGUAACGAUGAGGUCCGAGGCAUGAAACAGCUGUUUCUUAUUCCUGAGAUGAAGGGGAGACGACUGGUGGUAACGAUGAGGUCUGAUUCGCCGACGUUCAGAUGGCAAUAGCUCUCUGUCCUCGCUAGCUGAGUCACGGAGAGGAGAGCGAGAGGGAAGAGAGAUAACAGAGUAGAAAGAACCAAAAAAAUAUAAAAAAAAAUUCAGUAUAUAUAAUUUAUAAAACAAUGGCAUGCCUGUAAUAACAAAAACUUAACAGGGGCAAAAAAGGAAGCACAUUGUGCUUAUGAACAGUGUUUCGGUUAUAUUUGAGUUGGAUUGUCUGCCGUCCCCAUCCCAUACCCUUCCAUGCCCUCCUAUAUUAUGUGGUCACGGUUAAGCCACGUCAACAUUUUAUAUUGAUUUUUUUUUUAUAAAAAUAAUAAUACAAAAAGUAAUGAGAAUAUAAAAUGUUGACGUAGUUUAACCGUAACCACAUAAAUAGGAAGGCAUGGGAAGGGUAUGAGAUGGGGAGGGCUGACAAUCCAAGUCCUUUUAGUAUAUAUUGAAUUUGCCUGCAUUCAUCAUGUCAAGAUUAAUAUGCUCAGAAUGCUUUCGGUAUGCAUGACUCAUAUUUCACUAAUCUCAGUCGCAUCAUACAUUUUUAAAUAGGCAUUUACUUGUGCAAUCUUAACCCUAAUAUAUUGUGAUUGCCUUUAACGAUGUCAGAUAUGAAACAACUCAUUAACCACACAACUUACAUAGUAUCACAUUAUGCUUUUACCAAACUUUUUUGGUUAAUUUAUUGAGUAUGCGUCCAUGCUUAUACUAUCAUUUAUUGUCAAGACUCUAUUGAUCAACAUUAUUACUGAUUAAAGAAACUUGUCGACCACUACUAAUGAACUUAUAGAUCAAUGAGCCACAUCUUUAUGGUGACAAAGAUUUAGUCCCAACGGUGGUCUCCUGUUUGACCGAACACCUGCUUGCUCGAACACUAGCUCAUUUGGACACCUAAGCGAUCGGACACCUGCGAGCUCAUGCACCAAGUCGUUUGGGCACCUACGAGAUUGGACACCCACAAACUUGGACACCCUUGAGCUCAAAUCUCGACUUACAGACCCAACUCAAAGUCCCCAUGUAUGGCCCCGACUCAAAGACUUGACUUGUGGACCUGAUCCGUGGAUCCAACACAUAGACCCAAUAUACGAACUCGACAAGCGGACCCAAGUCAUGUCGAGAGUUAACUAAUAAUGAGUGCACAUUGACGUCGAGUGUAUACUGUCACACCCCGACCCUGACAUACGUCUAGGAUCGAUGCGCGAGGGUAGACUAUAGGGGAUGCCAAGAAAUACAAACUGAAAUACUGAACUGAAAAUAACAAUAAUCACAACUGUUUAAGGAAAAAUAUAGGGGCAACCUAACACUCCAAGCUCUCUAAACUCUGUCAGCUACCCCAAAGCUCUUCGUAUCUACUAAAACUUGCACAAUUGCCCCUACACCAUGGGAAUGGUGCACCGGGCAAACAAUAACCCAGAUAAACUGCGAAACUCUUGUGAGUGACCAUAAUUCUACGUAUGUGAUACUAUUAAAAACCAAUCAUCGAUUCGGUUUAUAAACGUCAAAUAUAAAAUCAUAAUCAAGUCACUGAAAAUCUCAAAUGAGUCAUCCAGACAUCCAACGGCUCGUUUGAAACAAAUCACAAAAGCUCACAACCAUAAACUCAUACAACACAAUGAAAAGUAGGGUUAGAGUGACACAGUUCGACCGAAGCCUACAUCACUGAAGCUAUCUUAAUCCAAACUCAAUCCGAAGAAUCAACAAAGCAAUUAAUCGGUUCCAGACCUCUCAACGGAACCAUAAUACCAAAUGGAUUCCAGACCACUCAAUGGAAUCCAAACAAGAUAUGAUUCCAGACCACUCAAUGGAAUCGCGGAGUAGAAGGGAUUCCGGACCUCUUAACGAAAUCCGAGUAGAUACGAUUUCGAACCUCUCAACGGAAUCGUGGAGUACAAUGAUAUCAGACCACUCAACAAAAUCCAAGCUGGAUACGAUUCCGGACCACUCAACGGAAUCACGGAACACGAGGGAUUCUGGACCACUCAACGGAAUCUAGACGGAGCAAGGAACUAGACCACUCAAUGAAAACCCAGUUCUGGAUCACUCAACGGAACCAAGCGGAAGGCCAAUAACCGUACUGUACAAUGGCUUAAAGAAACGAGACAAGGCACAAGUUACUCAAUUUACAAAAGCUCAACGAAGUGAAACAAGGCACAAAUACUAAUUUAGAACGAAUCAAUGAAGCGGGAAAUGAAACAAUAUCGAAGCAACAAAUCCCCAUCACAAUAGGUUAACGGUCCACUACUAGCCCUCACAUUUCAUCACAACAUGCCAAUCAUACAAAUCAAACCAUAUUUCAAAUAUACAUGUCAAAUCUCAUUUCAUAAACAUAAAUCGAUGGCUAAGUAUUAAAUAUAACAAUUCAAUAGAAAACGUAUUUAUAAAAGCAAGUCAUAUCCACACAGGAUAACAAUUACAGAAAUAGGGUAAUCACCAAUAUCACAUAUAUUAAAGUCACUCACCUGGAGUUUGCGCUAACGCACCCUAGCACAAGAAUUGAGAUGUCACGCAAUAUCGUCGCCUAAAACAAAGUACAAGUCCACUUUUAGAUUUUCUUCGAUAAUUCACAUACUCAAAAACUCUCAUACAUCCCCCACAACAACAUUUAAUGAAAAUCAAACCGUCGUUCAAAGGUAGGGUCCAUGAUCCUACAUCACUUGCUCUGUAAGAUCCAACCUCUAGAUUUUCGAUUCGUAAAUUCCUCAGGUCCUUAAAUAUUACAUACUAUAAUGUAUCAAAGUUUGGUGAUGAUUCAAUGGUCGGAUCGUUGAUUGCUAUAAUGUUCAAGUGGCGGACCUUAACGAAAUUUCGCCGGAUUCUGCAGAUUUUGCAGAUUUUCUGGGCAUCUUUAGAACUCCAUAUCUCACUCGUUUCUCAACCAAAUCUGACCCAUAAUAUACCAAAACGAAGCUAGAGAAGUGUAGAACAAGAUUAUACCUGCUUGGAUCCAAAAGGUUGCCGGAGGUGGCCGGAAAAUGGCCUGAAAUAUGGCUGUCUGCGGGAAAACUGGUAACUCGCUGGAAUUUCUGGGCAAACUUUAAAUUGUUAUAACUUUCUCAUUUCUUAACCAAAUCACACGAUCCAAACAUGAAAAUUUAUCUACACAUCACUAGGAAUCCAAUUAUGGUGCUUAGAGUUCUUACCUUGGUCAGAAUAUAUGAGAAAUUGACCUGCAAAGUGACGGCUCAAAUGGAGGUUCUUGAUUUGUUUGAUCCCGAGGUAAACUCGAGUAUCCAACACAUGAAACAGGUUCCUGGGAUGAUGGUGAACACAGUGAGGAUGUUUGCAAGGUCCAAUUUUCUGGAAAGGAAAUGGUGGUGGAUGAUGGCGUGUCUCAGUGAAGAAGAGUGAAUGAGAGAGAGAAUAACGGGAGAAAGAAGAAAUGGAAAAGAAGAAUCCAGAAAAAUGGGGACCAAUAUGUGGUCCCACGUGGUAGAUAACAAAUUUCACAUGUGUUCAAUUGUCAAUUUACCAAAAUGCCCUCAACAAGUACUAUCCAAAUAUAUAAAGAUUAAAAAAUACGUAGGGACUGUAGACAUUGAAAUUUCGGUGGCAUAAAUGUUAGCCAUUGCAUUAAGAUCACAUUUGUAAAACAUUAAAAUUUUAGUGUAAUAAAUGUUGACCAUUGUAUUAAAAUUACAACCUUCAUUCACUUCACCUACAACAUACACCCAAGUUUCACCUACAACACCCACCAAAAUUCACCUACAACACCCACCAAAAAUUCACCUACAACACCCACCAAAACAAAUGGAUGGUGGUGAUUCAUUCCCAAGGCCUAUAAAUAGGCUCCUCCAUCAAAGAAUCAAAGGAGGAUUUUUGGCAUACACUUUCUCUACUCCCAAAUUGGAAGAGAAUUCACACCAUACUAAAGCCUUGAAGCCUCGAAACUCUGAAGCUCUCAAGCAAAUCCCGAAGGAUCAAGAAAGCCCUCUUCAUUCUUCGUGAAAUCCUCAUUCAAGAUCAAGCCCUAACGCCCCCCUUGAAGAACUUCCACCAAUUCAAGAUCAAGCCCCGACGGCCCUUGAAGAAGGUGUUCAUCAUUCCUCAACCGUUCGUCCAAGAUCAAGCCUCGACGGCCCUUGGAUCAACAACACUACAUCUACACGUUUCAAAGAUAGAAUCAGAGGAUAAAUUUGUAGAAGAGAUUGUAACCCCUAAAUCAUUAAUACAAAUAUUAUUUUGUACACGUGUUCUUGUCUCUUUCGUUUCAGGAAUUUCCGUGUUCACAAAUUUGGCACGCCCAGUGGGACAGUCUCUACCUCUCAUCUCUAUCUGUGAACCCGCAACAAGCACAAAUGGCGUCAAAAAAGGCCCGAGUUGUUCCCGCUGCCGAUGCAAGAAACAAAAGCGUCAUCACGGCAGGGGGCAUCACUUCAGGCAUCAUAACUCGAAGCAAGGCAAAAGCUCUUUCCGCCGCCUCUUUCGCCCCUUCAUCAACUCCGCCGAAGGCACAAGAGCACCCGAGGUUCGAACCGGUGAUCACCCUGGCCUCGCUCAGGGCGCAAAGAGAGGAAAGCCAGAGGAAGUACUCUGAAUCCUUACUUUUCGAUGCCGACUCGAGCAGCGGCAUAGCUAUGCAAGUCAUGGUUACUGGAACAACUUCAAUUGAGGAGCAGCUGGCUCAGAUGAAUGAAGCAAUCGCAAAGCUCACAAGGACUGUAGAGGAAAAAGACCUGCAAAUCGCAGCACUCGUUAACCAACUAGAUGCAAAGCCCGAUGAAAAAGUCAGGCAAGGGGAUAAUCCAGUAAAGAAGGAAAACGACGGGAUGAGGAACCUCCAUUGGAGAACGUCGAAGAGACGCUGAAGCCAGACCAAGCGGCAACACUCAUGGGGUCCUCUCUAUCCAGCAGCUGCAGGAGAUGAUCGCCAACACCAUCAAGGCGCAGUAUGAAGAAGCUCACAUGAUUCCGUACUAUACUCAAAGCCCUACUCCAAGAAGAUUGACGCUUUGAGAUGCGAGGGGUUAUCAACCACCAAAGUUUAUGCAGUUCGAUGGAAAGGGGAACCCGAAGCAACAUAUCGCCCACUUCAUUGAACCUGCAGCAAUGCUGGAACAGAGGGAGCUACCUCGUCAAGCAGUUCGUGCGCUCGCUGAAAAGCAACGCCUUUGACUGGUACACCCGACCUCGAGCCCGAGUCUAUCAACAGUGGGAUCAGCUAGAAAAGGAAUUCCUCAACCGCUUCUACAGCACCGCCGCACCGUAAGCAUGCUGAGCUGACCAGUACGAAACAGUGGAAGAGGAACCCCGUCGACUACAUCAAUAGAUGGCGUCAUUAAGUCUAGAUUGCAAAGAUCGGCUUUCUGAAACUCGCCAUUGAGAUGUGUGUUCAAGGCAUGCACUGGGGUUACAUUACAUUCUCCAAGGCAUAAAACCAAGAACGUUUGAGGAGCUUGGCAACGCGUUCCCACGACAUGGAGCUGAGUAUCGCCAAUCACGGAAAGAAUGAGCCGAUCACCACUUCAAGAAGGAUAAGGUGUUCGCCCCGAGUGCGGACAAGACUGGAAAAAAGCCUGCCAAGGAAACUUUAACUGUCAACAUUCCCCAUCAAAACCCCAUCCGCCCUAUCAAGACCACCUCUACGCCUAUAAGAUUUCCUCCAAGACCAAGGCAAAGGAGACAAAGAGAGUGAGGCCUCCUCGCACCCAAGACAAGUAUAAAAACACCUUGAGAGAUUGGAGCAAAAGACGUACCCUUUUCCUGACUCAGACGUGGAUGCGAUGUUAGAUGACUUGCUGGAAAAGAAGGUAAUUGAGUUACCAGAGUGCAAAGCGCCCUGAAGAAAUGAAUCGAACGAACGAUCCUAGGUACUGCAAGUACCAUCGUAUCGUAAGCCAUCACGUGGGCAAGUGCUUCGUCCUCAAAGAACUCAUUAUGAAGCUAGCGCAACAAAGGGAGAAUCGAGCUAGACCUUGAGGACACAGCCGCAACACAUACUACUACGGUGGCGUUCGGAUCUUCGAUCCCGUGCCUCUUCUAAACGACACCUAACCAUUCCAUCAAUGUGCAAGCUACACGGCGCCUUCUACACAACCAUCGCUGGGGGCAAACGAACAAGAUGCGUACCGUGAUGAUGAAGGGUGGACAUUGGUGACCUAUAAAAAAACAAGGAAACCAAAACCACAAGCCACGAGACCAAAGGUGGAACAAGUGAGAAAAUACCGUCGCCGCAACAGUAGGAAGCCUAAAAGAAACGUAAAUCAUAAGCCAACGUAUGCUGGGGAACCUAUGGAGCAAGGAACACGCAUUCCUGUCUCCUUGUACGAGUACUUCCCGAAUGGACUUCUUCCAACAGUGCACUAUCGCUGCAUGCCAUAUGGUCGAAGUAGAAAUGGAAGAACCUUCAAAAGGCAAAGAUAUAACCACUGAAGGAGAAAAAACUUUCACGCUCGAAGAAGGUCUGCCAACACACUUUAGCAUUGAGGAAGCGUUACGAUUACCAAAGAAGAUGCGAAUAGCAUUAGCAGCUGUCUUGGAAAGUCCAAUGAACACGAAGGGCAAGAAAGCAAGAACGAAGGCUUGAAGCCUCGGCCACAUGAAUGUGCCACAUGUUGUGCCAUCGAGGACGCAAUCCAUUUCACCGAUGAAGACUUGCUGCUAGGAUCCAAGCCUCACAACCGUCCUCUCUUCGUCUCUGGGUAUGUUAAAGGGCACAAAGUCAACCGCAUGCUUGUGGAUGGUGGAUCAGCCAUAAACAUCAUGCCAAAGUCGACAAUGACUACAAUCGGCAUCAAGGCGGAUGAACUGUCCCUAAGUCGUCUACUAAUCCAAGGUUUUAAUCAAGGAGGACAAAGAGCGAUGGGCAUGAUCCGAGUGGAGAUGACUAUUGGUGAACUCAAGUCGAGCACGAUAUUCCACGUGAUUGAUGCAAGAACUUCCUACGGCUUACUCUUAGGAAGGCCUUGGAUCCAUGCGAAUGGAGUAGUACCGUCCACCCUUCACCAAUGCUUUAAAAUUUCUACCGAGAAGGAGUGAAGGUGAUCUAUUGGCGACACCAAACCAUUCACUGAAGCCGAAUCACAUUUCGCAGACGCCAAGUUCUACAUGGAUGAAGACAUGGUGCCCGAAGCUCUUCCAAAAGAGAUCAAAUCCACGGGCAAAGCAACACCUAAAAAGCAGGAGCGACAAGCCAUGCCCAAGAAGCAAGAAGAAGAAGUUACGCCGUCUCCAAGCAAGAACGAUAAUGAGCUGGCUAAACGUUGCAACAACAAAGGGGAGUAGGACGCCCUCAAAUGGACCAAACACACCCGUUCUUCCGAUACAUCCCGAUGUCGAGAAGAAAGAAUGGUCAAUCUCCGUUCGAAACUGGAGCAAACAAAGCCGAUGCACAGAGGCAUAUGGAUAAUGUAAAGUUGCUCAAGACGAAUGCAGUUUUACCUCUGACACAGCUAGGCGGCACUAAGGUCGCAAGACUACCGCAAGGCUUCAUAAAAGCUUACCAAAGGGGUGGAACCAAGCUUUCUCCCAACCCAGAGGACCGAAGAAGGUUUUGAUCCAGACGCCUAUAAACUCAUGUCGAAAGCUGGCUACGACUUCGCUUCUUCUUCGAAUCAUGGAAAGAAGGUUUCAAACACCAUUAACAAUAAAGAACGUGACCUCACCGAGACUCAAAAGAAGUUGAAGAAGCACGGUUACGGAGUUGAUAACAACAAAGCUGGACUAGGCUUCACAUCAAAUGCACCCGUGAAGAUUUCAAGCAAAGCGAAAAAAUGCUAGCACUCAACACAUCAGCGUGAGUAUUGAACAAAGAUCAUGAUGAGCCUAAAUCCACCCCUUGGACGUCAGUCUUCGAUAGGAUGAAUCGUUCAGACCCAGAAUGUCAGCACUUAACCGCAUUGGUGGUCAAAACCGAACCUCCGUCUUCAAGAGACUUAACAUGCCCAGCAUCCCAAAGCUCUGUUUUUGAAAGGUUGUCAAAACCUAAAGAAGCAAAAGCAACACGACUAGCUCUCUUCCUCGUCAGUCAGCUUUGGAAAGACUUUGAAGACAACAAGAAGUUUUCUAGAAAUAGGAAGACAACGUCAAAGGAAGAAAAGCUCGACAUGAUAGCAGAAAAAUGUGAUAUUCGAAAGCUCGAUUCCUUCAAGGAUGAAGCGCCAAGCAAUCUUGGAGGUGGACACAAAUGGACCACUAAAAGUAAGAAGGCGCACCAUCAUCCACACUGGACAAUCUUCAUGCCAACCAGCCCAAGAGGACGACACCGAAGAGGAAUUCCAAGAUGUCUUCCACAUCACGAUCCAAGAAAAGAAAGAAGAUGAGAUCCCCGAAGAAGAUGUCACUGCUGCGCCACCGCAACUUGAGGAUGGGGGGCAAUCCACGGUCGAUGAUCUCAAGGAGCUCAACUUAGGCACAAAAGAGGAGCAGAGACCUAUCUUCGUGAGUGCGCUGCUAAGUGCGGACUGAGGUAGACGAGUAUUACCAACUGUUAUCAGAGUACAAAGACGUCUUUGCUUGGACUUACAAGGAAAUGCCCGGCCUUGACCCUGUCAUCGCUGUACAUCAUCUUGCAGUUAAGCCUGGAACGAGACCGAUAAAGCAAACUCAAAGGCGCUAUCGAUCCGAGCUCAUUCCACAAAUCGAGGUAGAGAUUGACAAGCUAAUCGAAGCAGGCUCAUUCGAGAGGUGCAAUACCCCAAGUGGAUCUCCAAACAUCGUCAUCGUCCUUAAGAAAUCUGGACAAAUACGUGUUUGUGUAGACUUUCGGGACCUCAAUGACGCUUGCCCGAAAGAUGACUUUCCCUUGCCGAUCAUCGAAAUCAUGGUGGACGCAACCACUGGCCAUGAGCACUGUCAUUUAUGGACGGCUCUUCUGGAUACAAUCAAAUUCGUAUGGCUCUCGAAGAUAAGGAACUAACAGCAUUCCGCACUCCAAAAGGUAUCUACUGCUACAAGGUGAUGCCCUUUGGUCUAAAGAACGCUGGAGCCACAUAUCAGCGAGCAAUGCAGAAAAUCUUCAAUGACAUGCUACACAAAAAUGUAGAAUGUUAUGUAGACGACGUUGGUGGUCAAAACAAAGAAAAGAUCAGAUCACUUGAAGGAUUUGCGAGUAGUGUUCGAAAGGCUGCGAAAAUACAACCUCAAGAUGAACCCGUUAAAGUGUGCAUUUGGCGUCACCUCUGGAAAGUUUCUCGGCUUCGUUGUCAAGCACUGUGGCAUUGAAGUGGACCAAUCAAAGAUCAAGGCCAUUCAAAACAUGCCCGAGCCAAGAAACCUGCACGAGCUAAAAAGUCUACAAGGACGACUAGCCUUCAUCAGACGCUUCAUCUCCAACCUUGCAGGGCGUUGUCAACCGUUUAGUCGACUCAUGAAAAAGGAUGUCCCGUUCGUAUGGGACGAAGCGUGCCACAAUGCUUUUGAAAGCAUAAAAAAAUAUUUAUCAAGUCCACCUGUCCUGUGGGCGCCUGUGCUCGGGAAACCACUCAUAUUGUACAUCGCCGCUCAGGAAAGUUCAGUGGGAGCACUCUUGGCACAGGAAAAUGAAUUCCAGAAAGAAUGAGCGCUUUACUACUUGAGUCGAACACUCACCGGUGCUGAGUUGAACUACUCCCCAAUAGAAAAAAUGUGCCUUGCCUUGGUGUUUGCCAUCCAGAAGCUCAGACAUUACAUGCAUGCUUACACCAUCCACUUGGUUGCUAAAGCUGACCCGGUUAAAUACGUCCAAGCCAGUUUUGACAGGGCGACUAGCUAAAUGGGCGUUGAUUCUCAAUCAAUACGAGAUCAUUUACGUCCCAGCUAAAGCCGUCAAGGGACAAGCAUUAGCGGACUUCCUUGCCGAUCAUCCAAUCUCAGCCGAUUGGAAAAUCUCAGACGACUUGCCUGACGAGGAGGUAUUCUACAUUGACAUAUUCCCGAGAUGGACGAUGUUCUUCGACGGAUCCGCACGAGCAGACGGAGCGGGGGCAGGAGUAGUAUUCAUGUCGCCACAAAGGAAAAUACUACCUUAUUCAUUCCAACUAAGCGAAUUAUGCUCCAACAACGUCGCUGAGUACCAAGCACUAAUCAUCGGGCUCCAAAUGGCGAUCAACAUGGAAAUCACAACCCUUGAGGUAUAUGGCGACUCCAAGCUCAUAAUUAGUCAACUCUUGACUGAAUACGAGGUGAGGAAAGAUGAUCUCGUUCCGUACUUCCGACUGGCAACUCAGCUGCUACAAAAGUUCGAGGCCGUAACACUAGAACAUGUGCCAAGAAAAGAAAAUCAAAUGGCAGACGCUCUCGCUAACCUGGCCUCGAGUAUGACACUAGGAGAAGACGAAGCUGCAGAUGUGCCAGUUUGCCAAAGAUGGGUCAUCCCCCUCGCCACUGAAAUGCUACUAGAUGAUACAAAUGUCAUCUCGGUACUUCCAGUCGAUGUUGAAGAAUGGAGACAACCAUUGAUUGACUACUUGGAGUAUGGGAAACUUCCAAAUGAUCCUAGACACCGCUCUGAAAUACGUCGACGAGCACCUCGCUUCCUCUACUACAAAGAAACACUCUACCGGCGCUCUUUCGAAGGAACUUCUGAGAUGCCUAGGUGAGAAGAAGCAAUCAAGCCAUGGAAGAAGCACAUUCAGGCGUGUGCGGGGCGCAUCAAUCUGGACCAAAGCUACAUUUCCAGCUCAAAAGAAUGGGUUACUACUGGCCAAGCAUGGUGAAGGAUUGCCUGGAACAUGCCAAAAUGUGCCAAGCCUGCCAAUUCCACGCCAACUUCAUUCAUCAACCACCUGAACCAUUACACCCUACAACUGCUUCAUGGCCAUUCGAUGCAUGGGGACUGGACGUCGUGGGACCAAUUACUCCAAAGUCAUCUGCAGGAGAAGCCUACAUCCUAGCUGUAACAGAUUACUUUUCCAAGUGGGCUGAAGCCAUACCCCUAAGGGAAGUAAAAAAGGAAACUGUUGUCCGUUUCAUCAAGAACAUAUCAUCCACAGAUAUGGUGUGCCUCGCUAUUAUCACGGACAAUGGAAAACAGUUCUCCAACCGACUUGUAGACGAGCUCUGUGAGAAAUACAAGUUCAAGCAGCACAAGUCUUCCAUGUAUCAUGCUCCGGCCAACGGUCUCGCGGAAGCAUUCAACAAAACAUUGUGCAACCUCUUAAAGAAGGUGAUCGGCCGAACAAAGAGGACUGGCAUGAAAGAAUAAGCGAAGCACUUUGGGCAUAUAGGACGACGCAUAGGACUCCUACCCAAGCUACCCCUUAUUCUCUCGUAUAUGGCGUGGAAGCUGUUUUACCGCUAGAAAGUCAAAUCCCCUCACUUAGGAUGGCUAUACAAGAAGGCUUGACUGAUGAAGAGAAUGCAAAGUUGCGCCUUCAAGAGUUGGAAUCACUUGACGAAAGAAGGCUCGAAGCUCAACAACACCUGGAAUGCUACCAAGCAUGGCUAUCCAAGGCAUUCAACAAGAAGGUCCGCCCAAGGUCUUUCCAAACUGGAGAUCUUGUCCUUGCAUUACGAAGGCCUAUCAUCACAACUCACAAGACAAAAAGCAAGUUCACAUCAAAGUGGGAUGGACCGUACGUAAUACAAGAGGUCUACACGAACGGCGCCUACUUAAUCAUGGCAGAAGACGGCUUGAAGAUCGGUCCCAUCAACGGCAGAUUCUUGAAGCGUUACUACCCCUAAAAGGCGACGACCAGACUCCUAGCCUGCAUGAGCCUAAACUGCACAGGGCACAAAGCUCCUGGCCCGCAAGAGCGUAAACUGUGUACGGCAAAAUCAUCAUCAAAAUCACCAUAAAAAAAAAAAAAAAAAAUUCAUCGCUCAUUUUGAACUACGUUAUGACUUGAUCUCUUCUUUAGAAGGUACGUAGGCAACUUGAGACUUCAAAAUUUCAGUACGUCACAUCAUCAUAAAAAAACACAAACACUUUGAAGAAUAAAAGCGAAUUCAAAAUAUGAAUACUUUAUUUCUUUAAUGAAUGAUUUGGUUACAAAGCCGUAUCACAAAGGUGAGCAUUACGCCAACGUCACCACAGAGGAAAGUUGUGACCAAAAGGCACUACACAGCAUAAACUCGUUGCAGUCUUUUGCACAACCCUACAAGGUAAAGGUGACGCAUUGGAACAAGCUCCAAGCAGCAGCGACAACGAGCCCAUGGCAAGCAGCAAGGUCAAUGUGCACGGCAACUCCCCCACCGAGGAAAGUUGUAACCAAAAAGCACUUACACAGCUAACUCGCUGCAACCUUUUGCACAACCCCACAUGGUAAAGGCGACACACUGAACAGGCUCCAAGCAGCAUCGGCAAAUAAAGGAGCUAUAAGACAGUCCUUCAAGCACGCCUGCAGUGGCAGAGGAAACCAAAAUGCUACGCAAACUCGGGCAGAGGCCCGCUGCAGUCCUUGCACAGCUCCACACGGCAGCGCACCACCGAGGGAAAACUAUGAUCAAAAGACUACACAGCGAAACCUCGUUGCAGUAUCUGCACAUCCACGACCUGCUACACGACCCUACAGUUUCGUGAGAUCCUGGCGUCAAGCUCCGCUUCUCAAUAUUAGAGAUUCCUGACAUUAUAAGCAAAGAAAUCCAUCAGUGGAGGCAUACACGCAUUGUGCAUAAAAAAAAAAAAAAAAAUAUAUUAUUAUAUAAUAUAAUUGAAAAAAUCAGCUUAUAUAUUAUGCAUGGGUGCAACCAUCAGCCAACUUUCAUUAUAUAUUAUAAAGGUAUAUAUAUUAUGUGUUCAGUGUGCGUGCGGUGAUGGAACAAGAAAGCCCGUGUGUGUAUGUGUGCACGGGGUUGAUGUGACAAAUCAGCAAACCAACUUCCAUAUUAUAUAUAUAAGGUAUAUAUAUGUGUACAUAUAUGCAACUGUGAUGGGCUGUGUAGAGGACAACCACCUGCAACAUACAUAUAUAUAUAUAUAUAUAUAUAUAUAUAUGCAAACCGUGAUGGGCUGUGAGAGGACAACCACCUGCAACAUAUAUAUAUAUAUGCAAACCGUGAUGGACAACCAGGUUCCGUAUAUAUAUAUAUAUGAAUGCAUGCAUGCACGACCCCAGAACAUCAGAGUCGUCCUCAACUUGAAGAAGAUAAGCCUUACCGUGUAAAGGCUCCGCAAAGGAAGGCUAGCGACUGCCUUCGUUUCUUCCUUCACCACGGCCUUCAAACCUACACUUGCAGCUACUUUUUUGUCCAGCGCCAAGUUCAACAGACAGCAGAAGCGAAGAACGCAGUUGUAGCGAGGAAGCAGUGCACGCAGUUGUGAUUGCAGUCAGCAGCAGCGCAUGAUUGCCGACAAUGGUGCAUGGCGAUGCAAGCAGUAAGCAAUGCAGUGGCUGAGGUUGUGCAAUGGUUGUGCAGUGACGGUGCGAUCCCAUGUAUAAGUAUACAUAUAAUAUAUAUAUGCAGAAGAGACUCAGAGGAGCAAAAGAAGUGCGGUGAUUGUGCAAAUAAUGGUGACUGUCGCAAACAUGAUCCGCUUGAAGAGAGGAGUGCAGAGAAGAAUGCAGUACAGUAGUUGUGCAAACAGUGAUCCGCGUGAAGAGAGGAGUGCAGAGAAGAAUGCAGUACAGUAGCUGUGCAAAACAUGAUCCGCAUGCGAUGCAGUGACUGUGUAAAAAGCAAUCCGCAUGCAAUGAAGAAUGUAAUAAGGUGACUGUGCAAGUGAAAGAUGGUCCGCAUGCGAGAAGAACGCAGGCAGUGAGGAGGCCACCAAAAAAAAAAACCCAGCCGUGCUAUUGUCAAGCCACUCACGAGUGUGUAUACUAUUAGCAAGUCACCAUCUAAAAGGAAAUGGGUGGUGAUGACAAAAUGAUGCUCCAGUCACCAUCUAAAAGAAAUGGGUGCACUAGUCACCAUCUAAAAGGAAGUGGGUGCAUAGGGAAGUAAUGCAUCUUAGUCAGAUAUGCUUUUAUUUGCGUUUCAACACAACAUACUGAAUAAAUAGGCAUGUCCAUUAAUAUCUCCGAGAAAUCAAAAAACCAAAAAAAAAACAAAAAAAAAAAAAAAAAAAAAAAAAAAAAAAAAAAAAAAAAAAACAAAAAAAACAAAAAAAAAAAAAAAAAACAAAAAAAAGAGCUCACGAAUGUCACUUGUGUGAAGCCUCAGUACUUGAGCCUUGGUACUCGGUGGAACCCUAAAGGAGGGAGGCACUGAAGAUAGCUAUUCGGAGCCUCAAUACUUGGUCGAACUCCAGAUGACGAAGGCAAAAAGUGCCUCUGGAAUACAUCCACGAACUUCCGAUGGUCACUUUGAAUUCGACCUUCGGAGCCAUCAGCUGAUCAAGCUUCCUCUUCAUGCUCGUCGAAUAACAUUUGCAAGCACAUGCAACUCUCUAUUUUCACGCCUGAGCUGCCUAAUCUUGACUAAGAGAUGCCACCUCGGCUGUCAAUGAUUCAACCUGGCGAGUUCGAGCAAGUAAGCGUUGGCCCCAUGUUGAAACAGAGUUCGCACACUGGACACUGAGAGCCUGAGACUCUGAACAGCUAACUCAUCGGACCGUCGUGAAAGUAUCCUAUUAUCUUUAGGAGUGAUGAGGUUUCUGGCUACAACACGUAGCCAUUGUUGCAUCCCUCAUCACAAGUCUUCAACUGUAAGGGGGACCAUUAGAGAAAAAAAAGGACGGGCGCCAUACAUUACCCUGACGCGGUGCGCCUGUGUCAUUGCUGAGACUCAAAUCUAAGCAAAUGUUAAAAGGGGAAGCCAUUUUCAAAAAUACUAAAAGAACAGGGUAUAGGAAGUAAAAUCUCAGAGCAGCAGAGAUAAUUUUUCACGGGCAGCAAUCUUCAAAUUGUGCAUGUUGAAUACAAUUGACACCUCUUUAAAAUGAGAGGCAGCACAACCAUUCGUUCAUAAGUCGAAGAGACACCACUCUCCGAUUUCAAAACCCGGAUUUUCCUGCGUAAAGGUCCGUCGGACACUUUUUCAGACAAUUCUCAGCUUUCGGCUACACGUGCAACUUUGUCAGAAAUCACUGACAAAGUUGAAAACGUGUGAAGUCCAUUACGCCAACUACCGCACUUCUGCGACAAGCGUGGGGUGACAAGGCCACGCUCACCCUACCACUUGAUGUUGAGAGCUCACCAUAUAAUUCGACCCCCAUCCUAUACCAAAACUCAGUUUUCUUCCUCCCUGAAAAACAUCCAGCCUGACCCCUCUCCUUGCCGAAGGCAUUUGCAACCAAAACUCAGUUUUCUCCUCCUUGAAAACACAGCCUGACCCCUCUUCCUUGCCGAAGGCAUCUGCAACCAAAACUCAGUUUUUUCCUCCCUGAAAACAUCCAGCCUGACCUUUUUCCUCGCGAAAGACAUCUGGCAACCAAAACUCGGUUUUUUCCUCCCUGGAAGGCCUCUUCAACCAAGCCACACUAGAGCAAAGUAUCUCUAUCACAGGGGUUGAGAGCAAGUAUCUCAUAGCAUGCUUUCUCCCUACUCCUUUUCUUUGUCCUCCCUCUCACUGCGAAGACAGGAUAAAGAAAGCAAUAUGUCGGAACCUCCCACUCAAGCUCUAAUGAUGCAGGUGAAGAUGAUGCAGAUGAAGAUGAUGCAUCGAAGCAUAUGGAGACAAGCGCGACGAAUGCAUGUGUGAUCGUCCGCUACUUCUUCAAAAGCAAAAGUAUCUCAUAUCACUGGGUCGAAAGCAAAGGUAUCUCAUAUCAUGCUCUUCCCCCAUCUUCUCCUUUGCCCUUGCUCUUGCCUGCUGAACAAGGAGAAGGAAGCAAUCAGUCGGAACCUGAAAUUAAAUGUUCGACCAGAAACUGAUUGCCCGGACCUUUGCCUGGUUACUUACCUAGCGUUGCUCUCGAGUGCUCAUCUUCAACUGCUGAUAUGUCUCGAAUUCCUCAGCAAACGCUUCAGGGGUAUGGAUCUGUUGACAUCGGCGCUUUGCACUGAGCUGCAAGCAUGAGUGAGUCGCUGAGAGGUGGUGCCUCCGAAGACCAUUUAAAGUAAAAGUUGCAUACCGCUUCAGCUAUGCAAAAGAAACAAGCAGAGAAGAUGCAACACAACGAGCUGGAACAAUCAUGAAGCACGAAGCCUUCCCUGCAUGACCACAUAAUCCAGACAGAGGAGUUCAAGUAAAGAUCCAAGCUGGACACCGUUGCCUAACCAAAAGGCUCGAGAAGCUUUAACAACCUUUUGCUGGCACCGUCACCGAAGAGCAAGCCUCGAUUCCUUAAGAUCAAGACCAACUGGAAGAAGAGCCCAUCGAUUGAAGAUCAUAUGUUAACCAAACUGCUCAGGGUUCAUUAUGAAAAUGCUGCAACUUCCUUGAUCUUUCAAAGCAUGCAUGUCCUGAAACUGCUCGUGGUGUUUAAGUUCGAAAUCAAGCCUCAACGACCCGACUCAAGAUCAAGUGUCCACCACCCUUGAUCAAUCCAGUUCAAGGAGUCUGUGGAAAGUCCUUUGGAGGAAACCAGAAAACUCCUCAGCCUAGUUCAAGACAAAGCUGUGGAAACAAGCAUAAAAAAUACGUGCUAAUUCAUCCAUUAUCAAAGCCAAGUCGUACUACACGAAGCUCCUUGUGGUCCAAUUCAUCAAAUCAAGCCUCAACGGCCCUUGAGAAUCCAAACAAAAUUCAAACAAAGCCUAACGGCAUUUAAGAAACUCCCAACAGUCCAAGAUUAAGCCUCAACGGCCCUUGGAUCGACAACUGCAUUAAGGGACUUUCAAAACGCAUCUUCUACAUGCAACAAGCACAUGUAUACAAGCGUCUUGAAGGGGGGCAUUUGUAGACAUUGAAAUUCGGUGGCAUAAAUGUUAGCCAUUGCAUUAAGAUCACAUUUGUAAAACAUUAAAAUUAGUUGUAAUAAAUGUUGACCAUUGUAUUAAAAUUACAACCUUCAUUCAACUUCACACCCAACAUAACACCACCAAAAAUUCACCUACAACACCCACNNNNNNNNNNNNNNNNNNNNNNNNNNNNNNNNNNNNNNNNNNNNNNNNNNNNNNNNNNNNNNNNNNNNNNNNNNNNNNNNNNNNNNNNNNNNNNNNNNNNNNNNNNNNNNNNNNNNNNNNNNNNNNNNNNNNNNNNNNNNNNNNNNNNNNNNNNNNNNNNNNNNNNNNNNNNNNNNNNNNNNNNNNNNNNNNNNNNNNNNNNNNNNNNNNNNNNNNNNNNNNNNNNNNNNNNNNNNNNNNNNNNNNNNNNNNNNNNNNNNNNNNNNNNNNNNNNNNNNNNNNNNNNNNNNNNNNNNNNNNNNNNNNNNNNNNNNNNNNNNNNNNNNNNNNNNNNNNNNNNNNNNNNNNNNNNNNNNNNNNNNNNNNNNNNNNNNNNNNNNNNNNNNNNNNNNNNNNNNNNNNNNNNNNNNNNNNNNNNNNNNNNNNNNNNNNNNNNNNNNNNNNNNNNNNNNNNNNNNNNNNNNNNNNNNNNNNNNNNNNNNNNNNNNNNNNNNNNNNNNACUUCUGAGAUGCCUAGGUGAGGAAGAAGCCAAUCAAGCCAUGGAAGAAGCACAUUCAGGCGUGUGCGGGGCGCAUCAAUCUGGACCAAAGCUACAUUUCCAGCUCAAAAAGAAUGGGUUACUACUGGCCAAGCAUGGUGAAGGAUUGCCUGGAACAUGCCAAAAUGUGCCAAGCCUGCCAAUUCCACGCCAACUUCAUUCAUCAACCACCUGAACCAUUACACCCUACAACUGCUUCAUGGCCAUUCGAUGCAUGGGACUGGACGUCGUGGGACCAAUUACUCCAAAGUCAUCUGCAGGAGAAGCCUACAUCCUAGCUGUAACAGAUUACUUUUCCAAGUGGGCUGAAAGCCAUACCCUAAGGGAAGUAAAAAAGGAAACUGUUGUCCGUUUCAUCAAAAGAACAUAUCAUCCACAGAUAUGGUGUGCCUCGCUACAAUUAUCACGGACAAUGGAAAACAGUUCUCCAACCGACUUGUAGACGAGCUCUGUGAGAAAUACAAGUUCAAGCAGCACAAGUCUUCCAUGUAUCAUGCUCCGGCCAACGGUCUCGCGGAAGCAUUCAACAAAACAUUGUGCAACCUCUUAAAGAAGGUGAUCGGUCCGCCGAACAAAGAGGACUGGCAUGAAAGAAUAAGCGAAAGCACUUUGGGCAUAUAGGACGACGCAUAGGACUCCUACCCAAGCUACCCCUUAUUCUCUCGUAUAUGGCGUGGAAGCUGUUUUACCGCUAGAAAGUCAAAUCCCUCACUUAGGAUGGGCUAUACAAGAAGGCUUGACUGAUGAAGAGAAUGCAAAGUUGCGCCUUCAAGAGUUGGAAUCACCUUGACGAAAGAAGGCUCGAAGCUCAACAACACCUGGAAUGCUACCAAGCCAUGGCUAUCCAAGGCAUUCAACAAGAAGGUCCGCCCAAGGUCUUUCCAAACUGGAGAUCUUGUCCUUGCAUUACGAAGGCCUAUCAUCACAACUCACAAGACAAAAAGCAAGUUCACAUCAAAGUGGGAUGGACCGUACGUAAUACAAGAGGUCUACACGAACGGCGCCUACUUAAUCAUGGCAGAAGACGGCUUGAAGAUCGGUCCCAUCAACGGCAGAUUCUUGAAGCGUUACUACCCCUAAAAGGCGACGACCAGACUCCUAGCCUGCAUGAGCCUAAACUGCACAGGGCAAAAGCUCCUGGCCCGCAAGAGCGUAAACUGUGUACGGCAAAAUCAUCAUCAAAAUCACCAUAAAAAAAAAAAAAAAAAAUUCAUCGCUCAUUUGAACUACGUUAUGACUUGAUCUCUUCUUUAGAAGAGUACGUAGGCAACUUGAGACUUCAAAAUUUCAAGUACAGUCACAUCAUCAUAAAAAAACACAAACACUUUGAAGAAUAAAAAGCGAAUUCAAAAUAUGAAUACUUUAUUUCUUUAAAUGAAAUGAUUUUGGUUACAAAGCCGUAUCACAAAGGUGAGCAUUACGCCAACGUCACCACAGAGGAAAGUUUAUUGUGACCAAAAGGCACUACACAGCAUAAACUCGUUGCAGUCUUUUGCACAACCCUACAAGGUAAAGGUGACGCAUUGGAACAAGCUCCAAGCAGCAGCGACAACGAGCCCAUGGCAAGCAGCAAGGUCAAUGUGCACGGCAACGUCCCCCACCGAGGAAAGUUGUAACCAAAAAGGCACUACACAGCAUAAACUCGCUGCAACCUUUUGCACAACCCCACAUGGUAAAGGCGACACACUGGAACAGGCUCCAAGCAGCAUCGGCAAAUAAGGCAGCUAUAAGACAGUCCUUCAAAGCACGCUUGCUAGUGGCAGAGGGAAACCAAAAUGCUACGCAAAACUCGCGGCAGAGGCCCGCUGCAGUCCCUUGCACAGCUCCACACGGCAGCGCACCACCGAGGGAAAACUAUGAUCAAAAGACACUACACAGCGAAACCUCGUUGCAGUAUCUGGCACAUCCACGACCUGCUACCACGACCCUACAAGUUUCGUGAAGAUCCUGGCGUCAAGCUCCGCCUUCUCAAUAUUAGAGAUUCCUGACAUUAUAAGCAAAGAAAUCCAUCAGUGGAGGCAUACACGCAUUGUGCAUAAAAAAAAAAAAAAAAUAUAUAUAUAUAUAUAUAUAAUGAAAAAAUCAGCUUAUAUAUAUAUGCAUGGGUGCAACCAUCAGCCAACUUUCAUAUAUAUAUAUAUAAAGGUAUAUAUAUAUAUGUGUACAUGUGUGCGUGCGGUGAUGGAACAAAGAAAGCCCGUGUGUGUAUGUGUGCACGGGGUGAUGUGACAAAUCAGCAAACCAACUUCCAUAUAUAUAUAUAAAGGUAUAUAUAUGUGUACAUAUAUGCAAACUGUGAUGGGCUGUGUGAGAGGACAACCACCUGCAACAUACAUAUAUAUAUAUAUAUAUAUAUAUAUAUAUAUAUGCAAACCGUGAUGGGCUGUGAGAGGACAACCACCUGCAACAUAUAUAUAUAUAUAUGCAAACCGUGAUGGACAACCAGGUUCCGUAUAUAUAUAUAUAUGAAUGCAUGCAUGCACGACCCCAGAACAUCAGAGUCGUCCUCAACUUGAAGAAGAUAAGCCUUACCGUGUAAAGGCUCCGCAAAGGAAGGCUAGCGACUGCCUUCGUUUCUUCCUUCACCACGGCCUUCAAACCUACACUUGCAGCUACUUUUUUGUCCAGCGCCAAGUUCAACAGACAGCAGAAGCGAAGAACGCAGUGUAGCGAGGAAGCAGUGCACGCAGUUGUGAUUGCAGUCAGCAGCAGCGCAUGAUUGCCGGACAAUGGUGCAGUGGCGAUGCAAGGCAGUAAGCAAUGCAGUGGCUGAGGUUGUGCAAUGGUUGUGCAGUGACGGUGCGAUCCCAUGUAUAAGUAUACAUAUGUAUAUAUAUAUGCAGAAGAGACUCAGAGGAGCAAAAGAAGUGCGGUGAUUGUGCAAAUAAUGGUGACUGUCGCAAACAAUGAUCCGCGUGAAGAGAGGAGUGCAGAGAAGAAUGCAGUACAGUAGUUGUGCAAAACAGUGAUCCGCGUGAAGAGAGGAGUGCAGAGAAGAAUGCAGUACAGUAGCUGUGCAAAACAGUGAUCCGCAUGCGAUGCAGUGACUGUGUAAAAAGCAAUCCGCAUGCAAUGAAGAAUGUAAUAAGGUGACUGUGCAAGUGAAAAGAUGGUCCGCAUGCGAGAAGAACGCAGUGCAGUGAGGAAGGCCACCAAAAAAAAAAACCCAGCCGUGCUAUUGUCAAGCCACUCACGAGUGUGUAUUACUAUUAGCAAGUCACCAUCUAAAAGGAAAUGGGUGGUGAUGACAAAAUGAUGCUUCCAGUCACCAUCUAAAAAGAAAUGGGUGCACUAGUCACCAUCUAAAAGGAAGUGGGUGCAUAGGGAAGUAAUGCAUCUUAGUCAGAUAUGCGUUUUAUUUGCGUUUCAACACAACAUACUGAAUAAAAUAAGGCAUGUCCAUUAAUAUCUCCGAGAAAUUACACAAAAAAAACAAAAAAACAAAAAAAAACAAAAAAAAACAAAAAAACAAAAAAAAAAACAAAAAAAAAACAAAAAAACAAAAAAAAAAAACAAAAAAAAAGAGCAUUCACGAAUGUCACUUGUGUGAAGCCUCAGUACUUGGAGCCUUGGUACUCGGUGGAACCCUAAAGGAGGGAGGCACUGAAGAUAGCUUAUUCGGAGCCUCAAUACUUGGUCGAACUCCAGAUGACGAAGGCAAAAAGUGCCUCUGGAAUACAUCCACGAACUUCCGAUGGUCACUUUGAAUUCGACCUUCGGAGUCCAUCAGCUGAUCAAGCUUCCUCUUCAUGCUCGUCGAUAACUAUUUGCAAGCACAUGCAACUCUCUAUUUUCACGCCUGAGCUGCCUAAUCUCUUGACUAAGAGAUGCCACCUCGGCUGUCAAUGAUUCAACCUGGCGAGUUCGAGCAAGUAAGCGUUGGCCCAUGUUGGAAACAGAGUUCGCACACUGGACACUGAGAGCCUGAGACUCUUGAACAGCUAACUCAUCGGACCGUCGUGAAAGUAUCCUAUUAUCUUUAGGAGUGAUGAGGUUUCUGGCUACAACCGUAGCCAUUGUUGCAUCCCUCAUCACAGAGUCUUCAACUGUAAGGGGACCAUUAGAAGAAAAAAAGGACGGGCGCCAUACAUUACCCUGACGCGGUGCGCCUGUGUCAUUGCUGAGACUCAAAUCUAAGCAAAUGUUAAAAGGGGAAGCCAUUUUCAAAAAUACUAAAAGAACAGGGUUAUAGGAAGUAAAAUCUCAGAGCAGCAGAGAUAAUUUUUCACGGGCAGGCAAUCUUCAAAUUGUGCAUGUUGAAUACAAUUGACACCUCUUUAAAAUGAGAGGCAGCACAACCAUUCGUUCAUAAGUCGAAGAGACACCACUCUCCGAAUUUCAAAACCCGGAUUUUCCUGCGUAAAGUCCGUCGACACUUUUCAGACACAAUCUCAGCUUUCGGCUAUCACGUGCAACUUUGUCAGAAAUCACUGACAAAGUUGAAAACGUGUGAAGUCCAUUACGCCAACUACCGCACUUCUGCCGACAAGCGUGGGUGACAAGGCCACGCUCACCCUACCACUUGAUGUUGAGAGCUCACCAUAUAAUUCGACCCCCAUCCUAUACCAAAACUCAGUUUUCUUCCUCCCUGAAAACACAUCCAGCCUGACCCCUCUUCCUUGCCGAAGGCAUUUGCAACCAAAACUCAGUUUUCCUCCUCCCUGAAAACACAUCCAGCCUGACCCCUCUUCCUUGCCGAAGGCAUCUGCAACCAAAACUCAGUUUUCUUCCUCCCUGAAAACACAUCCAGCCUGACCUUUCUUCCUCGCCGAAGACAUCUGCAACCAAAACUCGGUUUUUUCUUCCUCCCUGGAAGCGCCUCUUCAACCAAGCCACACUAGAGCAAAGGUAUCUCAUAUCACAGGGGUUGAGAGCAAGAGUAUCUCAUAGCAUGCUUUCUCCCUAUCCUUUUCUUUGUCCUCCCUCUUCACUGCGAAGACAAGGAUAAAGAAAGCAAUAUGUCGGAACCUCCACUCAAGCUCCUAAUGAUGCAGGUGAAGAUGAUGCAGAUGAAGAUGAUGCAUCGAAGCAUAUGGAGACAAGCGCGACGAAUGCAUGUGCUGAUCGUCCGCUACUUCUUCAAAAGCAAAAGUAUCUCAUAUCACUGGGGUCGAAAGCAAAGGUAUCUCAUAUCAUGCUCUUCCCCCAUCUUCUCCUUUGCCCUUGCUCUUGCCUGCUGAACAAGGAGAAAGGAAGCAAUCAGUCGGAACCUGAAAUUAAAUGUUCGACCAGAAACUGAUUGCCCGGAACCUUUGCCUGGUUACUUACCUAGCGUUGCUCUCGAGUGCUCAUCUUCAACUGCUGAUAUGUCUCGAAUUCCCUCAGCAAACGCUUCAGGAGUAUGGAUCUGUUGACAUCGGCGCUUUGCACUGAAGCUGCCAAGCAUGAGUGAGUCGCUGAGAGGUGGUGCUCCGAAGAACCAUUUAAAGGUAAAAGGUUGCAUACCGCUUCAGCUAUGCAAAAGAAACAAGCAGAGAAGAAUGCAACACAACGAGCUGGAACAAAUCAUGAAGCACGAAGCCUUCCCUGCAUGACCACAUAAUCCAGACAGAGGAGUUCAAGUAAAGAUCCAAGCUGGACACCGUUGCUCUAACCAAAAGGCUCGAGAAGCUUUAACAACCUUUUGCUGGCACCGUCACCGAAGAGCAAAGCCUCGAUAAUCCUUAAAGAUCAAGUCACCAACUGGAAGAAGAGCCCAUCGAUCUUGAAGAUCAUACUGUUAACCAAACUGCUCAGGGUUCAUAUGAAAAUGCUGCGAACUUCCUUGAUCUUUCAAAGCAUGCAUGUCCUGAAACUGCUCGUGGUCAUGUUUAAGUUCGAAAUCAAGCCUCAACGACCCUGACUCAAGAUCAAGUGUCCACCACCCUUGAGUCAAAUCCAGUUCAAGAUUAAGUCUGUGGAAAGUCCUUUGGAGGAAACCAGAAAACUCCUCCAGCCUAGUUCAAGAUCAAAGCUGUGGAAAAUCAACAAGCAUAACAAAAUACGUGCUAAUUCAUCCAUUAUCAAAGCCAAGGAUCGUCUACUACACGAAGCUCCUUGUGGUCCAAUUUCAUCCAAGAUCAAGCCUCAACGGCCCUUGAAGAAAUUCCAAACAAAAUUCAAGAACAAGCCUAACGGCAUUUGAAGAAACUCCCAGACCAGUCCAAGAUUAAGCCUCAACGGCCCUUGGAUCGACAACUGCAUUAAGGGACUUCAAAACGCAUCUUCUACAUGCAACAAGCACAUGUAUACAACGCGUCUUGAAGUGGGGGCAUUUGUAGACAUUGAAAUUUCGGUGGCAUAAAUGUUAGCCAUUGCAUUAAGAUCACAUUUGUAAAACAUUAAAAUUUUAGUGUAAUAAAUGUUGACCAUUGUAUUAAAAUUACAACCUUCAUUCACUUCACCUACAACAUACACCCAAGUUUCACCUACAACACCCACCAAAAUUCACCUACAACACCCACCAAAAAUUCACCUACAACACCCACCAAAACAAAUGGAUGGUGGUGAUUCAUUCCCAAGGCCUAUAAAUAGGCUCCUCCAUCAAAGAAUCAAAGGAGGUUUUUUGGCAUACACUUUCUCUACUCCCAAAUUGGAAGAGAAUUCACACCAUACUAAAGCCUUGAAGCCUCGAAACUCUGAAGCUCUCAAGCAAAUCCCGAAGGAUCAAGAAAGCCCUCUUCAUUCUUCGUGAAAUCCUCAUUCAAGAUCAAGCCCUAACGCCCCCCUUGAAGAACUUCCACCAAUUCAAGAUCAAGCCCCGACGGCCCUUGAAGAAGGUGUUCAUCAUUCCUCAACCGUUCGUCCAAGAUCAAGCCUCGACGGCCCUUGGAUCAACAACACUACAUCUACAUGUUUCAAAGAUAGAAUCAGAGGAUAAAUUUGUAGAAGAGAUUGUAACCCCUAAAUCAUUAAUACAAAUAUUAUUUUGUACACGUGUUCUUGUCUCUUUCGUUUCAGGAAUUUCCGUGUUCACAGGGACAAAUACGCCGUAAAUAUAAAAGGGUCGAAACUAAGAAUAUGAAAUACGGAAUACGUAAUUUUAAACAGUGAAAUCCGAGAACGGGAUUUCACAUAUACUCAUAAUGAGGAACGCCAUGAGCCGAGCCGCCUCACAACGAGCACCGCCUCCAGCCGAGCAACCACCUCCCUGCGAGCAUUGCCUCUAUCCGAGCAACCGAGCAACGUGUGCUACCUCUAGUUGAGUAUUGCUUCAUGUUGAGCACCGCCUCAUGUCGAGUACUGGUUCCAAAUGACAUCUAGUCACUUCAGCCUGCACAUGGAUUGGAUUUGAAGUCUUCAGCCAAAAGACUCUCUUGACUGAAGAUUUGGGGAACUCAUGUUGUAGCAUAUAUUAGGCACUAGUAUGUGGGCCUCACAACCUAGCCUAUGAAGCAUGUAGGAGGUGAAGGGUUCCCUUAUAUUAUACCUCACUUUAAAGGGAGAGAAAGAGAACAAACACGUCUAUAUAGCCUCCAUGUACAUUGUAACCUUCAUUGAUAUAGUGAAACCAACUCAACACCAUAUGGACAUAGCCCCAACUUGGGGUGAACCACGAUAUAUCUUUGUGUUCUUAAGCGUUUGUGUGAUUUACGGUUAGAUUUACAUUGAUCUAAGAUCGAAUGAUUUUGUGCAUCAACAAAUCUUCACUUCUUCUAGAAUCUCGAAAGCAUGGCCAAACAAGCAUAUGAAUGGAACAUUCGAAAGCACCAGAGCCGAAAUGAUCAAUCUAAGCUCUGGAGCCAGAGUCUUAAAAGCCAAAAUUGGCUAACACAUUCGUAGUUAAGUUCGCUUCACCAUACAAACGCAUUAUAUGAAGAAUGAACACAUAUUUUAAUGACAAAAUAGAAUACAGAUGCCCACAAUGCAUAUAAGGCACUACUCAUAUUAAUUAAUCUAUACGGCCCUAAGUGAGAACUACUAUUCAGUAGCUCAAAGAAAACCAAGAAAUAACUUUGAAGGCAAGUGGCAAAUUGUCUUGGAGCAUUUCUCUUCAAUUUACUACGUUUCGAAUUUAACUCUUACUUUUUAGUUUAGAUGAAUUUAGUGUAAUUUAUUCCAUCAUUUGGUGAAAUUUUUUGAAGAAGCAUAUGACCAAAUUUUUUUAAUUAGAUGGUCAGAUUUUGUCAUUAUUAUCCAUGGGUAGUAAUAUCCAUAGACCAAUUUUUACUUCUUACACAUCUCUCAAGUUUCGUUUGUCGGAUUGAAUAAAUUGAAGAAUAUCAAUAACAACAAAAGUGUGUAGGAGAUAAAAUUAAGUGUGUGGAUUGCACUUUCCUUAUCCAAAUGAGUGAUCCAAGUCUGAUCCAACUAAAAAAAUAUGUGAGUAUUUAACAGAGUCGGACAAGAAGUAGUAAUGAAUUCUCCGCCGAAUAAAAAGAACAUGUUGGAAAAACCUAUGGUCCCGUUAUCCCUAAUUUUCUUAAUUCGAUUCUCGUGAAUAAUAAGUUCAUUACCAAAUUAAUACGGACUUAUUAUGUGGCUUAACUCAAAUUUUCAUUCCUUAAUUAUCAAAGAAAUUCAAGUUUUUUCAGCACUUGAAACCACUGUUUCACGAAUUGAUUUUGCAAUUUCUCCUCACAAAAACAUUAAAAGUGUUGUAUAACUUAACUAAUCAUUUUAGCAUUUAGGUUGAAUGUUCUAAGAGGUUUGUAGUAUAGUUAGUUAAGAGUAUUCACCUCUACACUGGAGAUCUUAAGUUCAAUUUCCCCUUCUCAAUACUUCUACCAAAAAUAGUCAAUCUUGUAUCUGAUUUAGGAAUUUCUACUUCAUAUUAUUCCUAAAAUAAAAAAUAUAAAUGAUUCCAAAAUUCGACGUGUGUCUAAUUUCAGUUUAAAUAAAAUUAAAAAGAAGUUGUGAAGGUAAGAAUAUUUGAAAGCAACAUUCAAAAUGCGGGAAGAAAAGAAUAAAACGGAUGGGUGGCGGAUGGCGGUAGUUCCAAUAUCAGCCAAUCAUCAGGAGUUGGAUUGAGGACAGAACCAAAGCCAGUCCUUCCUCUUUUAUAUAUUAUAUACAUAUAUUGAUAUAUGAAGAUGUUAGUUUUAUUACUUGCAUUUUGUUGAGAGUCUGAAUCCCACGUCGGAGAAAGAAAAGACCUUGCAUGUACUUAUAAAUAGUUAAAAUUCUUGCAAUUGAUGAAGUGUGUUUAAUUAGAUUCUAGUUUUUGCUUUAGAAAUUUUAUUCAAAUUUGAAGAAUAAAGUUGUAUGGAUUUUUGAAGAAUUUGACAGAAAUUGUGGUGCAUGAUGAAUAGAGUGGUAAACAGGUGAAUGUAAGUAAAGUUUGAUAACAGAAGAAGAUUUAGAAAAGCCAACAAUCUGUAUAAAGAAGAUAGGAUUCUUGAAGCUAGUCCUUCCCUCAAGAAAAGCCAACAGUCUGUCUACAAAUUUCAUGUCAAGUCUUCUGCAAUAGUGAGAGAAGUCCAUAUGGCACGUAGGGAAAUAGGUCGAUUCAAAGAAAGCAGAACGGACACAGACGCCGUAAGAGCACAAGCUCAAUCCGAGAUGCUUGAUGCAAUGAAGAGAGCAAAAGAUUUGUCAUCUGUAAUUGAGUAAUCAAGCUCCAAGACGAAAUCACAUACGCGAGAGAUUCAAGUACUACAGAAAUCGUGAAGGCACGUAGGUAGGCGGGAAGAUCAGGUAUUGGUUAUUGGGGCUGUGGACAAAAAAAAAUAUACAGAAGUGAUGAGAGAAUUCAAACUUGUGAGACAGGAACCAAGCAUGCUUAAGCUUUGAUAUGGCAUCGAUUUUACAAGAGAAAUUGGGGACAGAGAAGCAAACAGAGGCCUCAAAAUUAAAGAUGUUUUAUACAUGCUUAAGCACUCGUUAACAAGUUCUUAACGACCCAACUCGUUAACAAGUUCUUAACGGAUACCCGAUAACAACUCGAUUCGUUAACAGAUUGACUCGAAACUUGUUAUUUUUGUAUCAUUUCGUACAUGAUUAACGGGUCGUAAGAAAUUACCAAGCCUACAAUAUACUGUGGCUGAAGGGAUACCAAAUUUUUUAACUCAACAACAAUCAAAGAGAGUAUACUAUUAUAUUAUUACAACCAUUCCUAAUAACAGAAUGUAGUAGUCAAUAAUACAGGAAUGAAUAGCUGAAACAGCUGUGUAAAUCAAAUUUAACAGCUAAACACCCAUAGUAUUGAAUGGUACGUAAAAUUGAAGUCACACCCUAUAAUAAGUUUAAACUAAAAAAUGUAGGAAAAAGUUUUGGUUCUAUAAUUUAAACACAGUGCCAUCAAAUUACCUAUAUAUUGUUCAUAACUCGUACAAUUUUAACUGCUCGUAAGAAGAAAGAGAGAAAAGGAAGAAACAACAAAUUGGAUUUUGGACGGGACUCGAACCAAAUCCGCCGUCCAUCCGAUCAUGUAAUGAAACUGUCACAAAAAAUGCAGCGAAGUAUUGCUCUUCCUUUCUUGAAAACCCUUUUCUCAACGAGUGCACCAAAAAAUGAAUAAAUUUUUUGUAUUAACUGGAUGAUCCUCACCUGAGAUAACGAGACACAAAGUAAAACUCUUGCCACCCCUUACAGAGACAAAUCAAAUUUUAUUGGUUCUGAGUUUCCUCUGGUCCCUUUGCUUUGCCUCUGAGCAUGUCAGUGAAAUUCCCCCGCAUUAUUCGCCUUAAUCUAGUGUCUUCUGCAGGUGGUGAAGGUGCGGCCUUUGGGGACUCAACGGGCUCUGGUGGUGGCUCGGGACUUUCUUUCUUUCCCAGUAGACCACCUUCACCAAAGAAACUACUCACGGAGGAUGCAAGCCCAGCCCCCAUCACCUUACUGAUGGUAUCAAAAGUUCCACCAGAUCUCUCCUUCAUUAUAAUUUCAAGGGCUUCUUUGUGUGCAGGGUCAAGCGCAUCAGAGUCUCUAAAUAAGUUCUGUAUCGCAGGCAUAAGAAAGUCCCGAACACUAGUUGCUGAAAUAUCUGGAUUAAUUACGUAUAUUUGAAAUCAAUAUCAGCAACACAUUACAAAAGCUGAAAAUUCUGGAACAUAGGGUUACGAAUAUAAACUAUAACUGUAGGUCAUUGUUUUAACAUCAUAGUAGGUCAUCAAAACUCCGCACACAUAUUACCAAUCAGUUAAGAAUCCUAUGAAGCUACAGUUUGGCAUGGCACGAUUUGUUAGGGCGCCACCAAAAACUAGUUUCGACACAUGAUUGUAAAGUUCCAACUAUGUAAAUAAGGUCAUUAAAGUGAAAACUGAUAUGAUCUAGGGAUAUUGACUCAAGCAUCUUGUUUUUACAUAAACAUAUGGUUUCAAGCAUGGCUGCUCAAAAACUUAGAAGAACUGGUGAUCUGUGUAUUAUAUUGACAUUAUAGUCGUUUAAUAUUUGAUGUUUGUUUGCAUGCUAAAGAAACAUAACCUCGUUUAGAGUAAAAUUAGGGUUAAAAAAUGCAUACGAUUCUCUUUGAUAAAAUGCAUAACGUAUUUAAGUCUGAAAAUAAUCUAGGUAAUCAGACCAAAUUUCUUUUACAUGUUCCCAAGAAGUGUACAAGUGUCAUGUUCUAUAUAUACGAAGGAAAGUGAAAGAUAAUGUAGCUCAAGGUGUGUAAUGGUGCAGAAAGGGAAGAGAAAUUAAUAAACUAACAAUAUAUAGAACAUCUGGGUCAUAAGAAAAAGAAAACCUGUUGCAUCCAGAGCACGGAUUGCUUCGCAAAAUGCAUUGGCUCUCUCACGCCGGCGCAUCAAGUCACUUGAAGGUGGAGUGGCCGUCAGUUGAAAAAUCUUGGACAAAAGAUGUACAUGAUGUCAAAGAAACAAAGUAACCCAAUGAUUAUUCAAAAAUGAAUCCAAUAGAAAAUUUCCCAACCAACUAAAUAAGGUGUGUGUGCUUAUGAACACGUUGCUGAAAAUGUGCUACUAGUAAUUUUGAGUAAGCAUGUAGAGGAUAUAAUCUUUAAGUCUAUCCGUUGUAUGUGGUACAGCAACCACCAAUGCACGAACCACAGCAAUGGCAGCUUCAUGAGAUCCAUCUUCAAGAAAAGCAUCCAUUUGAACACGUAUCUUAUCAACAAUCUGGGAGUUUUAUUUUGGUCAGCCAGAUGUAUGAAAACCGUUCAAUUAAGUAAGCUAAUAUCUUAAUUGCAGAAGGAAGAGAACUCAUACCAUGUCAUUUCUAAAAUGUUGGGCCACUGCUCCAAAGGCAUCUAUGCUUGCAUACUUCACACUCAAGUUUUGGUCAGAACCCAGAGUAACUAGGGCAGGUAAUAUAUGAGUAGAUGCAACUUUCGCAUCGAUAUAUGGAACCUAUAAACGAAGGAAACCAAUUAAUUAUUUCUUAAUCAGACACAUAAAGAAAUUAGUACUCCAAGAAUGGAUAGACUUACAAUGACUUUCAACAGAUUGGCAGCAUUUAUUUUCAUAUCUAUGUUGGAGCUGACAACCAUUUCCCAGAGUAAAUUAAAUAUCAUACCGUGAUGAUCUUCAGAUGUGCUGCAUUAUGGAAAGCCCUUCAGUCAAAAUUAAGUUACAAAAAGUUAGUCAUAAAAGGUAUUUAUUGCUUUACUAACCAAAGGAACCGAACAGCAUCAACAAUCUCAGCAUUGCACUUCGUAGAUUGAUUUGGAACACCUUCAACUAAUAACUUUCUCAGGUACUCCACUAAUUGUUCAUGUUUGCUUGGACCACCCAAAACACCAGCCAAGAGAAGAGGUAGGACACACAUAGUAGCCAAUCUCUUAGCCACAGCCGUUCUUGGCCUCAAACCUGUUAUGUAGAUAAUAUCCACAAUUAAGAGAACACACAACACUGGUGUGAAAGGAUUUCAAGUAAUUUUAAAGUUAUUACCUUUGAUUCCAGAAUGCGUUGCAGAUGGGAAAAAUGUCAAUUCAACUUCUUCCCCAACAGCUAACAAGAAUACAGGCAGCAUUAUGUGUGUCAAAUAAGAAUCCCCGUAGAGUUCUGAUACAGCCAAUAGAAACUGCAUUACCAACAUUUAGAUCAGAAACAAUUAAUAAAGUAUUGUUGAUGAUGUAAUAUAAAAAAGACACCAAAGACAGAGAAAGAUACCUUGGUGAUUUGGUUUCGCAAAUUGUCCUCUUUUGGAGGUAACAAGCAUGCGAGCUGUAUUAAAGCAGGAAAGCAGUCGACAUGUAGCCACUCAAAUGCAGGCAAUUGAACAUGUCCACUACCGGGUUAACAAAAUUCUCAUUAGCAGUUAUAGUAAAUCAAUUUAACAAUAUCACUACCAAAAGACACAAGUCAAACGGCUAUGUUCUGUCAGAAAAUAGUAGACAGGCCUGAAAAAAGAAUAUAUAACAAAGUAAAAUAAAAUAAAAAGGAAAAAAGAGAAAAGAGCUUACCCUGCAUACAAUUCAAGGAAAGAUUUGGAAAAUAUUGAUCCAGUUGUUUCGGGAUCAGAAGAAACUGGGCACUUCUCAAUUGCUUUCUGGUGCACAUACGGAAGAAUUUCCUCCAGCAUUCGUAGUAAAACAUCAACAUUCCAGCGUUCUCGUUCACCUAAAACACGAAAAUGUGACUCCACAGAACCUUCAAUGCCCGAAAGAGGAGGACAGCGCUGCAAUGUCACAAGGAUGCAAAUUAAAGAAAGUAUCAUUAGAAAGACCUUAGUCAUAAGUGGAAAAUAUAAUCAAACAGAAACAGACCUGAACAGAGCUUGAUAUAUGAGAGAGUAGAACUCUUAAGAUAUGGUCUAAUUUGUUUCCCCACUUGUUUACUGCAGGGACUAAUUGCUUAAGCGUCGUUUCCACCACCACUCCAGAGGGAUCACAGACCAAUUGGAACAUCAACUCCUCGACCUAUAAAUAAAAAUACAGUAAAAUAUUGGAGAAACAGAUCCUUGACCACUUUAUCCAUUUAUUUCUUGUCAGUCAUCAUAUUAUGAGGAGAAAAUUCUCCAUGCCCUAGACCAUGUGGCAUCAACCUGUUCUAGAGCUUACAUUGUAGCCAUUUCUGUCAAGUCAGAAUUCCUCUCCAUGAGAGCCUCUGAAGCAUAUUAGUGAGGCUGACCUUGAAAUAUUUGUCCAUGGUCGGGAAGAGUGGAAGCAGCAAUGCAAGAUUAUGUGCAGCAGCCUCCCGGACAACAGUUGCAGAAUCUUCUAUAAGUUGUUGAACAAUGGACAAUAUAAGAGAAUCACGAAUCUCAGGCCGGACAAACUCUGCAAGCUCUCCACAUGAUUGAGCAACUAGCAGCCUGCGUUCCUCAUACAUAUGAUUUAUCUGCAACCAACAAACCGGAGAAACAUAAGAAAAACUAAUCAGAAAUACGAAAAGGUUAGACAAGAUCCUCUCAAGGUGUGGCUCAAACUUACUUGUUCCCAACACUGGGGAAGCAAUUCUGUUUCUGUUCUCAUCUCUCCUACAUUCUUAGCAAGGUUAACACAUGCCUGAAAUGCAGUUAAAGAUUCAGAAACAAGUCCAAAACAAUGCAGCUAUAUUACAAAUAAUGUGGUACUUCGAAUAUUAGCCUACAUCCAUUAUAAUUCUUCUCUGCUGCUCAUCUGGGCGUUUGAUUAGGUUAAACAAUGUGUGGGUUAAGGAAUCCCGAGUGCUGCUAUCUGGAUGGCGUUCAAUCGCACACAUGAUUAGGGGAAGAAGCUCCUGUGAAUGCAUAACCAAUAAAAAAAUUAAAAAUAUAUCGUUCUAUUAAAGGAUCAAUUUAAAGAUCCAUUCAUACAAUGAUAAUAACAAUAAUAAUAUAUUUAUACACAUAUAUAUAUACAUGUACAUAUGAAAAGGUAAGCAAACCUCCCGAUGGUUGAUCAAAACAUAAGGAACAAUCUUCGGCAAAGCAUCAGCAAGGAUCUGAAUGGUCUCUAGGCCCUGUAAAAUAUAAGCAUAACUUAAGAAAAGGAAUAGAAGGGAAGGGCAGUUCCAAAGCUUCUAAAAAAUCAUUCUAUGUUCUAUUAUUCAAAAUUUAGAUGGGUGUCCCAUCCAAAACGAAAAGAAAAAGGGAUGUGCCAGGGUAGAUAUCAAAAGAAGAGCCAACCCUGGAAGAAGAAAAACAUGUCUGAUCCGGUCUCCUAUAAAGGCAUUGAUGCAAUAAAAGAAAUGUAAAAGAAACUUGCCCUUUUCUCGGAAACAUUUUCAGGACUAAGAUUCUCUGACAUUAGAUGUAGGCUGCUGCCUAAUGAUGGUUCAUCAUUUUGUUUGGAGACGCUAUCACCAUUCACCAAGGUACUACUAUCACUCAAAACACCGACAGAGACCUCAUGUGAAACUUCCUUCAGUUCAACUGUGUUAUCAUGAAAACUUUGAGCAGCCAGAGACUGAUCUUCUUCCUUUUCCACAACUUUCGAUUCUACAUCAACUGGUGGGAUUACACUUUUAUCUUCAUCGACGACAACGACCUUUUCUUCCAUUUGCACAGACUCUUUUUCAAAAUUGGUGGUCUCUGAAAAAUCAUGAGCUUUUGUGUUUUUGGAUUUUAAACUUUCUAGUUCCAUCUGCAAUGAUUUAAUUUCUUCCUUGUAUCUUUCCAAGGAAAGAGGUUGGAUUUGAUCAGCAUCAGCAGCUCCCAUAUUCGUUCCAGAACGAUAUGCUUCAAUGUGCAUUUUCAAUGCAGUGACUUCAGCUCUACAAUCAUUGAGCUCCUUUCUCUGGUGUUCCAAGGACUGCUUCAAAUCUUGUACCUGAAAUAAAGGGUGUAUUAUUUUCUUACAUAUGAUUUUUCAUUAGAUAACAUCUCAAUGCAGUGUACUAAAGGGACUUACAAGGUUUUCUUUGUCUUUAAGGUCCUUCUGAAGAGCUUCCAAUGAUUUGCUUAGUGUACUUAUUUGGCCUUCAGCCAAAUCUUUGUUUUUAAGUAAGGAUAGCUUUUCAAGGUAUAGACUCUCCUUUUCUUUCAAUAACAACUCAAUUUCUCGGAGCAUGGAAAUUUUUUCCUGUAUAUAGCAAAGUAUUUAUGUUGAGUUUAGAAAAAGAAAAAAAAAAAUCCUACAUUGGAGUAGAACCUGCAAAGUUUCAGUAAUUAAUUAUUAACUUCAAGUCUUAAGCCAACAAGACAGUACUCAUCCAUAACAUGUGUUGUUGCAAAAAAAGCAGAAAAUAAGGAAAAGCACGGUACAUAUUGAGAAAUAAUUUAAGAGCAAAACUUAAGGAAAAUUUCGUGACCCACAGAUCUACAGAUUGAUAUGCUUCAUAGCCAUCGUUUUAGAGGAAAAAAAAUAGCAAACAUAAAUAACGAAUGUUUUCAGCACAUCAGAAAGUAAAAGAGAUGAGUUUAGUUGUGGUCGUGGUGUUACCUCAGACUUCCAAAGUGCUAGACAUGGAUUACUAGAUAGAAUUACCAAUAGCCAGAAACUAAUGGUCGUACCCAGUGCACAAGGCUCCCGCUUUACGCAGGGUCUGGGAGAGGUGAAAAACAUACAACAAAUAUGCUAAAGGACACAGGCCACAUCCACAAAAGCAGAAGCAAGUGAAAAGCUUCGAAGCCCUUGUCUAACAAGGUCGGGGAAGCACGGUAAAAGUCUGUAUAUAGAACUUCAGAAACUUGCCAACAUCACAUAUCCUAGGAAUUACCUCAGCAGCCUCAGUAGUGGAUGAAAGAUACUGAUAAUAAUAAUGGCGCAAUGCAUCUGGUACACAUGCAGGUGAGUUCUUCCAAACAUCUAGAUUUUGAUCUGUGACCUGGGGAGAAUGCACUGACAGGUUAUUAGAAUAUUUGAAGAUUACUUGAACUGGGUAUGAUAUUAUACCAUGAUUUGCCACACAAACAAAGUGACAAUAGCACCGCAUUCACCUGAUGCAAAGUUUUAGAAACCUAGUGGGCCUUCCAAGGGAUUAACCUAGUACAAUAGCUCCUAAAAAGUUGUUCAGUGCUACUUAUUACCGCAACAAACAGAUCAGAAUCAAUCCCAAUCUUGUAAACAUCUUUUUUUUUCCUUUAUUUUAAAUAUUUGUGUUCCUCAAACCAUUUUCUUUCUUUUGUUGAUAAAACAAAGUAAGCCUGUUGUUGUUACAUUGUUAGAAAGCUUCCAUUACUUAAAUAACAAGUAAAUCAAACUAACAUUAAACAACUCAUCGGCAUGGAAGUUUGAACCAUGACCACAACGGGGUUCUUCUCCCACUAGACCAGUUUUAAGCUUGAUCAACAUAAAAACAAAAAACAAAAUAACUUGUUUUUUUUUUUAUGAGGGUUGCAUCAUCCUUUUGGUGGCCCUCUUGCUAUUGUAAUAAAUUUGUUGAAUUGUAAUAAAUUUUUGUGACCGCCGUAUGCCACUGAAGCUCAAGGGAAAAUUUUAUAGGACGGCAAUAAGGCCGGCGAUGCUAUAUGGCACAGAAUGUUGGGCGGUGAAGCAUCAACACGUACACAAAAUGGGUGUAGCGGAGAUGAGGAUGCUUCGUUGGAUGUGUGGGCACACGAGAAAGGAUAAGAUUAGGAAUGAGGAUAUCCGGGGUAAAGUAGGAGUAGCCGAAAUUGAAGGAAAGAUGAGAGAAAAUCGGUUACGAUGGUUUGGACAUGUGCAAAGAAGGCCUACUGACGCUCCGAUUAGAAGAUGCGACUAUGGGACAGAGGUUCAGGGCCGAAGGGGUAGAGGAAGACCUAGGAAAACUUUGGAAGAGACCCUAAGAAAAGACUUAGAGUACUUGGAUCUAACGGAGGACAUGACACAGGACAGAACACAAUGGCGUUCUAAGAUUCAUAUAGCCAAUCCCACUCAGUGACUUGGAUUUUCCAAGUCUCCAACCGAGAAGUUUUCCUCACUCGGGAAAUUAAGGGAACACUACCUCAACCUACAUGCUCCACUCACAAAGCUUCAACAUACAAGCUUCAACAAAAGAAAAUUCAAAGAACUUAGCGAAGAAGGCUUUGGUGUAUUUAACACAAUACGUUGAAAUGAAGGAAAACUUAUUUAUUGAUAGCCCUGAUAAGUUACAAAUAUGUACAUAUACAUGAAUCAAAAUAAACAAACAAGAGGGAGCCUUCACACAGGUUGUUUAGGAGAAGUCUCAGCAGUCGGUAGAGCCCCAGAAAGAGAAGGCACCGGAGGGGGAUCAUUCGAGCCUCAGUACUGGACAGAACCCUAGAAGGAGGAGGCAUCAGAGGUUGAUCAUUUGGAGCUUCAUUACGCGGUACAACCCCAGAAGACGAAAGCAAUAAAUGCCUUUGGAACAAACCCACAAAUCUCUGAUGAUCAAGUAAAACCUGACCAUCAGAUUCCUUCAUCUGGUCAAGCUUCCUCUUCAUGUUUGUAGCAUAGUCAUGUGCGAGCCGGUGCAACUGUUUAUUCUCAUGCUUGAGCCCUCUAAUCUCCUGUUUGAGACUCAUCACUUCAGCCGCCAAUGAUUCAACUUGGCGGGUUCGAGCAAAUAGGCGUUGGGCCAUAUUAGACACAGAACCUGCACACUGAACACUGAGAGCCAGAGAAUCCUUAACAGCCAACUCAUCAGACCGUUUGGAAAGUAGUCUGUUAUCUUUGGGAGUGAGAAGGUUCCUGGCCACUACCGCAGCGGUCAUAUCAUUCUUCAUCACGGAAUCCCCAACGGUAAGAGGACCAGUAGGGGAGACGAAGGAUGGGCGCCAUAUGUUGUCUGGAGAAGGCGGGGCUGCCUCUUCAACAAGGUUCAAGUCAAAACGACGGUCGGAGGGGGCCAAACAUUUUCAAAGGUGUUGAAGAGAGAAGAGGUCGGACAAAUCAAGAUCUUAGAAGUGCAAGAAUGGAGCUUCUACUGGUGGAGAUUCAAGUGUGCUUUGGAACUUAAUGCCAGCCCCUAUAAAAAUCUGCACUCGACGAAGCUUCAGAAAUCGAAGAGGCGUUUGCUUUCUCAAAAGCUGGGCUGCUCAGAGACCACGAGGGUCGAUCUCAGAAAUCGAAGAGGCGUUUGCUUUCUCAAAAGCUGGGCUGCUCAAAGACCACAAAGGCCGAUCUCAGAAAUCGAAGAGGCUUGCUUUCUCAAAAGCUGGGCUGCUCAGAGACUACGAGGGCUGAUCUCAGAAAUCGAAGAGGCACAUACUUUUCCAGCCUUGUCAGCACCUGUCACACGCACACUCAGCUUUGCGGAAAUUAUGGGCAUUCUGUCGAAGAUUUCUGGUGAAGUAGAAAGCACAUGAAUCGUACUGUUCAAUCACCCACUUCCCACACGCAACAGUAGCUCAUGGGUACCACAGAUAACUUUGCCAAAGUUAUCUGACAAAGUUGAGACACGUGAAGCUUGCAGCUCCCACUACAUCGCUCUGACCGAGAAGGGUAAAAGAAUAGCAAAGAAACAACACUAACAAAGUUUAGACACAUAAAUUUUGAAGGUCUAGCUACCAUAUUAUUACCCACAAGGGUAAAGGAACAGUACCACUGCUGGAUAAUUGGAAGGUCCCGGUGUGUCAACCUCUGUACUUCGUGGCACGGUAGACUAGCAAACAUGUCCAACCUUUACUCACAUUCGAGAAAACACUCCCAACAAGAUUGCUUGCUCCAAAAUCGAAGAGGCACCGCCUUCCGAAUCUCGAGAGCCAGACUCCCAACAUGAUUACUUUCUCAAAAAUCGAAGAGAGGGUAAAGGAACAGUACCACUGCUGGAUAAUUGGAAAGUCCCUGUGUGUCAACCUCUGUGCUUCGUGGCAAGGUAGAAUAGCAAACAUGCCCAACCUUUACUCACAUUCGAGAAAACACUCCUAACAAGAUUGCUUGCUCCAAAAUCGAAGAGGCACCGCCCUCCGAAUCUCGAGAGCCAGACUCCCAACAUGAUUACUUUCUCAAAAAUCGAAGAGAGGGUAAAGGAACAGUACCACUGCUGGAUAAUUGGAAAGUCCCUGCGUGUCAACCUCUGUGCUUCGUGGCAAUGUAGACUAGCAAACAUGCCCAACCUUUACUCACAUUCGAGAAAACACUCCCAACAAGAUUGCUUGCUCCAAAAUCGAAGAGGCACCGCCCUCCGAAUCUCGAGAGCCAGACUCCCAACAUGAUUACUUUCUCAAAAAUCGAAGAGACACCGCUCUCCGAAUCUCGAGAGCCAGACCCCCAGCAGGAUUGCUUUCUCAAAAAUCGAAGAGGCAUCGUUCUCCGAAUCUCGAGAACCAGAUCCCCGACAGGAUUGCUUGUUCGAAAACCGAAGAGGCACCACUUUCCCAACUUCAAGAGCUGGAUCUCCUUGGAUAAAGCUUGUCUGUAAUCUUCACACGCAACAUCAACUUUCCAGAUACCACAGACCACUUUUUCAAAGUGCUCUGACAUAGUUAAAACAUGUGAAGCUGGCAGCUCCCACUACCGUGCUAUGACCAAGCAGGGUAAAAGAAUAGCAUUAUUACUUGAUGUUAGGGAGACUCCUAUAUAUGUCGACCUCCAUCCCCAACGGACAGGCAGACCUGCAAAAAUGCUCAACCCUUCCUCUUAUCUGAGAGGGCAUUCCCAACGAAGCCUUUCGAAAUAUUCAGCUUUCUUUCCCCCCGAUAAUACCUCUGCAAACAAGCUAUAUUAGAGUAAGAAUAUCUCAUAUCAUCAGGGUUAAAAGCAAGAGUAUCCCAUAUCAUGCUUUUUCCCUGUCUUUUCCUUUGGUCUUGUUCUUACCUGCAAGACAAGGAGAAAGAGAGCAAUCAGUCAGCACUUGGAAUCAAGCUUCCAGCCAGGAACUGACUGCCUGGAACCCCUUACCUGAGUACUUACCUGGCAUUGCUCUCGAGUACUCAUCUUCAACAUCUUAUGCUUCCAGGGAAGAUACCGCAUCUGCCUGAGGAACAGAUAGGGCAAGUGAGAAGGAUACAAAGAAGCAUGUGGAGACAAGCGUAACAGCACACGUGCCGAUACAUCCACUACUCUGUCAAAAGCAAAAGUAUCCCAUAUCAGCAGGGUCGAACGUACUCUAGAUUUGAUGGAUUUGUUUUGACCCUCAAAUUCUUUAGUCGGCCUUAUACUCUGGAGGAAACCAGAAAACCCUCCAGCCCAGUUCAAGAAUAAGCCUGUGGAAAGUUACUUCUUCAAAAGCAAAAGUAUCCCAUAUCAUCUCUUCUCAUUUUUCUUCUCUUUAUCCUUCAUGCUGCCUGCAAGAUAGGGAGAAUGUGAACAAUCAGCCGGAGCUCUGAUUGCUGUCACCUCUUUCAGCAGAUCCCCUAGCUCGGCGACUUGGGGGACUCCUACUACAUGGUUUGUAUCGCGCUUGACCAAGCCUGAAACUACAAGUAAGCUUCAAGUGAAAUUGAUACAUUACCUUGUGCAUCUCCACCAGUUAAAGAUACCACCCCUGGAUGGAGGAAGAGUACUUCCAGAGAAGAUGCCACAUCUACCUAUGAGACAGAUAAGGCAAGUCAAGACGAUACCACACCCCGGUACUUAGAAGUUUCGUGAUUACGAGAUCAUUCUCCCACAAUAUUUCCUAAUGUCAUUUGUACUAAAUCAUUCACUUGUACUCACUAAAGGAGAGCUUGAACCUAUGUACUUGUGUAAACCCUUCACAAUUAAUGAGAACUCCUCUAUUCCGUGGACAUAGCCAAUCUGGGUGAACCACGUACAUCUUGUGUUUGCUUUUCUAUCUCUAUCCAUUUAUAUACUUAUCCACACUAAUGACCGGAGCAAUCUAGCGAAGAUCACAAAAAGCGACCGUUUUCGCUACCUAGGAUCUAUCUUGCAAGAGAACGGAGAAUUAGAUGGAGAUCUCAACCAUAGAAUACAAGCUGGAUGGAUGAAGUGUAAGAGUGCAUCCGGCGUGUUGUGUGACCGUCGUAGGCCACUGAAGCUCAAGGGAAAAUUUUAUAGGACUGCAAUAAGGCCAGCGAUGUUGUAUGGCACAGAAUGUUGGGCGGUGAAGCAUCAACACGUACACAAAAUGGGUGUAGCGGAGAUGAGGAUGCUUCGUGGGAUGUGUGGGCACACGAGAAAGGAUAAGAUUGGGAAUGAGGAUAUCCGAGGUAAAGUAGGAGUAGUCGAAAUUGAAGGAAAUAUGAGAGAAAAUCGGUUCCGGUGGUUUGGACAUGUGCAAAGAAGGCCUAUUGACGCUCCGGUUCGAAAAUGUGACUACGGGACAGAGGUUCAGGGCCGAAGGCGUAGAGGAAGACCUAGGAAAACUUUGGAAGAGACCCUAAGAAAAGACUUGAGUACUUGGAUCUAACGGAGGACAUGACACAAAACCGAGCGCAAUGGCGUUCUAGGAUUCAUAUAGCCGACCCCACUUAGUGGGAAAAGGCUAUGUUGUUGUUGUUGUUGUUGUUAUAGAAUUAAAAUUAAAAGCCAUCUCCAAAACUCUCAACACUCCCAUAUCAAUUUACAGUGGAGAAAUUGCCACAUAUGUUUGAAGCAAAACUUCUAAUGUUUGGAUGGAGAAGUUCCCCUAAAGAAUUGCUAGAAAUAUAAUAUACUCACUUUUGAUAUAAAAUUUUAAACUUUCCAACAUCACUUGCCUACAAACUGGAUGAAUUCACAUUUCAGUGCAUCACAGCCUCCCUAAAGAUGGGCCGUAAAUCGUAAAAUAAAAUAACCUCUAGAAAGUAGUAUCAAUAACCCAACAAACCACAAACCCAACCAAACACCUAGCAAAUAGAAAUUCUAACUAACAUAGAAUUCUAAUUACAACAUAAUUUUACACUGCAUAUGCAUAAAAACUGGUACAUUUUGUUAAGAUGUGUUGUGUAGUUACCCUAGCUCCUGUUUACAAUCCCGUACCAUUAAUCUACUAUAGUCUAUUGGAGGUUGAAUCCAAUAAACAAUAUGUGAGCCACAGAAAAGAAAGGACUCGUCCUUUCACAUAUAAAAAUACCGGGGAGAAACAAGGAGAGAGAUAACAAGAAAUAAGAGAAGAUAGAUGCAAGAAGAGAAAAAGACAAGCAUUCAUGGUCAUCCAUACCUCCUCAAAAAAUGUCAUUGCAGUAAGCCGGUACCCUGCUAUAAGCAAAUAUUCUUUUACAGCACAGUUAAGAUCUCUGCGCUCAUUAUCUUUCAAUGGACCCAAAUCAGAAAAGGAAACAUCUCUCUUUUGCCGCUGAAAUUCUGGUCCAUUAUGUAAGGAAACAUUGGCAUUUGAAUCUGAAUACAAAUAUGAGUAGAAAGUCAUGGAACAGAAACGUUUGUGGUUUAUUAGUAUUGGAGAAUAUUGCACAUAUAGUGAAUCUCGCAUUUUCCACUGUAUACAGGUGCAAUACUGAUUCCCGAAAAUAUAAAUGCAAUGAACAGUAACAAGAAGAGGAAAACGUGGUGUGUGUCUCCACCAUUGACAUUCAUUUGUUAGAAGGUUUUCUAGAAAACAAUUCCAGUACAUCUAGGAACAGGCAUGGAUGUCCAUAUCCAGUAUAACAAACCCACAAAGCUUGCCUCGUUAUUUUACCUAAUAACCUCACUAUAGACAUGCCUAUGGCAUUAUGGUCGCACUUUAUGACAAGAUACGUCCAGAGAUUUAAUAACCAAACUCUGUAAUAAUGCAAAGUUACUUAAUGCAAAGUUCUGCAGCAAACAAUAUCACAGUGACUACCGUUCGAAAAGAUAUAUCAGACUAGAAGCUAAAACAAGCAUAAGAAUAGAAUUUGAAAUUCUGGAAAGAAGGUAAACUUACCUCUCAAGUCAUUUGAAGGUGAUUCUGCUUUCUUCUGCAAUUCGGCCUUCAGUUUUGAAAUGUCCUCUUGGGCUAAGCGAAGCUCAUAUUCACUAAUUGCUAAUUUUUCUUCUACUGCUUCUUUCUCCUCUAGCAAACAUUGAGGGUCUGCAACUGCAUUCCAAAAAUGAAAGCAGUAGAAAAAUAAAGCAUUAGUAAUGUUCCAAAAGAAAAUAUUAGUAUCAAGAUUAAUGAGGUACAAGAAGUUUUCCUUUUCAAGCUCCAAUUAUCAGUUCAUCAAGCAGAGACAUAAACCAUUUGUAAAUCAGUUCUGUCACUUUACUGAGAAAAGUUCAAUUAAAGUUAUUUUUUGUUAGCUCGGCUUCUGUUCAGUUGGCUUGUUAGGCUUUCUUGGCCACACCACACCCCAACACACACUCAGUCAAUCACCACCAGCAGAAAUGCCCUUUGCAGUUGCGCUUACAGGCUGCAACAUACAAUACUAAUUUUUUUUCCCUUUUCAUUAAAAAUUAAACCUUUAUGGGUUGGGCUGGUAAUGGUAGCCUCAUUAAAUAAAAAAAAUAAAUUAAAAAAAAAAAAAAAAAAAAAAAAAGCAUACGAGGAUGUUCUUAGUUGAGUUUUUUGAACUGACCAUCAAGCUCGUUGCACUAAUUUUGACAAACUUAAUUUCUGAAAAUUUAAGGUUUUAAUGAAUAACAGCAAAAAUGUACCAGAAAAAAGGGAACCAAAGAAGCAAACACAGUUCCUCUUAACAGAAAACACAACUAAAGAAUGAGAAAGCCAGAACAAAGCCAUCAAGGAAGUGAUCUCACCCUGGCAGCCGAAAGCACAGGCACAGAUAUGCAGCCACCACGUACUCACACUUUCAGUUGCAUUCUCUAAAUAUGUUAAGUAACUCCUCCGCAGAAAGUAACAGUUUCAUAAAAUAGAUAUGUUCUAAACUAAUUGCUUUUCUCAGUUCAGGCUAAUUCCUAGAAUAAACCGGUGUUUUCGUCCAACCAACUGAAGUCCCACCUAUCGCCAUUCCUUUACACAAUGCUUCUACAUGAUGGUUGAGGUAGCCCAUUUGGGCACAUAACAAAAAGAAUUUCAAACACUUUUGAGUUCUGCAACUAGUUUCAAGUCUAACUUGUUCCUCAAACAAACAAAAUGUAAUUCAACUUUCGCUAUAAUUGCCAGCGGCAACGAGGUUCCAAAUGCGAAAAAAUUCAGUUAGCAUUAACAAGAAGCCGCUAAGGAGAUAAACGAUCUUUCAAAACUAGGCAAAGUAAACGAUCACAAGCGCGCCAAUUCGUGGCAUUAACAAUGCCAAAGAAAACAGAGUAGAAAACCAGAAUUCCGAAUCUAUUAGCUCACCACAUUCCCCACACUUUCUCAGCAACCAAACAGAAAACAAGAGAAUUUCAAAUUAACCGAAUUCAAACAGAUUCAGAAGUGCGCGUGCGAGUGUGAAUUGAUCGUACGAACCUCGGAGAGAGUUGAAACGAGAAAUCUGAUCGGGAGGGAAUUUAGAGGAGUCGGCGAAGAAGUCCUUGAGUCGAAUGGCCUGGUCGUCUCUGCCAUCGUCGAGCAGCUCGUGGAGCAGCUCGAACGCCGUGAGCAGGUAGUUCUCCUCGAGCAGAAAAUUCACGACGCAAUUGCACAACGACGACCUCUCCACGUCCAUCGGAGCUCACUAUCUCCUCCGCAACCUUAGCGCGACGCCAUUGAAGAACCAGAUAACCAAAGCAGAUCUCUCUCUCUGUCUUUCUCUCUGCCUAUUUUCUUCAGGAGUACGUCCGGAUCGAGUCGUUGAGUUGGGAGAGAGGAGGCAAGGACCGACCGAGGGAAAGUGGGAUAUUCGGUGCGACGCGUCUUUCUUUUGAUCCGUGCUUCUUUGUAUUUUCGACCGUCGAUCCUAUGAUUGUUGUUGAUAGAUCUGCCUGCAUUUUUCAUUAGCACGUUCACCACGUGUGAUUUUGCAUGGAAAACCGGUGCACCGCCAAGAAGGUCAACUGUUGACUCUCAAAUUAGAGAAAUUUUGCAGUGUACAUAUCAUUAUAUAAAUGAAAAGAAGUUUUAUUUUUCAAAUGUCCAACAAUUAACAUAUGAUGUAGUAUCCUUUAUUUGAGCCCAUUGAAAAAUAUCUUCACGAAUUAGAGAAAUGCCAAAGAAACUCUAAAAAUGAAACUCUCGAUAAAUUAUCUGCUACUUCAAAUUUUUUUUUACAUAUGAUUUUAUAAUUUUACACUUAAAUUAAUAUUAAACUGUGAGAUUUAAUGGGCUCAUCCUAGAGCUUCUAUAUUCAUUUUUUUUUUUUUUUGCCUCUAUGUUCAUUUUUUUGUGAUUAUCUAUUUGGGUCUAGAACUCCGCCUAUGUCUUACAUGGCCGGUCCCAAGCCCGGAUAAAGGAGGAGGGGGAGGGCGUCAGGUAGUCGACAGCCGGCACUCCAUGAUCACGUCGAAUCCUUAUGAAAAUGAAUCCAGAACAAAAUCGCGCUAAAGCUAGGGCGUCACCCGUAAGUGGCGCGCUGUGUGGCCCGAGCACAGUGAUAAGUGAGCAAGGGUCGCUGUAUCUCUAUCGGCACCCGGAUGCAGUGUUAAAUGAGCAAGGGGGCCAUAGAAACUUCUUUUCGAACGACUCCACUCAAAGUUGUUUGGGAGCAUAUGCUCCUAUCAACUUUACCCGAGACACACAAAAGAAGUACUUUGAUCCUAUUAGACGGGGGAGGGUGAAGAAGCUAGGACAGAAGGUAGAGUUCAAGAGAGCAAAAUGCGUUUAGGAACGUGGAAUAUAGGAACCUUAACGGGAAAAUCUAUGGAAGUAGUGGAAGUUAUGGUGAGGAGAAGGAUAAAUAUUAUGUGCCUACAAGAAACUAAGUGGGUUGGUAGUAAGGCAAAGGAUCUAGAAAACUCAGGGUUUAAACUUUGGUAUUCGGGCACAAAUAGAACGAGAAACGGUGUUGGCAUCAUCGUGGACAAGACCUUGGUACAAGAUGUUGUAGAUGUCAAGAGGGUAGGAGAUAGAAUCAUGGCAAUCAAGAUUGUAAUAGGACAAGAACUUAUCAAUGUGAUUAGUGCGUACGCACCUCAAGUAGGGUUGGAUACGAGUUCGAAGGAGAAAUUUUGGGAAGAUCUUGGAGACUUGGUGCAAGGAAUUGCUCAGACGGAAAAGUUAUUUAUAGGAGGAGAUUUAAAUGGACACGUGGGCAGGGAGACAGGCAACUAUGGAGGUUUUCAUGGUGGCCAUGGUUUUGGGGAGAGAAACGAGGAUGGGGAAGCUAUCUUGGAUUUUGCAAUGGCAUAUGAUCUCUUCUUAGCCAACACCUUCUUUAAGAAGAGAGAAGAACAUGUGAUCACCUACAAGAGUGGGUCGUCAAAAACACAAAUAGAUUUUCUUCUAAUGAGGAAAGGGGAUCGUAUAACUUGUAAGGAUUGCAAAGUUAUAUCAGGAGAGUGCGUGGCCAAUCAACAUCGCUUGUUGGUGAUGGAUGUACAUAUCAAAAGAGUAAGACAAAAGAACAAGUCUUGGAAGUGCCCAAGGACUAGAUGGUGGAAUCUAAAAGAAGAAAAACAAGCCAUUUUCAAAGAUAAGGUAAUCACCCAAUGUGUGUGGGAUAGAGAGGGGGAAGCUAGCCAAAUGUGGGAUUCCAUGGCUAGUUGUAUCCGAAAAGUAGCAAAAGAGGCAUUAGGAGAGUCCAAGGGCUUUGCCCCACACCAAAAGGAAUCUUGGUGGUGGAAUGAAGAGGUACAAACAAAGGUGAAGGCUAAGAAGGAAUGUUGUAAAGCCUUAUACAAGGAGAGGACCGAUGAAAAUGGUGAAAGGUAUAGAAAAGCGAAGCAAGAGGCGAAGAAAGCUGUCAGAGAAGCUAAGUUAGCGGCUUACGACGAUAUGUAUAAACGACUAGAUACCAAAGAAGGAGAGUUGGAUAUCUAUAAACUAUCUAGAGCAAGGGAAAAGAAGACAAGGGACCUAAACCAAGUGAGGUGCAUCAAGGAUGAGGAUGGAAAGGUUCUUGCUACAGAGAACGCGGUUAAAGACAGAUGGAGAGGUUAUUUUCAUAAUCUUUUCAAUGAAAGGACAUGAAAUGAGUGCUUCUUUAGGGGAGUUGAGUAACUUCAGAAGAGUGUAGAAACUACUCUUUUUAUCGUCGAAUCCGGAAGGAAGAAGUGGUUGUAGCUUUGAAGAAGAUGAAGCAUAAAAAAGCAAUAGGCCCAGACGAUAUACCAAUCGAAGUGUGGAAACUUUUGGGAGAGACAGGUAUAACAUGGCUCACUGACCUUUUCAAUAGGAUUUUGAAAACGAAGAAGAUGCCAAAUGAGUGGCGAACGAGCACUUUGGUGCCUAUCUACAAGAAUAAGGGCGACGUACAAAAUUGCAUGAACUAUAAGGGUAUUAAGCUAAUGAGUCAUACAAUGAAGCUCUGGGAGAGAGUCAUUGAGCAUAGAUUGAGGCAAGAGACACGGGUUUUGGACAACCAAUUCGGGUUCAUGCCAGGGCGCUCAACCAUGGAGGCAAUCUAUCUCUUACGAAGAUUGAUGGAAAGAUAUAGAGAUGGGAAAAAGGAUUUACACAUGGUCUUUAUAGAUUUGGAAAAAGCGUAUGAUAGGGUCCCAAGAGACAUUCUUUGGAGGAUUUUAGAGAAGAAAGGAGUACGAGUAGCAUAUAUCCAAGCUAUAAAGGAUAUGUAUGAAGGAGCAAAGACUGCCGUAAGAACUCAUGAAGGACAAACCGAAAGCUUUCCCAUAACUGUAGGAUUACAUCAAGGCUCAUCCUUAAGUCCUUACCUUUUUGCGUUGGUAAUGGAUGAGUUAACAGGACAUAUUCAAGAUGAUAUUCCUUGGUGUAUGCUUUUCGCAGACGAUAUAGUGUUGAUAGAUGAAACUCAGGAAGGGGUAAAUGCAAAGCUUAACCUUUGGAGAGAAGUGUUGGAAUCUAAAGGUCUUCGCCUAAGCCGAUCAAAGACAGAAUAUAUGGAGUGCAAGUUCAGUGCAAAUGGAGGCCAAAACGAGUUAGGGGUGAGGAUCGGAGAUCAAGAAAUACCAAAGAGCGACCGUUUUCGUUACCUAGGAUCUAUCUUGCAAAAGAACGGAGAAUUAGAUGGAGAUCUCAACCAUAGAAUACAAGCUGGAUGGAUGAAGUGGAAGAGUGCAUCCGGCGUGUUAUGUGACCGCCGUAUGCCAUUGAAGCUCAAGGGAAAAUUUUAUAGGACGGCAAUAAGGCCGGCGAUGCUGUAUGGCACAGAAUGUUGGGCGGUGAAACAUCAACACGUACACAAAAUGGGUGUAGCGGAGAUGAGGAUGCUUCGUUGGAUGUGUGGGCACACGAGAAAUGGAUAAGAUUAGGAAUGAGGAUAUCCGGGGUAAAGUAGGAGUAGCCGAAAUUGAAGGAAAGAUGAGAGAAAAUCGGUUACGGUGGUUUGGACAUGUGCAAAGAAGGCCUACUGACGCUCCGAUUAGAAGAUGCGACUAUGGGACAGAGGUUCAGGGCCGAAGGGGUAGAGGAAGACCUAGGAAAACUUUGGAAGAGACUCUAAGAAAAGACUUAGAGUACUUGGAUCUAACGAAGGACAUGACACAUGAUCGAGCACAAUGGCGUUCUAAGAUUCAUAUAGCCGAUCCCACUCAGUGACUUGGAUUUUCCAAGUCUCCAACCGAGAAGUUUUCCUCACUCGGAAAAUUAAGGGAACACUACCCCAACCUACAUGCUCCACUCAGAAAGCUUCAACAUACAAGCUUCAACAAAAGAAAAUUCAAAGAACUUAGCGAAGAAGGCUUUGGUGCAUUUAACACAAUACGUUGAAAUGAAGGAAAGCUUAUUUAUUGAUAUCCCCGAUAAGCUACAAAUAUGUACAUAUACAUGAGUCAAAAUAAACACACAAGAGGGAGCCUUCACAAAGGUUGCUUAGGAUAAGUCUCAGCAGUCGGUAGAGCUCCAGAAAGAGAAGGCACCGGAGGGGGAUCAUUUGGAGCCUCAGUACUGGACAGAACCCUAGAAGGAGGAGACAUCAGAGGUUGAUCAUUUGGAGCUUCAUUACGCGGUACAGCCCCAGAAGACGAAGGCAAUAAAUGCCUUUGGAACAAACCCACAAAUCUCUGAUGAUCAAGUAAAACCUGACCAUCAGUUUCCUUCAUCUGGUCAAGUUUCCUCUUCAUGUUUGUAGCAUAGUCAUGUGCGAGCCGGUGCAACUGUUUAUUCUCAUGCUUGAGCCCUCUAAUCUCCUGUUUGAGACUCAUCACUUCAGCCGCCAAUGAUUCAACUUGGCGGGUUCGAGCAAAUAGGAGUUGGGCCAUAUUAGACACAGAACCUGCACACUGAACACUGAGAGCCAGCGAAUCCUUAACAGCUAACUCAUCAGACCGUUUGGAAAGUAGUCUGUUAUCUUUGGGAGUGAGAAGGUUCCUGGCCACCACCGCAGCGGUCAUAUCAUUCUUCAUCACGGAAUCCCCAACGGUAAGAGGACCAGUGGGGAGACGAAGGAUAGGCGCCAUAUGUUGUCUGGAGAAGGCGGGGCUGCCUCUUCAACAAGGUUCAAGUCAAAACGACGGUCGGAGGGGCCAGACAUUUUCAAAGGUGUUGAAGAGAGAAGAGGUCGGACAAAUCAAGAUCUAAGAAGUGCAAGAAUGAAGCUUCUACUGGUGGAGAUUCAAGUGUGCUUUGGAACUUAAUGUCAGCCCCUAUAAAAAUCUGCACUCGAUGGAGCUUCAGAAAUCGAAGAGGCGCCUGCUCAGAAAUCGAAGAGGCGUUUGCUUUCUCAAAAGUUGGGCUGCUUAGAGAUCACGAGGGUUGAUCUCAGAAAUCGAAGAGGCGUUUGCUUUCUCAAAAGUUGGGCUGCUCAAAAACCACGAAGGCUGAUCUCAGAAAUCGAAAAGGCGCUCGCUUUCUCAAAAGCUGGGCUCCCCAGAGACCACGAGGGCCGAUCUCAGAAUCCGAAGAGGCACCUACUUUUCCAGCCUUGUCAGCACCUGUCACACGCACACUCAGCUUUGCGGAAAUUAUGGGCAUUCUGUCGAAGACUUCUAGGGAAGUAGAAAACACAUGAAUCUUAUUGUUCAAUCACCCACUUCCCACACGCAACAAUAGCUCAUGGGUACCACAGAAAACUUUGCCAAAGUUCUCUGCCAAAGUUGAGCACGUGAAGCUUGCAGCUCCCACUACAUCGCUCUAACCAAGAAGGGUAAAAAAAUAGCAAAAGAAACAGCACUAAGAAAGUUUAGACCCAUAAAUUUUGAAGGUCUAGCUACCAUAUUAUUACCCACAAGGGUAAAGGAACAGUACCACUGCUGGAUAAUUGGAAAGUCCCUGUGUGUCAACCUCUGUGCUUCGUGGCAAGGUAGACUAGCAAACAUGCCCAACCUUUACUCACAUUCGAGAAAAAACUCCCAAUAAGAUUGCUUGCUCCAAAAUCGAAGAGGCACCGUCCUCCGAAUCUCGAGAGCCAGACUCCCAACAUGACUACUUUCUUAAAAAUCGGAGGGUAAAGGAACAGUACCAUUGCUGGAUAAUUGGAAAGUCCCUGUGUGUCAACCUCUGUGCUUCGUGGCAAGGUAGACUAGCAAACAUGCCCAACCUUUACUCACAUUCGAGAAAACACUCCCAACAAGAUUGCUUGCUCCAAAAUCGAAGAGGCACCGCCCUCCGAAUCUCGAGAGCCAGACUCCCAACAUGAUUACUUUCUCAAAAAUCGAAGAGACACUGCUCCCCGAAUCUUCGAGAGCCAGACCCCCAGCAUGAUUGCUUUCUCAAAAAUCGAUGAGGCAUCGUUCUCCGAAUCAAUCGAAGAGGCGCUCGCUUUCUCAAAAGCUGGGCUGCUCAGAGACCACGAGGGCCGAUCUCAGAAAUCGAAGAGGCACCUACUUUUCUAGCCUUGUCAGCACCUGUCACACGCACACUCAGCUUUGCAGAAAUUAUGGGCAUUCUGUCGAAGACUUCUGGUGAAGUAGAAAGCACAUGAGUCUUACUGUUCAAUCACCCACUUCCCACACGCAACAAUAGCUCAUGGGUACCACAGACAACUUUGCCAAAGUUCUCUGCCAAAGUUGAGCACGUGAAGCUUGCAGCUCCCACUACAUCGCUCUGACCAAGGAAGGUAAAAGAAUAGCAAAGAAACAGCACUAACAAAGUUUAGACACAUAAAUUUUGAAGGUCUAGCUACCAUUAUUAUUACCCACAAGGGUAAAGGAACAGUACCACUGCUGGAUAAUUGGAAAGUCCCUGUGUGUCAACCUCUGUGCUUCGUGGCAAGGUAGACUAGCAAACAUGCCCAACCUUUACUCACAUUCGAGAAAACACUCCCAACAAGAUUGCUUGCUCCAAAAUCGAAGAGGCACCGUCCUCCGAAUCUCGAUAGCCAGACUCCCAACAUGACUACUUUCUCAAAAUCGAAGAGAGGGUAAAGGAACAGUACCAUUGCUGGAUAAUUGGAAAGUCCCUGUGUGUCAACCUUUGUGCUUCGUGGCAAGGUAGACUAGCAAACAUGCCCAACCGUUACUCACAUUCGAGACAACACUCCCAACAAGAUCGCUUGCUCCAAAAUCGAAGAGGCACCGCCCUCCGAAUCUCGAGAGCCAGACUCCCAACAUGAUUACUUCCUCAAAAAUCGAAGAGACACUGCUCUCCGAAUCUCGAGAGCCAGACCCCCAACAUGAUUGCUUUCUCAAAAAUCGAAGAGGCAUCGUUCUCCGAAUCUCGAGAGCCAGAUACCACAGACCACUUUUUCAAAGUGCUCUGACAGAGUUAAAACAUGUGAAACUGGCAGCUCCCACUACCGUGUUAUGACCAAGCAGGGUAAAGGAAUAGCAUUACUACUUGUUAGGGAGACUCCUAUAUAUGUCGACCUCCAUCCCCAACGGACAGGCAGACCUGCAAAAAUGCUCAACCCUUCAUCAUAUCUGAGAGGGCACUCCCAACGAAGUCUUUCGAAAUAUUUAGCUUUCUUUCCCCCCGAUAAUACCUCUGCAAACAAGCUAUACUAGAGCAAGAAUAUCUCAUAUCAUCAGGGUUAAAAGCAAGAGUAUCCCAUAUCAUGCUUUUUCCCUGUCUUUUCCUUUGGCCUUGUUUUUACCUGCAAGACAAGGAGAAAGAGAGCAAUCAGUCAGCACUUGGAAUCAAGCUUCCAGCCAGGAACUGACUGCCUGGAACCCCUUACCUGAUUACUUACCUGGCAUUGCUCUCGAGUACUCAUCUUCAACAUCUUAUGUUUCCAGGGAAGAUUCCGCAUCUGCUUGAGGAACAGAUAGGGCAAGUGCGAAGGAUACAAGGAAGCAUGUGGAGACAAGCGUAACAGCACACGUGCCGAUACAUCCAUUACUCUGUCAAAAGCAAAAGUAUCCUAUAUCAGCAGGGUGGAACGUACUCUAGAUUUGAUGGACUUGUUUUGACCCUCAAAUUCUUCAGUCGGCCUUAUACUCUGGAGGAAACCAGAAAACCCUCCAGCUCAGUUCAAGAAUAAGCCUGUGGAAAGUUACUUCUUCAAAAGCAAAAGUAUCUCAUAUCAUCUUUUUUCAUUCAUUUUCUUCUCUUUAUCCUUCAUGCUGCUGCAAGAUGGGGAGAAGGUGAACAAUCAGUCGGAGCUCUGAUUGCUUACCUUGUCUGUCACCUCUUUCAGUAGACCCCCUAGCUCGGCGACUUGGGAGACUCCUACUACAUGGUUUGUAUCGCGCUUGACCAAGCCUGAAACUACAAGUAAGCUUCAAGUGAAAUUGAUACAUUACCUUGUGCAUCUCCACCAGUUAAAGAUACCACCCCUGGAUGGAGGAAGAGUACUUCCAGAGAAGAUGCCACAUCUACCUAUGAGACAGAUAAGGCAAGUCAAGACGACACCACACUCCGAUACUUAGAAGUUUCGUGAUUACGAGAUCAUUCUCCCACAAUAUUUCCUAAUGUCAUUUGUACUAAAUCAUUCACUUGUACUCACUAAAGGAGAGCUUGAACCUAUGUACUUGUGUAAACCCUUCACAAUUAAUGAGAACUCUUCUAUUCCGUGGACGUAGCCAAUAUGGGUGAACCACGUACAUCUUGUGUUUGCUUUCCUAUCUCUAUCCAUUUAUAUACUUAUCCACACUAAUGACCGGAGCAAUCUAGUAAAGAUCACAAAAAGCGACCGUUUUCGCUACCUAGGAUCUAUCUUGUAAGAGAACGGAGAAUUAGAUGGAGAUCUCAACCAUAGAAUACGAGCUGGAUGGAUGAAGUGUAAGAAUGCAUCCGGCGUGUUGUGUGACCGUCGUAGGCCACUGAAGCUCAAGGGAAAAUUUUAUAGGACGGCACUAAGGCCAGCGAUGUUGUAUGGCACAGAAUGUUGGGCGGUGAAGCAUCAACACGUACACAAAAUGGAUGUAGCGGAGAUGAGGAUGCUUCGUGGGAUGUGUGGGCACACGAGAAAGGAUAAGAUUGGGAAUGAUGAUAUCCGAGGUAAAGUAGGAGUAGCCGAAAUUGUAGGAAAGAUGAGAGAAAAUCGGCUCCGGUGAUUUGGACAUGUGCAAAGAAGGCCGAAUGACGCUCCGGUUCGAAGAUGUGACUACGGGACAGAGGUUCAGGGCCGAAGGGGUAGAGGAAGACCUAGGAAAACUUUGGAAGAGACUCUAAGAAAAGACUUAGAGUAUUUGGAUCUAACGGAGGACAUGACACAAAACCGAGCGCAAUGGCGUUCUAGGAUUCAUAUAGCCGACCCCACUUAGUGGGAAAAGGCUUUGUUGUUGUUGUUGUUGUUGUAUCUAUUUGGGUCUAGACUCUAGAUACAGAUAAUGGGCUCUUAUUGAUUUAUAAUGGAUUUGGAAAGAAUCUUGUAUUAACAUGAGUUACAAAGCCCACUUUCUAAAGAUGCAUUUUUACGUAUUUAGGCGAAGAUGAAUAUUUUAAGUCUUAUUAUUGGAGAGCUUUUCGGCCAAUGAGAAAUGUAAAAUGUCCAUUUCAUGGCGUUACAGAAUACUAGACUCAUCGUUAUAAUUACUUAUAAGUAAGAGACCCUAAAUUCAACCCAAUAAAUGACGAGUUCGAUGUCAAAUUAUUCUUGUAGACUCUUUAUAUGACUUAACCCACAUCUCCCAUGCCUUAAUGCAAACUAAAAUAUAGUUAUUAUGCAUGUGUAAAGCAAAAAGUGGGGUAAAUUAAACUUAUAUUUAAUUGUCAUAUUACCAACACUGUUCUAAAAAAUUUUACUUAGGUCGUGACUCUCACUUAGACAAAAAAAUUAAUAACUUUCAUUUUGCAUUUUAUUUUUUCAAUCAAUUAUAAGAGACUUAUUGAAUACUUUGAUAAACACUCAUUAUAUGUGUGUGCCCCAUGUUUUCAAUGUUUUAUACUUUAUAAUCGACAUAUGUCAUUUCAUUUUGUAAUUUAUAAUCGACAUAUUUAUACAAUAUGUAAUAAAUUUACUAAAUCUGCCUAGUUCGCCUCGGCCUCCGUUUAGGCCCCACCAAGGAGCUAUGCCCCAUCCAACCGCCUGAGUAGCGCUUAGCAUUUUUUUAAACUUUGAUUACCAAUGAUUAUGAAGUGAUUAAUUAAACUUAAUUAACAUAAAAAGAGUAUACUUGUCAUUUCACCCUUAGUUGUUUUUGUGUGAAAUAUAUAUGAGAAUAUGUUCCGUAUUUUAUUAUAUUUGGUUAUCUUUUCAAUCUCAUCAUUGCAAGCCUAUUAGGAUCAAGUUCCUUAAUACGCAGGCGAUUAAGGUGAACGAGAUUGUGGUAAUUACAAUUCAGGCUCAAGGUGAUUGAUGACGCGUUCAAAGUUCUUUAGAUUCAUUGGCUUCAAGGAACCUUCGUUUCUUUCAAUUUUUGCAACUUGGGUUUAUUAUGUUAUAAUUUCAUAUUUUUGUUUGCAAGCUUCCUCUUAUAUAUAUUGGAUUCAUAUUCUUCGUUUGUAUUAAAUCUAGGCUUGGCAAACGGGUCGUGUCUGUCGUGUUCGUGUCGUUUUCGUGUAACACCUGUUAUCUUAACGGGUCGUGUCGUGUCACACUCGUUAUCUUAACGAAUCCUUAACAGGUCGUGUCACAAGUGACCCGACCCGUUAUGACCCGUUAAGAAAAAUAUUUUUUUUUUUAAAUUUGCACAUACCACAUAUUACCAUAUAAAUAUUACUUCAAAACAUUAAAACAUUUGUCAUGUAAGUACUAUAACUACACUCGAAAAUAAGAGCCUAAUAAAAAAAUAAUACAUACACUACUAAUCUAUUAUAAAUAUUAAAGGGUAAAUUACAUAGUAGCCCCUCAGGUUUGAGCUCUAUUGCAAUCUCAUACAACAUCUUUAAAACAUUUCACUUUCAUACCUCAAGUACUAUUUUAUUUCAAUUUCAUACAACCGUUAGAUUUUUCAUCCAUGGAUCUGUUAAAUGCUGACGUGGUUGCCACAUAUAUGACACGUGGCUGCCAAAUGUCUGCCACGUGGCAAAUAAAAAUAAUUUUUAAUUUUUUUUAAAAAAAAAACAUAUCUGCCACUUUUUUUUUUUUGGGUAAAUUACAUAGUAACCCCUUAGGUUUGAGGUCUAUUGCAACCCCAUACAACAACUUUAAAACAUUUCACUUUUAUUCCUCACGUACUAUUUUAUUUCAAUAUAAUACAUCCGUUAGAUUUUCCAUCCAUUAAUCCGUUAAAUGCUGACGUGGCUGCCACAUUUGUGCCACAUGGCUGCCAAAUGUGUGCCACGUGGCAUAAAAAAUAAUUUUUUAAUUUUUUUUAAAACCACCUGAAUCUUAAAAAAAACUAAACUAAACUAAACUGAAACCCACCUCCCGCAACUCCCCACCCCCGCAAACAAACCCAGAAACCUCACCCUUCCCCCCCCCCCCAACCUCCUUCUCCUCCAUUCUCUUCACCUUUCCUCUCAUAAAAAAACCCAGCAAACCCCCACCCCACCGCCACGUUCCCCGAUCCUUUUCUUCUAUUCACCCCACCCCCUUUCUCCCUUCUCUCAUCUGCAAACCUAAUUCCAUUUCCAGACCACCACCAACCAAGCAUAGAAAAAAUUCAAAAUUUGAAAGGACAAAAUUAAAUACAUACCUCAUUGUCAGAGUUAAUCGAUAAGCAUGGUUCGAGUUGCAGAGAGGAGAAAAUAGUGGGUGAAGGGAUAAAGGGGGUAGCGGUAGGGGUCGGGUUCUGGGUGAGGAGGGUCGCGAGCGCACGGGGGGGGGGAGGGGGCGAGGGGAGGAUGAGGCGCGUCGAGCGCGAACGGGAAGGGGGGCCGAAGGAGGGUGGUGGGUUCUGACUGAGGUGAGUCUGGAAGGCAGGCGUAAGGCCUCUGUGGGUUGGGUGGGUGGGUGGGGGUGGGGGUGGGGGAAAACUGAACGAAUCUGGGUUGUAGGGUGGGGAAAAGAGAUCUGGGUUUUGGAGGGGGUUGCGGGGAGAUGGGAUAGGUUUAAGUUUUUUUUUUUUUAAUAAAUGAGAAAAUUCAAGUUUUCUAAAAAAAAAAUUAAAAAAAAUAUUUUGCCACGUGGCACACAUUUGGCAGCCACGUGGGACAAAUGUGGCAGCCACGUCAGCACUUAACGGAUCAAUGGAUGGAAAAUGUAACGGAUGUAUUAUAUUGAAAUAAAAUAGUACGUGAGGUAUGAAAGUGAAAUGUUUUAAAGUUGUUGUAUGGGGUUGCAAUAGACCUCAAACCUGAUGGGUUACUAUGUAAUUUACCCAAAAAAAAAAGUGGCAGAUAUGUUUUUUUUUUUUUUAAAUUAAAAAAUUAUUUUAUUUGCCACGUGGCAGACAUUUGGCAGCCACGUGUCAUAUAUGUGGCAGCCACGUCAGCAUUUAACAGAUCCAUGGAUGGAAAAUCUAACGGUUGUAUGAAAUUGAAAUAAAAUAGUACUUGAGGUAUGAAAGUGAAAUGUUUUAAAGAUGUUGUAUGAGAUUGCAAUAGAGCUCAAACCUGAGGGGCUACUAUGUAAUUUACCCAAUAUUAAAUGUGCAAGGAUAUGCAAAAUGAAAGAGUUUUUGUUUUCAAGGUUGUAAGUCUUUCUCAAAAGAUUAAAUCUCAGCCGAUCCAAAUGGUCAUCAAUUUUUUAAAUUUAAUUUAAUAUAUAUAAUUAUAUUAUAUAAUUACUAUAGUUUUUAGGGGUAUAAAAUUGUUAAAUUAAUAUAUAUAAUUAUUAUAGUUGAUUCAUACUUUUAUUAAGUAUAUAACAUAAGAUUUUGUGAUAUCCACAUCCACUAGUGUAAAUAUUUUAAAUUGAAGAUCAAAUUCAUUCUUUGUAUUCAUAUAUGGUCAAGGACUGUAGCUCUAAAAAAUCAUCAAAAUUGGAGUUAAAAUAACCGUUAAAUCGUGAUUUUUCGUUUAUAACCGUCGAAAAGUUUUGUCCCGUUACUUGAUCUCUGAAUGUUUUUUUUUUGUGUGAUUUUUUUGCUUAUGUGAUCUCGAAGCAUAUACAAACAAGUUUAACGGUUGGGAUCGUUGAAAUUAGUUUCGGAGAAUUUGUAUCCCAUCAAAACAAUAGAUUGACUAACACUUAAAGUUUAUUUAUACUUUCAUUAAGUAUAACAUAAGAUUUUGUGUUAUCUACUUGUGUAAAUAUUUUAAAUUGAAGAUCGAAUUCAUUCUUUGUAUUCAUAUAGGGUCAAGGAGUGUAGUUGUAAAAAAUCAUCAAAAUCGGAGUUAAAAUAACCGUUAAAUCAUGAUUUUUCGUUUAUAACCGUCGAAAAGUUUUGUCUCGUUACUUGAUCUCUAAACGUUUGUUUUUUGUGAUUUUUUGCUGAUGUGAUCUCGAAGCAUAUACAAACAAGUUUGACGAUUGGAAUCGUUGAAAUUAGUUUCGGAGAAUUCGUAUCACCCAUCAAAACAAUAGAUUGACUAACACUUAGAGUUUAUUUCUACUUUCAUUAAGUAUAACAUAAGAUUUUGUGGUAUCCACUUGUGUAAAUAUUUUAAAUUGAAGAUCGAAUUCAUUCAUUGUAUUCAUAUAGGGUCAAGGAGUGUAGCUGUAAAAAAUCAUCAAAAUCGGAGUUAAAAUAACCGAUAAAUCGUGAUUUUUCGUUUAUAACCGUCGAAAAGAUUUGUCCCGUUACUUAAUCUCUGAAUGUUUGUUUUUUGUGAUUUUUUGGUGAUGUGAUCUCGAAGCAUAUACAAACAAGUUUGACGGUUGUGAUCGUUGAAAUUUGUUUCGGAGAAUUCGUAUCCCAUCAAGUUCAAUGGUGUAUGUAUACAUAUAUAUAUAUAUAUAUAUAUAUAUUAAGUAGAUUUAAAUCUAUUUAUUUUGUAUGUAUAAUUGACCGGUACACAGAGUAGUACAUCACGUGUCAUUAUAAAAAUAGUGGGAUAUAUCAUGUGCGAUAAAAAGUUAAUAACUUAAAAAAAAAAAUUCUCACCACUGCACUUCUAUUAAUUUUCUUUUUUCCCUCUCUUUUUUGUUUCCUUUUCAACUUUUCAUAUAAUUUUCACUUUUCCCUCCACCCUAUCCAUCCAUCUUUCCCUAAUUCCCUCUCUUUUUUGUUUCCUUUUCAACUUUUCUUAUCAUUUUCAUUUUCCCUCCCUUUUUCUUCAAAAAGGGCGGCACUGCAGCAGGGAAUGGAAUGGAUCGAUUAUGGAAUCAAAAUUCAAAUCAAUGGAUGCAUACAUAUUAAUUAAUAAUUAUUAUAGUUUUUAUAAUUCAAAAUUUAAUAUAUAUAUAUAUAUAUAAUUAUUAUAGAUAGUUAAUAUUUUGGGGUAUAAUUAUUAUAGUAUAUAUAAUUAUUAUAAUUAUUAUAGUUAAUUUAAUAUAUAUAUAUAUAUUUAUUAUAGUUUUUAGGGGUAUAAAAUUGUUAAAUUAAUAUAUAUAAUUAUUAUAGAUAGUUAAUAUUUUGGGGUAUAAUUAUUAUAGUAUAUAUAAUUAUUAUAAUUAUUAUAGUUAAUUUAAUAUAUAUAUAUAUAUAGAUAUUUAUUAUAGUUUUUAGGGGUAUAAAAUUGUUAAAUUAAUAUAUAUAAUUAUUACAAUAUUUUUUUAGGGUUCUAAAAUUAUAAAAUUAAUAUUCUGCUUAUCGUGUAUCGUGUUACCCACGUGUAUACCCGAAUCAACCCGUUAUCUUAACAGGUGCUUAUCGGGUUACCCGAUAACGACCCGAAUCGUUAUCGUGUCGACCCGAACACUUGUUAAUUUCGUGUCGUGUCGGGUUAUCGGGUCGUGUCAGGAAUUGUCAGGCCUAAUUAAAUCUUGUAUUUACUCUUGUCAUAAAUGAAAUAUAUCUUUUUUUUUAAUAAACGAUAUUAUCUAUACUAAAAAUGGAUGAUUUUAGCCUCACAAUAAAAUAUAUCAUCUUUUUUAACAAAGAACUUUGAGCGAAAUAAAAUAAUAACAUAUAUAUAUUCCUUUAUUUGAUCUUGUAAUUCAUAUUACAAAUUCUUGACAUCAUCAAUGUGUCAAGAUGUCCACAUUAUUUAUUCUUCUCCUUUACUUGCUACGUAAAGAGAGAUACAUCAUCUAUAUGUAAAUCCCAUUUCAUUACAUGCUCAUGGGCAGAAUGUAAUGACGUAGUCAGGUCCGCCAUUGCAGGUGAAUGUGCUGUUUUUAUCAUCAUAAGCGUAGCUAUAAGCUUGAGGGCACUGCUGCUCAAAGAUCUGAGAGUACUCUGUGGGAGGACAUGUCCCCGGCUGAUCAUUCGGCGGCGUGCAGCAGUACUUCGGCUCACCGAAAGCCACGCA